rnacentral:lncRNA from 1 species
GCCUCCCUUCGAUCUUAUUGCCAUGUAAAUCUAUCAUCUGUAAAGCACAUCUUGUUGUUAUAUUGGAAGGCAGCAUCCCUUUCAAGCGAUUCUCCCUCAAAUUUAAAACACCGCUGGGGAUAUUUUCUAUAAAACAAGGUGGAAUCGGGCCAUUAAAGUAGUUAUAUGAUAGAUCAAGGACAUCCAGGUAUAUUAUUUUUGGACAUGCUGAGAUACAUGGUGUCCCGAAGAUAGGUGGUCCAAUUUGGCAGAAGGGAAGAGAACAUGUUGUUGGAAUAAUCCAAGAUUUCUCCUGAUAAUUUUGGCAUAGGGAUCAUCCCUGAAAGUCUAUUGAAACUAAGAUCAAGCACUUCCAUUGAUGUAUUGAAAGGGACAACAUCCGAAUUAAGUUGCAUGCCCGUGAACAUGUUAUGUGAAAAAUUCAAAUGAGAUUCCAUAUCAUUCCAUGUCGUCUCCCAGAUCCAAUUUGGUAUAUCCCCACUGAUUUUAUUACAUGAAAGAUCCAAAUACGAUAUAUGGUCAACAUGCCUCAAAAAUCUUGGAAACUGAGUUAUCUUGCAAGAUGCGAGCCUUAAUUCUCGUAGUCCAGCCAAAUAGCUGGUUUCCACUGGAUUAUUAUCUUCUGAGGCCAUGACAUGCAACUUAUUGUAGGAAAGAUUCAAAACAGCGAAGUAAGUUAAUCUCCGAAAAUGUGCAAGGUCCACGGAACCUAUCAAGUUGUUUGAGCUAACAUCUAUAUAUACUAAACUUGUUAGUUGAAAGAUGGCUUUGGGAAUAAAACCUGACAAUUCAUUGUUCUUGAACCUCACGGUCUCCAACUGUGGACCUGCCUUGUCAAAGCCUUGUAUAGGGCCAGAAAGCUGGUUGAAAGAGAGAUCAAGGCGAUUUAAUAUAGGAAGACUGAAAAUAGAUGGUGGAAUCUCCCCUGGAAGGACAAUAGAAAACAUUAAGUUAGAAAGUGUUUCCCCUUCUACAAAUUGAAAUCAGAAGAUGCUACCUCCUAUUUUGUUCAGAACAUGAAUACUUGACCCUUUCUCGAGAAAAGUAAAAGUUGAUAUCGUACCAUAGAAAUAUAUAUCCCAAAUUUAUUUAUUUUAUUUUGAGAAAAUUGCAUUACUAGUCUCAAAAUAAAAGGCCAAAACUUGUGUGGUAACCUCGCCGACCCUUGCACUUGUUGCAAAUUACUUUCCCCAGCCCCCUCGUCUUUGUUGUGCCACGUGUUAGGCAAUGGUUUGAUGCUGGUUCAACACAUUAAUUUGCUAAUAGUGGGGUGGGUGAGAUUAGUGUGCAAGUUUAAGGACUAUCGGGAGAAUUUAGUGCACCUACGGACCAUAGAAUUUCAUAAUCCUAGGACCCAUGAAGCUGAAAUGAUCCGGACCCAUCAUGGAUCAUGAAAUAAUCCGGACCCAUCAUGGAUCAUAAUUUUAUGGUAUUAUGAUUUAUGAUACCUGGUGUAUAGUCCUGUACCAUCAAAAAGAAUUGGUAAGAUCACUUAUAUAGAAUCCCGAUCCUAACAUCAAAAUUUGUUAAUAUCUGAAAUUAAAUCCAUGAGUAAUUAUAUAUGUUUCUUCAGUUUAAUUCGACAUCUUUUACUCUUUGCAUGACAUCUGACCAUUAAAUUGUUUUAAAUUAUGAUUAGAUAAUGUUUGGAGUUAAGUUGAAAUGUCGAAUUGACAUUGACAUGAAUAAGUAGACUCGAGUUUACAAGAAUUAAUAAAUUUAUAAAAAUAGCAUUGUAGAUUUCUUUUCAAGACCUUGUUUAACUUUUUAAUACAUGCAUUUUUUUACUCAUUACGCUGCAAAAUCCCCCCCCCCUUCAAUUCUUGACACAGUGUCAAACUCAUUUGUUGUGUUUAAGCUCUUGCAAUGAUCUAUAUAAGCUGCCAGCUUUUGUAUAAGAGGGCCGGGUUAGAGAAGUAUAUCGUGUCAACUGCGCCAAUGAAAUCCUUUUAGAGUAAACUAGAGCAAAUGAGAAGCUUUAUGAGCCCUAAUACCAUUUAAGAUUUCCAUUGUCCUUCCUACCCUGUCAAAUGAACACUCAAGCUCAUAUAGAAGUGACAUGUGUGGUUGUUGCAUCAAGAAGCAACCUUAAGGGAGGAUUUUGCAACAGGGUUAGGCUUGUGGGUUCGUUAGGCCCUUCACACAACGUGUGCUUGGAGUAUUGCUUGAAAUGGAGAGAGGAGGUUUGGGCAUCAAUCACUCCCCCAAGUGGCCAAGUUGAAACCAGGAGCAGCACUGUGACAGAACAAAACAGAUGCCAACUUUUCUGACAUGGGCCUCAACUUUUUUUCCUAGAGUCACUCCACAUAGUAGAGGCCUUAAUGUAACUAUUUUUCUUUUAGGGGAUAAUUGCAACUCAAGAUGACUACUAGGAGCUUGAGCCGUGCACACAUGCGUUAGUGGCAAGCUUGCACCUACUCUGAGCAGAGGAGGGCACAGUUGGAGCUUGCAAGGACCACGGUGUGGAGCACUGACGCUUAGGGAUGCAAACAGGCUAACCCAGAUAUAGGGCUGAAUCAUGUUGGCAACUGUAGCAUAGACUAUAAGUGGGUUCGCAGGCUAGCCUGCUUGAUUUGCAGCAAUAUAUUAUGGUGGAGGGAUGCCAUUGACCUUGUUGACGCCGGAUUUCGUCAUCAGUAGAAUCGGCGCCAAAGAAGAAAGAAAUCGAAGGAAUACGAGUGGGGAUCGGCCAAAAGGUGCUACAAUGCGGAAUCGGUCAAGUGGCUUUUACUUCGCUUCAGGGUGAAUGCGCCAGGUUCCCAAUCGGCAAUCCUUUAAGAAAUCGGCCGAUCGGGAAGGUGGAUUAAGGUGGGCCUGUAUGGGCUUGGAAAGAUGGAGGGAUAAGGUGGAGUUCAGCCCACGGAGUGUGGGGUAAUUAGUUUAGUACGGAUUGUGCUUGUAGAUAUUUGUUUUCUGUUUGAAUUAGAGAUAGAGUCCUAGUCGGUUAAGAAGAUUAUUUGUACGGGGCUAUAAAUAGCUACCUUUGUAAAUCUGUAAACACAACAAUCAAUCAAUACAACAAGUUACUUUCUUCUGCGCAUCUACUUUUGAGCAGGCGACUUCGCCAUCAAUUUUCUUUCUCACGAGUUCGUACGGGUUGGCAGGGCUGCAUCGUCUUGAUCUCCGGCCGAUUCUGUAAGUUCCGUUUAUCGAGUAAUAUCUAGGCUUUGACUUCCGGCGUAUCGCUGUUGUUUCGUCUAGAUUUAUUCACCAGUUAUCGAUAUUGACUAGAUUCAUAGGUUUUUACCUGCCUUCCUAGUUUUUAUCACCAGUUAUCCCGCUAGGAAUCGGUAGUAUCGGCUUUCAUUACUUCCUGUUGCCAGAUCCAUCUGUUGCCGAUUAGAUCUUUUCCUAGUGCUGUUAUUACGUGCCUUGUACCGAUUACUUUAAUAUUUUUCUAUCUACAAGGCUACGGGGAUCGUGCUGUCUCGUGGCCGAUUUCUUUACCAUAGUAAAUCGGCUGAUCUGCCGAUAAACUCUCUCGAUCGGAAACUUAGCCGAUCGUAGUUACUGAAUUUGACACGUGUUCUUCCUUGCCAAUCAACAGGUCAGAUUGGCUGGCACGCCGCGUGAACCGCACCAGGGCAUUCACCCGAACAGGAGCUAAGCAGAUUCUCCCGGGUCGUGUGUCGGUCGCUGGGAUUCGGUUGACCGAGUUCUAGCGCCAACACACUUUUGGCACGCCCGGUGGGACCAAUACAACCGCUAUCAUGUCGAAAGCUGCUGAAGUCUCCGAAGAUAACGUCAUCGAAGUGACGGAAGCAGAUCUAAAGGACGACCAAAAAGAAGAUCUGAAUCAGUAUUUGGAGCAAGUCCGGAAAACUUGCUUGAAAUCCUUCAGUCGUUCCAGGAGCGGGGAAACUGUUAAAAAGUCUCCUUUCCCUACUCCCCGCCAGAUCACGAUUUCAGAAGAUUCGGACAAAAUGUCCGAUAUGAUUCAGCAAUCUCUUCAUCACGCCUUCAUCAACCAAUCCCCGGUACUUUCAAACAUGGUGCACAAUGCUGUUGUCAACUCCUUCGCCGGAGGUAUACCACAAGGGUACAGGGGGCCUACGUAUUUUCAGCCGAUUCCACCAAAUCAGGCUUAUCGGGCUUCACAGCCGAUCCAAUCCUCUGUCGGAGGAUCGGUGCUUCUACGUCAUCAACUCCUUUGGGAUACGGCUCCAUCCAGCCGUCCACUGCACCACUCCCUCCAGUCAUCCCUUUACCCUGGGGGGCACCCUUAAACACGACCGGUUUGAAUCAAUCGGUCAGCCAAGGAAAUCCUCCGUUCCAGACACCCUCCCAAACGGCCACUCGGCCGAUCAUACCACCAUACCAGCCUAUCGCUCCGGAGGUCAACAAGACGUCAGAGCUCAUGCUAUAUGAUGAAACGAGUGGUGCCUACAAGCAGCCGUCCUUUACUACACCGCCGGCUUAUACUCAGAUACCACCUUUUCAUCAACCUCCUUUUAUUCAACCUCCGAUUUAUCAACAUGUGCCGAUUCCGCCGCCGAUUAUUCCCCAACAACAACCGGAUUGGACGGCGCAAAUCGCGGAGGUAAUGCAAGAACAAUUCGGCCUGAAGCCGAAGGUGCAAACUUAUACCUACAGGACACCAUACCCAUCCACGUACGACUUGUUGCCGUUUCCCCAUCGGUACAAAGUUCCGGAUUUCACUAAAUUCUCCGGAAUGGAUGAUACUUCUACCGUGGAACAUGUGAAUAGAUUCAUCAUCCAAUGCGGAGAAGCAGCUACGCAAGAUGCCCUGCGGGUACGGUUGUUCUCGUCAUCUUUGUCUGGAUCGGCUUUCCAGUGGUUCACCACUUUGCCACCAAACUCGAUUAUCACAUGGGCCGAUCUAGAGAGGCAGUUCCACAAGUACUUCUAUGCUGGAGUCCACGAAAUGAAGUUGUCUGAUUUAACUAGCCUCCGGCAACGAAGUGAUGAGCCGAUACCCUUGUACAUACAGAGGUUUCGGGAAAUCAGAAACAAAUGUUACUCCUUGGCUCUAACCGAUGCACAGUUGGCCGAUAUAGCUUUCCAAGGCCUGCUGCCACACAUUAAAGAAAAAUAUGCUUCACACGAGUUCGAGAGCUUGAGCCAGAUCGUCCACCGAUUGUCCGGGCAAGAGGUGCGUCCAUUUGAUCCAAGGAGGAAUUUCUAGAAGAAAGUAGCAUUCCUGGAAGAAGUAGAGGAUGAAGAAGACGCCGAAAUCGGACUUGCAGAGUGGAUUAAGGGAAAGAAGCCAAUAUCAUGCCCGUUCGGCAAAAAGGAGCCGGAGGCAUUCGGUUUCGAUACUACUAAAGCUGACAAAAUAUUCGACCUUCUACUCCAGGAAGGACAGAUUAAACUCUCGCCUUACCACACGAUACCCUCUGCCGAACAGUUGAAGAAGAUGAAGUAUUGCAAAUGGCACAAGGCCACGUCACAUGAUACCAAUGAGUGCAAAAUCUUCAGACAACAAAUACAGUCGGCCAUUGAGCAGGGCAGACUCAAAUUUGAAGUGCCGGCAAAACCGGCCAAACCAAUGAAGAUUGAUCAGCAUCCUUUUCCUACCAACAUGGUGGAUACGGGUAAGAAUCCCCUCCAGACAAAAGUGCUGACAUCCGAAUCGGCAAAAAGGAGUGGCGCUGUCGAUCCCAGGAAUCAAGUCACGUCUGAAGACAUCAAGGGGAAGCGACGGAUGAAGGCCGACGAUGGUGAACCAGAAGGACCACGCAUUACUUCCCAGUUCCUGCUCCAAAAAUACCAACGCCAACAUGAACGAUCAAGGUCCCGAGAGGAAGCAAUGCGUCGGCACGAGGAACACUGGAGAUGCCCAUUCUUCAUCCAUUGUUGGGAAAAUAACCUCAGACUUCCAUCAGCCGAUACUUGCCCAGAGUGCAACGGCCCCUAUCGAAGCAAUCGGCCGUUCACAAGGUCUCGCUCCAGAGACGGAAGGCCAGAACCGAUCAGCAGGAAUCGGCGUAACCCAGAUGAUCAGCGCCCUUCCAUACGUGAUCGGCUGGGGGGCAGAAGUGACCGAUAUGAUCGGUCAGAAGGCAGAAGCCAUAAUAGGCAGGGGGGCAGGACCGAUCAACACGAUCAAUCAAAUAGCAAAGCCAGCGUUCACAGCCGGCUCGAAGACAUGGCCGAUGCUCGGGUAACGGACGAGAACCCGUUAGGACGCGAACCAGAAUGGGAACGCGCCGGGAAAGAAGGGAGGCCAAUAAACCCCAGAUGGUGCCCCGACGGUUUAACCAAAUCACAAAAACGGAGAGUCCAACGCCUCCACCAAUGGGAGCAGCAAGAAGAAGAGGGCACGAUGGACAAAAAGCAAGAAAGGCCUCAGGUGUGGCGCCCCAAAAGAAACGACAAGGGCAACGAUGAGUCGGCGGGCGACGAAUCGGCAGCCGAAAUCGGUAUGGUCUUCAUAUUGCCGAUGGAGUUUAUGACCCCUGCCGAUCAACAGGAUGUGUCGGCGAUAGAGGAACAAACAGCACGGUUGACUUUAGAACCGAUGAUGGCCACGUUCGAAAAGCCCGAAGACGACGAACGACAACAUAUGAAGGCAUUGUUCCUUAAAGGGCAUGUUGACGGACGCCCCCUCACUAAAUUGAUGGUCGACGGGGGAGCCGCCGUCAAUAUCAUGCCGUAUGUCGUACUUCGGAAACUAGGAAAGAGCGACGACGACCUGACCAGGACGGACAUGAUGCUCAAGGACUUCGAAGGCAAGGUGUCAAACGCUCGUGGUGCCCUCUGCGUCGACCUCACCAUCGGCAGUAAGACCCUUCCUACCACGUUUUUCAUCAUUAAUGGCAAAGGGUCCUAUAAUAUGCUUCUUGGACGAGACUGGAUACACGCAAACUGCUGCAUACCGUCAACUAUGCAUCAAUGCCUGGUACAAUGGGUCGGCGACAACGUCGAGGUGGUCAAAGCCGACUCCGCGUACAGCAUCGCAGCAGCCGACGCACAGCAAUGGAGCUGCGAAACCGUCAGGUGCAUAUUAGGUAGGGUGUGGGAAACUGAUUUCCUGAAGGUCACCGAUUUUGGCCUACAGCCGAUCCGAGCAGUCGGCUCUGAAGAAGCGCAAUAAAUGGAUCAGUUCGCCCGAGAAGACGGGAAGCUGGGACACGGAUUCACGUCGGCCGAUUCAUUAGAAAUGGUAGAUUUAGGUGACGGGACCAAGCCAAGGCCGACUUUUAUUAGUGCAAAUUUAGAUCCAGAGUACAAGUGUAAAUUGACAAAUUUAUUAAGAGAAUUCAAGGAUUGUUUUGCGUGGGAGUAUCACGAGAUGCCCGGAUUAGAUCGAUCUAUUGUUGAACAUCGGCUACCCAUAAAACCAGGGUAUCAGCCGUACCAACAACCCGCACGGCGAUGCAAUCCUAAAAUUUUACCAGACAUAAAAGCCGAAAUAACUCGGCUAAUUGAAGCAAAAUUUAUUCGGCAAUGUCGUUACGCCGAGUGGAUUUCUAAUAUCGUACCGGUGUAUAAGAAAAAUGGGAAGCUGCGCGUUUGCGUCGAUUUCAGAAACCUUAAUCAGGCCACACCAAUGGAUGGCUACCCCAUGCCUACGGCCGAUGUACUGAUCGACGCUGCCGCGGGGCACAAAAUUAUUAGCUUCAUGGAUGGGAACGCCGGAUACAAUCAAAUACUUAUGGCCGAAGAGGACAUACCCAAAACGGCUUUCAGAUGUCCAGGCCAUCUUGGUCUAUUCGAGUGGGUGGUGAUGACUUUCGGUUUGAAGAAUGCUGGUGCUACGUAUCAGAGGGCCAUGAACUAUAUUUUCCACAAACUCAUCGGCCUCCUGGUGGAGAUCUACAUCGACGACGUUGUGGUCAAGUCCAAAAGCCACGAGGAACACCUAGCCGAUUUGCGAAGGGUCCUAGAGUGUACCAAAAAACAUGGUCUUAAGAUGAAUCCCAACAAAUGCGCUUUCGGCGUCUCCGCCGGACAGUUCUUAGGAUUCAUGGUGCACGAACGAGGCAUUGAAGUCAAUCAGAAGACCAUAGCGGCUAUCAACAAAGUCGUCGCCCCACAGAACAAAACUGAGCUACAGUCUCUAAUCGGCAAGGUAAACUUCAUCAGAAGAUUUAUAUCUAAUCUAUCUGGACGGAUCCAGGCGUUCACACCACUUCUGAAGUUGAAGCCAGACCAAGAAUUUAUUUGGGGAGAAGAACAGCGCGAGGCGUUAGAAGACAUCAAGCGAUACUUGGUCUCACCCUCGGUCCUGGUUCCCCCUCAAACGGGUAAGCCGUUUAAACUAUAUUUAUCAGCCGGCGAAAAAGCUAUUGGGUCGGCUCUAGUCCAAGAGUUUGAAGGCAAAGAACGGGUGAUUUAUUACGUUAGUAGAAGACUCCUGGAUGCCGAAACAAGAUAUCCUCCAGUGGAGCGUUUGUGUUUGUGCCUUUACUUCUCGUGCACCAAACUCAGACACUAUCUACUGUCGGCAGAGUGUAUAGUCGUAUGCAAAGAUGAUGUAGUGAAAUACAUGCUGUCACUGCCGAUAUUGAAAGGGCGAAUCGGAAAAUGGAUUUUAGCUCUAUCAGAAUUUGACCUACGGUACGAAUCGGCAAAAGCCGUCAAAGGUCAAGUCAUGGCCGAUUUCGUUGCCCAGCACUGUGGGCCAGAGAUUGCCUUCGUGGAACUAGCUCCUUGGCAGUUAUUUUUUGAUGGAUCAUCAUGCGGAGUCGGAUCGGGAAUCGGCAUCGUUCUCAUAUCGCCUCGGGGGGCAAGAUAUGAUUUUUCUCUGCCGAUAGAAACCGCCGCCACAAACAAUCAAGCGGAGUACAGAGCCGUAUUAAAAGGCUUACGAUUAUUGAGGGAAGUCAAGGCCGAUUCUGUUGAAGUCUUCGGAGAUUCGAUGCUAAUUGUGGAUCAACUAACCGGAAGGGCUGAGUGCAAAGAUGACAUAUUACGAAUUCAUCACGAAGAUUGCUUACAGCUUUUAAAAGAAUUCAGAUCGGCAGUAAUCGAGCACGUCCCAAGAGACCGCAACGAGGAAGCAAACAAACUCGCUCAACACGCAUCAGGGUAUCGGCCGAUUCCAGGCGCCAUGGCCUUAGAGCUUGCAGCCGACGAUUGGCGUAAGGAAAUUGCCGAUUACCUGAAGGAUCCAUCUAAAAAGGUGGAGCGACGAGUGCGCUUUCACGCUACCAAGUACGUACUGCUCGAAGAUGAUCUGUUCUACCGAACGAUCGAUGGUGUUCUUCUUAAAUGCCUUGGGACAGAAGAAGCCAAGACUCUAAUGGGAGAAAUCCAUGAAGGGGUAUGCGGAGCUCACCAAUCGGCACAUAAGAUGAAGUGGAUGAUCAGAAACAACGGGUACUAUUGGCCUACGAUCCUCGAAGACUGUUUUAAAUAUUAUAAGGGUUGUCAGGAGUGUCAAAAGUUUGGAAAUGUCCAACGUGCACCCGCGUCGGCCAUGAAUCCCAUCAUCAAACCAUGGCCGUUCAGAGGAUGGGGAAUAGAUCUUAUCGGCCAAAUUUAUCCACCAUCAAGCAAGGGGCACAAGUUUAUUCUGGUUGCUACCGAUUACUUCACCAAAUGGGUGGAGGCAAUCCCACUAAGGACUGUGACUUCAGCUAUCAUGGCCGAUUUCGUAAGGGAUCAUAUCGUCUACCGAUUCGGCAUCCCUCAAACUAUAACAACCGAUCAAGGAACAAUGUUCACAUCGGGGGAAUUUGAGGAAUUUACGACCGAUAUGGGCAUCAAGUUGUUAAAUUCUUCUCCAUAUUACGCUCAGGCCAAUGGUCAAGCAGAAUCUUCCAACAAAGGAAUAAUCAAGUUGAUCAAAAGGAAGAUUGAAGAAUACCCGAAGAAGUGGCACCUAUGUUUGACCGAAGCCCUAUGGGCAUACAGAAUGGCCUGUCAUGGGGCCACCAAGUUAUCUCCCUAUCAGUUGGUAUACGGUCAGGAUGCAGUACUUCCGUGGGAGUCAAGGGCAGGAUCAAGGCGCAUUUUACUUCAAGACCAGUUGUCAGCCAAUGACUACUCGUCUCUUAUGAAGGAAGAACUUGAUGAUUUGGCCGGCCAACGACUAAGGGCUCUGAUAAGUAUCGAAGAGAAUAAAAAGAGAGUGGCCAGGUGGUACGAUAAAAAGGUCAAAGUCAAGCAGUUCUCCCCCGGAGAUUUGGUAUGGAAGUUGGUACUACCGAUCGGGUCGAAAGAUCCUAAAUUCGGCAAAUGGUCUCCUACCUGGGAGGGGCCGUAUAAAAUCGGCAAAUGCGCUCCAGGGAAUGCCUAUAUCUUGGAAACAAUAGAAGGAGAAGAAUUCACUAGAGCUCUGAAUGGGAGGUACUUAAAAAGAUAUUACCCAAGUAUAUGGGUCGGUGCCUAAGGAAUCAACACGAUCAUACAUGACCGACACGAUUCGGUCUUGAGACACACAUAAAGUCGACCGGAACGGCCGAUUACAUUCAUUCGGUAUGGGCGACGGGUCACAUGGCCGACAAAAUGUUUAGUCGCCCUUAGAACAAAAAAUACAGCAACUAAUUAUUCUUUUUCUUACGCUCCCUCUCAGCCCGACCUAACUCUAUCAUGAGUCGGAUGUAUUCUUCUUCUAUGGCCUUCAUUGAAAUCUCCGCCUCGACUUGACGGGGGAGAUCUACGGGAGGGCGUGAAGUCCCCGCUCCCGCAUCUUCAAGAACGACUUGCCGAGGGAGUGGAUGACUCCUGCCGAUGGGAGGUCGCCGGCUGCCGUUCCUCUCCACGAAGUCCAGGAUCGUUCGGGCCUCCGUGGCAAUGUCGUCUUCAAGAUCGCCACAACGAUUGCUCCUGACAGGUGGAGAUUGAUGGUUACUUUCACUCACCACGGAAUCCAAGACUACGCGAGCCUCCGUGGUAACGUGGUCCUGGAGCUCCUCUCGGUGAGCCACGAUCAGCAUCUUGUCCUCCGAUGUUAAUGGAUCUUCGAAAUGAAUGCGCUCAAUGGCGCGCACGAGCUCGGGGCUAAGACGUUGAUGCUGAAACAAAGAAGGAAUGAGGGGGAUAUCCUUCCCCUUAGGGUCUAAGAAAGAAAGGAAGGUAGAGGUCAAAGACUUCACCUGGUUAACAGAGGAAGAAGAAGACGACGAGGCCAUGGCAGAGAAAUUGCGCCGAUGAGAAGGGGCAGAAAAGUUAAACCGAGGGCCAAGAUUGGUGCUACCAGGAGUAAGCGCCGAGGUUGGUAUUUAUAAAAGAAUGCGUGGAAAUCUGGUAAAGCUACGUCCCAUUGGUAAUAAGAAGGCAAUAAAUAGAAAGGGCGUCGCGAGGGGCGGUCAAAGAAGAUAGUAAAUGAUUCGUACAAAACGGUCAGUGUUUUUACAGAUUACCCAGAAGGGUAUCGAUAGUCGUGAUGGCCCGGCGCCGGAUCUGAUCGGCAGAGUCAAGAACCCGUUGGUCUUCUUCCGCCGAUCCAGGAACCUCCGAUGCGCUGCGAUGAAGUCUCAGUGCCUCGUGAGCAAAGCGUUGCCUCUCCCGUGUUAAAUCGGCAAUAACAGAAGGAAGCUCUUGGAGUUUGUUCUCUUCGGCACUGAUUGCCUUGGUCACUUGCUCCAUUUCCUUGGCAAGCUCCGCCCUCCGACGUUUGAGACGGUCUAUCUCACCUAUGAUCGCCGGGCGGGAGUCUUCUAGAACAUGGAUACGCCGAUUCGCCUCUUGAGCCUGACGCUUGAAAGCGUCUUCCUCUUCGCGAGCCUUGGUCAGCUUGGCGCGAUCGGCCAUGUGACGAAGGGCUCUGAAGACCGGGAUCCUCAUAGACUCGAUGAAGGCUGCCGGCGCCAGGGCCUCCUCCGCCUCUUCUGGUACUCGUCCGCUGACGUCAUUGAAGAGCUGCCGAAUCGGUGAAGCGUCUUCUACUAAUCGGCCGAUGUCCCCUUGAAGGAGGGAUCGGAUGCUGGAAAGUUUGGCUCGGACGUCAUCAGGAACAGAACUCAAGGCGACUUGGCGAGAAGCAACUUCUUCGUCGUCAGAGAGGGCGACCGCAAAAGAAAAGAGGCUGUUGUCGGGGGUAUCCUGUUCCUGAUGAUAAUAAAGAAAAGAAAUAAACCAGCUGUAAGAAAGAGCAAAUCGGCUGAGAUAGAAGCAGAAGCAGAAAAGUUACCAUUUUGAAGCGAAUCUCCUCAUGUUGCACUUGAGAAGCCGCCAUGCCUUGCUCGGGGGCCUGCGUCAUGGGUUCAUCAGAUGAAGAGGACUCCACGAUAAUCGGCGCCGUGCUUGGACCAGCCCCCUGAAAGGAAAUCGGCGAUCGAGGAGCGAUUGAUGUGCCGAUGGCCUGUGUCAGAAGUUUGAAUAAAUACGGUACGUGAAUGCCCAAAGGAAAUCGGUACGAGAAGUUCUAUACCGUAACGGAAGGAAACGGGGGCGCGUCAAUAGCUGGAGGGGCUGCUGCCGAUUGUGGUACUUCUGUAGGAAUGCUCUGUGCAGUUUAAAGAUAAAAGAAAAGUUAAUAUCAAAAAUAAUAAUCGGAGGCAUGCGCAACUCAGUUUUACCUGUAUGGCCUCCAACAACAACGAUGCGGCGGCCGCCCCAGCUUGCGUCAUAGCUUGAGUAUCGGCACCUUGAAUGACUUGAGGAGGUGGUACGGCCGAAGUUUCUGCCGAUACGCUCACAGGAGGAUCCGCCGAUCCCGUACGAGCCCGGACUCGGCGACUGGUCUUCUUGGUAGUCCUUUUAUGAACUUGUUUCGAUCGGCCAGUAAUCACGUCAACAGACGGGGCGUUAUAGCCGAUAAGGGGAUAAGUAGUGUAUGGAUGACUCUCUAUCAGUCGUCCGCUGCGGCUGUGUGUUGGAGGGAUCCGAUUCUCGGCCUAAAAUAAUAAAAUCAUUAGUACUCGAUCGUGCUAAGAGGAAUAAAAGGGAAUAAAAAUCGGCUAUGUGAAGUACCUCGGCGUUUGGAUCAAUGUUGGUCGGGUCCAGAAGAUUGCAGUAUGCCGAUGCUGAGUUGCAGAAGAGGAAUUGCUUCCAAUCAGCCCACCAGAGUUUGAACGGCUGGACAGCAAAUGGAGCUACUAGCCAGUCGUUCAAGUUAAUUGUACUGGAGUCUGGAAUUCGGUCUCGCAACCGACCGUAAUCUAGGCCAGAUGUGAGAUCAUCUCUAAACUUGAUUUUGCCAGCAAAGUACACCUGAAUCGGCAGCUGAACCAUGCCGAAUUGUCGUGCUGCAGCAGAAGGGUUGUAGAAUUCGUACGUAGGGGCAUCCUUCCCUGAGAAGAAGUUGGCCGGUAGGAUCCCUGGCUUGAUCAACCCUUCAUAGAGAUCUUCAUCAAACCGGCCAGAAGUUGAAUCAAAGCAGGAAGGGAGCUCGAAGAUGGGAAUGUCUCGCUGAUAUGGAAACCAGAUAGUUGCGUCCUCAUUAAAUCCAUUAUAAAAAGACCGAAAGUACUCGGCUACCUUUGUAGCGGAAUACGCACAACCUGGAAAAGCUGAUGCUGCUUCACCAUAAGACAUGCAUCGGCGGCGCUCGGUAGGGUCUUCUGCCGAUUCAAUAUUGGGAAAUGUCAUGCGGUCCACUGGCUGCCGAGUGAUCCUGUUCAUAUAAAGGUUCAACCAUAAAUUGACAAACCACCAAGGCCCACCUGGGUUGCCGAUUGGUUCUCCCUUGGAAAGUUUUGUGCCGAUUUGGUGGAGCAUGUGGUACACAGCACCCAGAAGAUGUUUCCCGAGAGGAAUAUGGCUUCCUUUGGACAGUGCCUCGGCUAAAGAUUGGGUGUUGGUUGUUGGGCCGGCGGCUCUUCCACAGAAGAGGUGUUUUUCGAGCCACAUCAUCAGGAAAGCGGUGUGCUCCCUGUUAUCAACAGUACCGGUCUUCUUAUUAUCAUUAAUAAAGCCCUUCCAGCCGCCGAUUCUUCUUGUGUCCAGCCGAUGCGAUGGUACGGUCAGAAGUUGGAAAGGCGUGUCAGGGGAAGAUACAUCUAGGCCGGUCAAGAGGACCACAUCGGCCAGAGUGGGGGUCAUGGGACCGUGGCCAAAUAAGAAUGCAUUAAGUGCGUCAGACCAAAAAUAGGAAGCCGCCAUCACUAGCGGUUCGUUUUUUUCCAUUUGCGACAGGGAAAGGUUGAUACAUUGGCCGAUUUUGAGCUCAUCCCACGAGACGCUCCUUGAUGCGGCUACCCGUUGGUACCAUUCCCUCCAACCUGGGGUUUCAUUCGGCCAAGAUCUAAAAGUGCUGGCCCAUUGAUCUAAGUUCAUAUCAGAUCGUUUGAAAGGUAUCCGAUCAGUUUCCAAGUUUAUGAGGUCUGCUGGAUCCGGGUCUCCCAUGGGACCAAGACAAACAAGGCCAGGACUACCCAUGAGAUGAAUAGUAAUUCUAUGUCUAACCGCCUAAAAAAGGAAAAGGGGCAUAAGAAAUAUAAAGAGUAGAUCUAAGAUAAAUACGUUACCGAUAGAGGAAAGAUUCGGUAUUUACCUCCGGUAUAAAAUUCUGAGUAAUCGGUGUAGUCGUCGAUGCAGAUGCGGAUGAUGGAGUCGCAAUGGGGAUCGCCAUUGGGAUCUCUGAUGAAGCUCCUUCAUCUGUGGAUGGAGUGACGGUUGUCGCCACCGUUACCGAAGGCGCUACCUCUACCGGGGGCAUUAUUCCUGGAGCAUCGCGUGCUGGGGAAUUACCGGAGGGAGUCGCCAUUGAAGGGAAAGGGGAAGAAGUGAUUGGAGCUGAAACUGGAAGACUUCGAUGGCAAGAUUGAAGAAAGAAGGAGAUGCGCGCGCUGGAAAAGGAGAUGCGAGCUUGAAGAUGAGUUGCGGUGAAAUGAUAUUUAUAGGGUGCCUGAAGAAAGGGUAAAGAUGGAAUUUUCACCGCGCCGGCGCAUCGAGAUUUUUGGGGUAGUGGCUGUCGUGGGCGCCCGUUUCAAAAAAUUGCAAUGAUCAGCCGGGAGACCGCGAAACGGAUAUUUUCACUGCGGCCGUUUCGGAGGAGAGGUUAUAAAGAAUUUCGAAGUAAAAGAUUAUGUUUUACUCCGAAACUGGGGGGCAUGUGUUGACGCCGGAUUUCGUCAUCAGUAGAAUCGGUGCCUAAGAAGAAAGAAAUCGAAGGAAUACGGGUGGGGAUCGGCCAAAAGGUGCUACAAUGCGGAAUCGGUCAAGUGGCUUUUACUUCGCUUCAGGGUGAAUGCGCCAGGUUCCCAAUCGGCAAUCCUUUAAGAAAUCGGCCGAUCGGGAAGGUGGAUUAAGGUGGGCCUGUAUGGGCUUGGAAAGAUGGAGGGAUAAGGUGGAGUUCAGCCCACGGAGUGUGGGGUAAUUAGUUUAGUACGGAUUGUGCUUGUAGAUAUUUGUUUUCUGUUUGAAUUAGAGAUAGAGUCCUAGUCGGUUAAGAAGAUUAUUUGUACGGGGCUAUAAAUAGCUACCUUUGUAAAUCUGUAAACACAACAAUCAAUCAAUACAACAAGUUACUUUCUUCUGCGCAUCUACUUUUGAGCAGGCGACUUCGCCAUCAAUUUUCUUUCUCACGAGUUCGUACGGGUUGGCAGGGCUGCAUCGUCUUGAUCUCCGGCCGAUUCUGUAAGUUCCGUUUAUCGAGUAAUAUCUAGGCUUUGACUUCCGGCGUAUCGCUAUUGUUUCGUCUAGAUUUAUUCACCAGUUAUCGAUAUUGACUAGAUUCAUAGGUUUUUACCUGCCUUCCUAGUUUUUAUCACCAGUUAUCCCGCUAGGAAUCGGUAGUAUCGGCUUUCAUUACUUCCUGUUGCCAGAUCCAUCUGUUGCCGAUUAGAUCUUUUCCUAGUGCUGUUAUUACGUGCCUUGUACCGAUUACUUUAAUAUUUUUCUAUCUACAAGGCUACGGGGAUCGUGCUGUCUCGUGGCCGAUUUCUUUACCAUAGUAAAUCGGCUGAUCUGCCAAUAAACUCUCUCGAUCGGAAACUUAGCCGAUCGUAGUUACUGAAUUUGACACGUGUUCUUCCUUGCCAAUCAACAGGUCAGAUUGGCUGGCACGCCGCGUGAACCGCACCAGGGCAUUCACCCGAACAGGAGCUAAGCAGAUUCUCCCGGGUCGUGUGUCGGUUGCUGGGAUUCGGUUGACCGAGUUCUAGCGCCAACAGACCUGUUACAUGCCUUUACAAAGUAAGAGCAUGUUAGCAGAUCCUUACUCCCCAAUCCAACUACCAUAUUGGGAGGGUUAACGAAAAAUAGUGUUCCAGCAGAUUCUUUUUUACUUUUUUCCAUUUCACAAUAGUUAUUGGGACAAACUAAUAAUCCACCCUAACUUAUCCUAAAAAAAGAGUAUCUCAAUACGGUAGUUUGGAUUGUGAUUAUUGGGGAACUGCAAAAACAACUUUUCCGAUAACCAUAAAAGAAAUAUUGGGACAUUUCCAUUAGCUUGUUAUUAGGAAAAAUUGAUUGGAAAACUGUUGAAGAUGCUCUAAGGGAUUCUCAAGUUGGCGUGCGACUGCGCACGCGGUGGGGGGAGCACAAGCAACCCAAUAUGACCUAAUUUUAGCCCAAGUUAGGUUUAGUUGUGGCCGAACUAACAUCCAUGUUCUAUUUUUUUUCCCUUUCUUCAUUCUUUUGGGUUUUACAUUUUCUUGUCCUUUUCUUUAAUUAUUUCCUUUUAUAUUAUUCUGCAUAUUAUUUUUAUUUCCUUUAUAUUUAUUAUUUGUUUCUAUUAUUUGUUUUGUUUUCUUUUCUGUUUUUUGACACCCGGCCCAAUUUGGUUGGCCCAGUGUGGCCCAUUAGCGCAGGUGCGCAUGUUUAGUACCACAUUGCUAGUUUAGCAAGGGUGGAGGCAACUUAUAAGCCUUCGUCAACCAGCCAUAGUACCUUCGGGUUAACCCUUUUACACGAAGCGAGGACGAAAGUGUAAGCAGGGUGCUAUGUGUACGUGUGCCCGCCCCUCGGAAGGGUUGGGCGGUGCGGCUUUGGAGGACGGGGUGUUACAGUUUUCCUUUUCUACUAGGAAAUUCUAACUUUUCAUUUAUUUUAUUGUUUCCAUUUUUAUUAUCUUUUAUGCUUCUUUUCUUUUUUAUUUUUAGUAACAAUUUUUUUGUAUAUUUUGUUUGCUAGUAAGAAUAAUUUAUUCAAUUAGUUUUCUUUAUUGUUUCACUCUAGCACUACUUUAAAAAUCAUUUGUGCAUACGAUCAUUCUAUUUUUUUUUUACAACGGUGCUUAAUAACAACCGUCUCUAGCAAGGGUUCCAAAAAUACAAGUAUCUAUAGAGGUGGGCCACAUAAUUAAGUAAUUGUCUGAAAAUCAAUUCGAAAGGCACGCCACCUAAGCUACCACUACUAGAAAUUGACUUCUAGAGGCAGGCCUAAUAAGCAACUGCCUCUAAAAAUGUAAACAACCAAUUUUACAUAAAAAUAAUAGCCUUUAUUUAAUGAAGAAGAAUGAAGACAAAUUUACUAGCAUAACUAUAGAGCUCGAUGACAUCUAAAACUUCAUAGUUCAUAACCUUUUCAUUUAAGACUAUUUACAGGCCCAAAUAAAAUUCAUCACCAUUUCUUAUAUUUAUUUUUAAAAAUAAAUUAUGAUUUCCAAAAUGGCCUUGGAAGGAGAUGUGCUCUUCACAAAAGUUGUAGUGCAUGACGAGAUCUAAAAAUUUGUAAUUGAUAUUUUUUUUUCAAAUUUAUGAUCGUUAGAGUGUCAAAUGCAUAGUACAAUAUUCAGAGAAGUGAAAUCAAAAGAAUCCCUCAUAUAGUUAAUAUGUGUUUCGUAAAGAGAGCUACGCGUGAAGAGAGCUGUCAUACCAUGAAUUUUUUGGAAUUCAGGAUCUGACUAGAAAUAAUAAUUAAACAAUAAUUUUCUAAUAAUUUAAUUUUUUCAACAUUUAUUUUCUUGAGAGGAAAUUUAGUACUGGAAAAUGAUUGGUUGUUUUUUCUAAAUUAAAUAAAUUAGUUCUUUGUGUGUUGGAUUCAUGCCGAGGCAUCUUGGUGUUUCAUGAGUGCAGACAUUUUAAAAAUGCGUUUCUAUAACAUUUAGGUUCUUCUAAGAAUUUUCCAAAUUUUUCUAGGAUCUAUUCUCAUUUUCCUAGAGUUAAAUAUUUUUAUUAUUUUCUUGAGCUCCAAGUAUAUUAUUUGGAUUCAUCAUUUGGAUUCAUCGUGUCCCAAACUAUCUCUAGAAAUUUUCCUAGGAUUUUAGCUUUUUAGAGUAUUUUUUGUGGUUUCAUUGAUUUAUCUAGAAUUUUCUAGAUUUAUCUUUGCACGGGAAACAUCUCUAAAAAUGAAAUAGAAAGAAAUCCCCUUUCCUUCAGGCCGGGCUCGUGGGACUGACGUGCUCUAGCCCAGCAGCCGGCCUGCCAGGCCCAUCUGAGCCCUGCAGCUCUUGGUGUCCAUGCCGGACACAGUGUGGCACCGCCGCCUCCCCAGCUAACUUGGGUGUGCGUGCCACGGCUCCACCCCUGGCCCUAUAAAUAGCAAAGCCGCAUCCCCUGCUUGCCAUGCUGCCCCAGCUCGUGCAUGUGCUGUGCCUCACCCUUGCUCGCGCAAGCGCUGCCAACCGCCGGAGCCGAGCUGCACCGCCACCUCGAUCUGCCAGACCCCGGCGUCCCAAGACCAAGCCGCCACCUCCCAAAGUUGCACCACGACAGGCCGCCUCCAACCAAGGCAUCCGCUACACCAAAAAGGCCAUUGGAGCAGCACCGCCUCGCCUCACAAUGCCAAUCCGGCCGCCGUCUGUUGUCCGCUGCCAGCCAAAAUUCCAGCUGGAAUCUGUCCACCCCUGUGGCGGAACCGCCCAGCUUAAGCUGGUUUAAGUGCGCCUAAUUGCUGUCGGAGCAGCAAUUAUCCGAAACGCACCUAAAACAGCAUAAGUCCGGUAGUCCGUCGAGUGUCCCUAGGACUCCUCGAAAGAUCCACGGCGUGUUUCAUCACCAUACAUCAGGAUAAUAUCCGCGAUGGGAUAACAUCAACAAACAUUACAUUUUUACAUACAUAAUUAAGAGGUACGAGUUAUUACAAGACUUCAAGUUGAAACAAACUUAGUGAUGCAUAGUUAGACAAGCUCUAAGAUUAAACAUAAGUAGUUUAGGAGAAGAUGCGUUGAUAAACGGUUUGCUAGAGUAUUGAGAGACUCAGGUCAAUACUCUAGGUCUUCGGGGUCUCCUCCUCGACAGCUUCUUGGGUAGCUUCUGAAAGAUAACCACAAGGGGAAAACCCUGAGUACGGGGUACUCAGCAAGUCUUACCCGACUAACCACUAUAAUAGUUUUUCUUUUGGAAUGCAUGUCGGCCUUUAGGUGUGCUUGGUUGACACAAUUUUUGCCGAAAAGCUUACUACGAGUGAAGCCUUAGUUUUGUCUUUUAGUUUAGUUAAGUUAUUACCUAACCGUUCUAGAUGGUAACAGAAGUAAAAGCAAUCACAGCUGUUGAUUCAUACAAUACUUGGCAACAAAAAUUUUAUAUCACAUGAGUUCAUGCUACGAAGCUCAACGGUGAUCAAGUGCAUUCAUAACCGAGAAUUGCAGCGAUCCGGAUCAGAUUACAUCCUGCAGGAGAGCACCCGAUCACCCGCAUCAUACGACUGUCCAGGUCGUACUAGCAACCUCUCGAUUAGUAAAGUCAAUGAUUAGGAACACAACUACCCGGACCCAGGGAUGCACCCCCACAUGGGACCCCACGUCUGGCCUGAUCCCCAUGUGAGUUUCAGGCUACACCCCUGCCAAUCUCCAGCACGUCAAAUGCGGGUACGAAGCAUUCCUGAUCAUAGAAUUUACUAACCUACUGGGCUUUACUGGUCCCAUACCCAGUAAGUGAUCAGAUGUUAUCACUUGAUCAGCGGUUAAGACACGGCCCGGUCCUUAAGCAGAUUAAUGAGCAGACAGAACUACAUCUCUAGCUUCUGUCUGGUUCUAUACUUCAAACUAUCCUUCAUAAACAGCAUGUAUGAUUAAGAGUUUUCCCUAAGGUUGGUAAACCAAGCAUGUAAGCAAGUAAGCAAUUCUAGACUUGGGUGGUUUCUAGGAUUUGAACAAGUGGCAAAGAUGUCCUUAAUUCAAGGCAUGAUCAUACACAAGAAUAGGUUUCAUCCAACUCCUAGACCUAGUGCAUACAAUAACCAAGUAACCUAUAACUAGUCACAUGAAAUAACGAUUCCAAAAUAGAUAGGUAUAAAUGCACCGGGGCUUGCCUUGAUCGUUAAAAAGAUUAGCAGACGCCGACGGAUUCACUUCACAGGGGACAAAUUCAAACACCUCCUCGGACUCCAAAGGUCCUUCUGAAAAUUCCCAGUAAUCUUCUUCCGGCGCUUCUGGAUCUACGGUAUAUAUGCAGGGGUUAGAAUGCAAACUUUUUAAACAACAGACUAUACAACUUUCCUUCAUGAUAAAGUUGCAAGCCAACAAGGACUAUACGACUUAUCAUGGGUAAGUUGUAAGUCAACACACAAAAGAAAUCUAAAAAGAUUAACCUAUAUUUUUAUUUUCUUAUUUAACCCUUCCUAUAGCUUUUUCUUUUAUUUUUAGAAAAAGUGGUAAUUAUUUUCUAACUUGAAAUUCUAAUUUCCUAUGAGUUAUGGAUUAUUUGUGAUUAAUAAAGUGUUAUUUAUAUUUUAUACAUUUUAUAAAUAUUAAGUAUUUAUUUAAUUACCUUAAAAGGAAGGCAUUAAAUAAAUACCUAAAUUUUUAUUAUUUUCCUAGGGUGUAAAAAUUUUAAUGCAUAAAGGAAAAUAAAACAAGCCUAACGAAAUUGGUUUCACUAAUUUUGGACAUUCCUACAAAUUUCUGUGAUUAAAAUGGUGUAAAAAGAUUUUAAACGGAUUAUUUUAUUAAAGAAAUCUAACUUUUUCCCGAAAAUUCCCUCGGAAAACUUUUCUUACGCAGCUCAACUCUACCCCCCUCUCAUGCGUACCGGGCCCCACGACGCGGACCCACCUAUCCUCCUAUUCCCCCUACCCGCCGGCCCUUUACUCCUUCUGACGGGCUCCGUGGGCCGCUUCUCCUUCCCUUUCUCCUGUUAGCCCAACACCGGCCCAUGGCCCCUUUUUCUUUUUCCUUCCUUUCUCACGCGACGCCGGCCUGCAUCCGCUGGGCCCCCGGCCCUUUUCCUUUCCGGCCGACCGCACGCGCGUUACUGGGCCGCGAAACGCCGGCCCAAGACGACCGCACCGCUCUGGCCCGCGCCUUCCUCCCCCUUCUCUUACUGACAUGCGGGCCCGGUGCACAACACCUUCUUCCUCCUCCCGCCAAAACGCAACCGGAACAGGGGGCGGCGCGGCUCGCCGGCCGGCGCCCUCCCGGCGGCGGGUCUCGACGACAACACCAACCCUAACCCUACACGACCUCGCGCGCGGCGACAGCUUCCCUGGAGGUGACCGGAGCUACCUCCUCCACGGUGACGGGCGGCGACACCCCCGGCCGGCCAUCGUUACCCGCGACUACGGCACAACCUAGCCAAACGACUACCCCGACACCAUCCUAGGACUCUAGGGACUCGACUACGACUGCUCAAGAAGAAAGAGAGACAGCGCGAGAGGGUUCUCACCGAGAGCGGGCGGUGCGGCGGCGGCGGACAGAAGCGGCGGCGAUACAAGGUGUUGCGGUGAGGAAGCUGAGCAACAAGUUGCUGGGGUUAUUGGUGGGAUGUAGGCGGAGGUGCGGACGGAAGGAAUCGAUGAGAGCUGUUCGGAGGUGGUCGAAUUUUGCUUGGCGGCGGUGGUUGACAGAAGAGGCACGGGCGGCGGUAAAAAGAGAGGCAGUGAAACGGCGGCGCGGGAGCAGUAGAUAUUCAAGGGUUUCACCGCGCGCAUGGGUGACACCGUGGUCUAGCCGUAGGUGUAUGUGGCGAGGAGGUGGCUUAGCUUAGCUGCGCUGGCGGAUGACCGACGACGGCGGCGGCGCCACGUCUCGGUGCUCAGUCACCGCCCGUGACCUUCAGAGCUUCUCCACGGUUGAUCCUUGAUCCGAUGGCCUCUCGUGUUUUAACAGAACUUGAAGAUAAACUCAAGACCUUCAUCUUUUAUUUUGGCGUCAACUUGAGAUAAAGAUCGAAUUCACUGAAUUUUUGAAGUUUAGCUCGGGUUAGCUCUGAAUGUCGAUUGAAUUGCACUUGCUGUUCGUCAGUUCGACAGUGAUAUGGACUUUAAAUUGGGAACCAAUUUAAGGACUUAAGUCUUGUUUUUCCAGUCCAAUUUCUUCUCAAAGGUGUACUAUGAUCUCCCAAGUUUCCAUUUUGCACAAGAACAAGUACCUCUUUUGAUUUAAAUGGCUCUGAGUUCAAUCCCAAAGUUGAGACCACACUGUCAUUCAGACUUAGCAAAAGUUUCAGAGUUUCAGUCAUUUGUGAUCUUGUGCUGACUUUGAGCUCGAGGUUGACUUCCUUCCUUUUACUAUUCCUGGCCAACAACACAUGAUUAUUGCAGUCCAAAGUUUAUAUUUCAACAUGGUAUAGUUGUUCUAGUACACUUGGUUGGAAAAUUCUUCAGAAUUGAAUUUUGAAAACAGACUCUGGAACUGCUUUCUCUGAACCUAUUGUCGGACGAGGAACAGUAAACGGGAUUUCCCUUUUCUUCUUCUUUCUCUGAUUCUUUUGAGAUAUUUAGCACCAACUCAGCUCCAAAUUUCGAUUCCUUGCUUCCAAAUAAUCCCAUACUUGUAUUCCACAUGUUGGACAACUUUUUCUGAAUUUCAAAUUUGAAAUUCAAAUUUUUGGUCAAAAUUUGGCCGAAUUUGAUCUUUUUGCCAUUUUUCUUCUCUUUUCUUUUGGAUUUCUUUCUGAAUUUUUCAUAGUCACUAUGUUACUUAAAAUGGCACUUAUUACAGCCUCUCCCCCUUAACAGAAUCUCGUCCCGAGAUUCCUGGGGUUAAAUCCUUGGGUUUUGGAAUGGAAAGGAAACUGCGUCAGGUUAUUUACUCUUUCUUUUUCUGUACAAGGUUAGUGGGGUGGUGGUCCUUGUUCAUCUGUCCCUGACGGUUUCGAAUAACUCCGGAUAUUUAGACUCUAGGUCUUCUGCUUUUUCCCAAGUAGCUUCGUCCGGAGUAUGAUUUUUCCAUUGCACUUUAUAAAACGUGAUACUCCGAGUUCGGGUAUCGCGGGUCUUUUGAUCCAGAAUUCUAAUAGGUUUCUCUUCAUAUGUUAGAUCCGGUUCGAGCUUAAUUUCUGGAUCCUCCAAAAUUUCUUCUGGAACUCUUAGGCAUUUCUUAAGCUGGGAUACAUGAAAUACAUCAUGUAUAGAAGUAAGUUGAUCAGGUAAUGACAACUUAUAUGCCACGGGACCCUUUUGUUCCAGAAUUUCAUAGGGACCAAUGUACCUCGGGGCUAGCUUACCUUUUACUCCAAAGCGCUGUACGCCUUUCAUUGGGGAUACCUUUAAGUAUACAAAAUCUCCGACAGAAAAUUCCAAGGACCGUCUUCUUUUAUCUGAAUAACUCUUCUGCCGGGAUUGAGCUAUUUCUAAGUGCUUGCGAAUUUUCUGAACCUUCUCCUCGGUUUCCAUGACCAAGUCCGAUCCCAACUGUGUCCUUUCUCCUACUCCUGACCAAUUUAGAGGAGUUCGGCAUCUUCGACCAUACAAGGCUUCGAACGGUGCCAUCUUAAUACUAGCUUGAUAGCUAUUAUUAUAAGAGAACUCGGCUAGGGGCAAACAUUCAUCCCAUAGCUUAGAGAAGGUAAGGACACAGGCUCUUAACAUGUCUUCUAAAAUUUGAUUAACCCUCUCUGUCUGUCCUCCAGUUUGAGGAUGAUAAGCAGAACUUCUAAUGAGGGUAGUACCCAUGUCCUUUUGCAGUUGCUCCCAGAAUCUGGAAACAAACUGGGAACCUCGAUCGGAAAUAAUAGUUUUUGGCACUCCGUGCAAGGAUACAAUCCGGGCUAUAUAGAGUUUGGCAUAUGCCGACACCUGGUAUUUAGUCUUAACUGGAAUAAAGUGAGCUGAUUUAGUAAGGCGGUCGACAAUAACCCAAAUGGAGUCAUACCCCUUUGAAGUGGUAGGUAAUCCUACUAUGAAAUCCAUAGAAAUAUCUUCCCACUUCCAGACAGGAAUUCCUGAGGGUUGUAACAGACCUGCUGACUUCUGUAAUAUGGGUUUAACUCUUUGGCACGUGUCACAUUCUGACACAUAUCUUGCAAUUUCCGGUUUCAUUUUGGCCCACCAAAAUCUUUGCUUUAAAUCUUGGUACAUUUUAUUGGUUCCGGGAUGAAUGGAGAACUUGGAUGAAUGUGCUUCUUCUAGAAUUAAUCUUCUCAGGUUUUUAUCCUCCGGAACUACUAUCCGGUUCUUGAAGUAUAGUCCUCCUUCUUCUUCUUGAUGAAGUUCAGGAACCUUCCCCUCGGCUUUUUGCUGGUAAAGUGCUUUAAUCCAUGGGUCUUCUUUUUGGGCCGCUAUGAUUCUUUCUUUUAGGGUAUCUUGAAUCAUAACAUUCUGGAGGGUACCUUGUUUUACUAUUUCCAAAUUUAAUUCUCCCAUUUCUUCGCACAAGGUCUUCAAGUUAGACUGGAUGGUCAUGCAGUGGCAUUGGGCCUUUCUGCUUAAGGCGUCGGCCACCACAUUAGCUUUACCAGGAUGGUAAUGAAUUUCCAGUUUAUAGUCUUUAAUCAGCUCUAGCCACCGCCUUUGCCUCAUAUUUAGAUCCAUCUGAGUGAAUAUAUACUUCAAGCUCUUGUGGUCAGUAAAGAUACGACAUUCACUACCUAAAAGAUAGUGUCGCCAUAUCUUUAGUGCAUGCACUACGGCAGCAAGCUCUAAGUCAUGAGUAGGGUAGUGUUCUUCAUGACGCUUCAACUGGCGAGAAGCAUAAGCAAUAACCCUGCCUUCUUGCAUUAGAACACACCCGAUGCCUGUUCCUGAGGCAUCGCAAUAUACAUCAAAGGGUUUUUCUAUAUCAGGUUGAGCUAGCACUGGGGCUGUAGUCAAUAAUUUCUUCAAGAUUUGGAAGGAUUCCUCACACUCAGGUUUCCAUUCAAAUUUUGUAUCCUUCUUUAAUAACUCGGUGAUUGGUUUAGAAACCUUAGAGAAAUUGGGAAUGAAUCUACGGUAAUAACCAGCCAUUCCCAAGAAACUUCUUACUUCAUGAACAGAAGUUGGUGAUUUCCAAUCCAAUAUAUCCUUGACUUUUCCGGGAUCUACUUCAAUUCCUUUUUCGGAUAGUAUAUGCCCAAGGAAUGGAACUUUCUUUAACCAAAAUUCACACUUACUAAAUUUGGCAUAAAGCUGGUGUUCCCGGAGUCUAUUUAGAACAAUGCGCAAAUGUUGCGCAUGUUCCUUUUCGUUUUUAGAAAAGACAAGGAUAUCGUCUAUAAAGACAACCACAAAUUUGUCCAGUUCCGGCAUGAAUACUGAAUUCAUGAGAUACAUAAAAUGCGCUGGGGCAUUUGUUAAUCCGAAUGACAUAACCAAAUACUCAUAUAGUCCAUAUCGGGUGGAAAAAGCUGUUUUUGGUAUGUCUUCGGGUUUUAUCUUAAUCUGGUGGUAUCCUGACCGAAGGUCGAUUUUUGAAAAAACCUUGGCUCCAGACAAUUGGUCGAACAACAAGUCAAUCCGUGGCAGCGGAUACUUGUUUUUGAUGGUUACCGCAUUCAAGGGACGGUAAUCCACACAUAGCCUUAAGGUACCAUCCUUCUUUUUAACAAAGAGAGCUGGGCAACCCCAUGGGGAAGUACUGGGUCGGACAAAACCCUUAUCCAACAAUUCUUGGAGUUGUGUUUUUAAUUCUGCCAACUCUUUAGGUGGCAUUCGAUAUGGUCUUCUAGAGAUAGGAGCGGUGCCGGGUUCUAAUUCAAUAGUGAAUUCUACCGCUCUGUCAGGCGGUAGCCCAGGCAAGUCUUCUGGAAAUACAUCUAAGAAUUCAUUGACAACAGGAAUAGACUCUAGAGUCACUGCUCUAGUCUUUUUGACCAUCUGGUCUAAACAGGGGGAAACGGGUAAUUGGAGUUCGAAAGAAUGGCCCUGGUCAUCUUUCAGGCUAACAGCUCGUGUAACCACAUUAAUUUGUACUUCAUGCGCUUUCAUCCAAUUUACCCCCAAAAUAAUAUCUAUUCCUUGAUCUUCCAGAAUUAAGGGAUAAGCCCCCACUUUAUUUCCUUCUAGGUUUAAAAUCACAUUGCGAGCUACUUGAUUGGUAUUCUGUGUGGCACCAGUAGCUUGAAUAGCAUAUUUGACAUCUAAGGUAUGAACUUCUAGUUGAUGUUGCGUGACAAACUCUUUACUUAUAAAAGUAUGUGAUGCACCGGAAUCAAAUAAAACCAUAGCAGGAUAAUUGUUAAUAAGGUACAUACCUGCUAGGAUUGGCUCCCCUUCUGGAAUUUCUUCUACAGUCAUAUAGUGAGCUUGUCCCGUCUUGGUGUUGACAAACUUGCGACGAACAAACUUUUGUCCAGAGCCUUGGCCCGAGGUUUGAGCUUUUAAAUUCGCGUUUCCCCCAAUUUUGGGAAAACGACAAUCUCGGGCGAAAUGUCCUGGCUUCCCACAGUUGAAACAAACCGGUGGGGUUCCUGAAGAAGUAGGGUUACGAAACCCAAAAGAUGGUGCAGUUCCAGGACGAGGAGCAGCACUGGGAGCUCUGGCAUUCCAGGACUGGAAAGGUCGCUGCUGGAAUGAAGGACGAUACAUGGGUCGGGGAGGACCUCUAUAUACCAUCCUCAUCCUCUGUGGAGCAUUUCCAAAAUUUCCAGAAGGAACAGUCUUCCUUUUUAAUGCUUCUUCUUUUUUCAACAUUUCAUCCAGUGCUUUCAUCUUUUCUUCUGCGGUAAUGGCUGUACUUACCGCAGAACUGUAAUCAGCGAACGUGCAGGUGGCUAACCUUUCCUGCAUUCUGGUAUUAAGCCCCCUGAGAUAACAAUCUCUCUUUCUGGUUUCAGUAUUGACAUGCUCUGGAGCAUAUUGAGCUAAGUGGUCAAACUCAUUAGUAUAUGCUAGAAUGCUGCGAGUGCCUUGCUGUAAUCCCAAGAACUGUUCUAGUUUCAUCCUCAUGACGCCCUCGGGUAUAAACUGUGCCCGGAAGGCCUCCUUAAAAUCUUCCCAUGUGAUUUCCCUUCCCGCUGGCUGCCUAGCCAAAUGACUGGUCCACCAAGUUGCUGCGGGACCCUGAAGUUGAAGCCCCGCAAACUCGGCCUUUUGAAUGGCAGUACAUUGGGGAAUUACUCGAAAUUUCUGCUCCAUGGCCUGGAGCCACUCAUUAGCUUCCAAAGGAUGUUCAGCUUUUAAAAAGACUGGGGGACGUGUUUCCAGAAAUUGGGUGUAAGACACCCCUUGCUCCGGCUCCCUUCUACGUCCACCGUUGCCGGUAUUCUGUACUAUCAUCUGGAGUAAGCGGGCUUGCUCUGCCCCAGAAUUCAUUAAACUGGCUAUGGCGUCAGCCAAUGUAGGUGCUCGGGGUAAAUCCUCUUCUUGUCCUCCGGAGCCUGAAGCUCGGAUUUCUCUGGGAUCCGUCAUACUGCCAAGAGGAACAAGAUAUUAAUAUCUAUUGUACAUUCUUAUCGACAACUCGUUGCAUACUAACAUAUCACACAUCAUGCUUAUACACAAACCAUACUUAUGUACAUACUUAUUUAUAUUACACGCCUAGGAGUUAAUAUUUACAAAACCCCUUGGUACCACUUGUCCAUCACUCAUAUCUUACAAGAAUAUAUUACAACAUGUUCCAAACAAGUUCACGUCAACCAUCGUAAGGAAAGAUGCCCAGUUCUUCGGCAUUUAAGCCUAGUCGUGCCAUGGCUUCUUGCAGGACGUCUUGAUCCACGGUCAUCAAAGUUUGCCCUGGGGGAGCAACAGGUGGAGCUUGAUUGACAGAAUUCUCGCUUCCGGACUCCGGUCCAUAAUCACUCCAAGUGCGAGAAGUAUCAGAGGUGCUGAUUCCAGAAUUUCCUUCCAUCUCUUCUGGCUCCUCUUCUUCUUCGCCUUCCUGUUCUUCUUCUCCCCACUGCUGCAUGGGACCAUAGCCCUGAGGAUCUAGUCCAUCAGCAUUGGCAUUGGCCCACGCAAACUGUUGAUGGCCCGCAGGGACUUCGCCCUGAUCAUCUUCCAUAUCCACAUCAAAGCCUUCUAGAUUCUCGUGAGCAUAUAAAUCUAUUUCAGGUUCUGCCGGUGGCACUGGAUCUUCUUCCAUUUCUAGCACAGGCACUAGCUGAUCUGCUUCCUCCGGGUUUUGAGGUUGAGGCUCUUCUGGUGGGGGAGGUGGUGGAACAUUUAUCAUAUUUUGUGCCGGUGCUUGAGCUUGCAUUUCUUCCAGGGCUAGACGAAGUGACAGAAUCUCGUCUAGCUGCUGAAACCUCUCCGCCUCCAGCCUAUGGACAUUGGAUUCAGCUUCUUCUCUUGCUCGAUCCGCCAUGCUUCGACUUGCUUCGAUAAAUCCUUGCAGUGCCCGAAGUUUCUCUUCAUAAUCCUCAAUUCGCCUGGACUGCUCUCGCAUUGCCUUCUCCAUCUCGUGCUCCCUUGCCAUUGCUGCCUUCUUGUACAUUUCUUUGUCAUACCGGGCACCCAUUGCUUCCAUCCUAGUAUCUUCGUUCUUCUGUCUCUAAUUGUAAUAUUCCCGGAUACAAGCUUGAUGUAGAUUGUACAUAGCAGUCAUGUAGUCCGAAGCAGCGGCUACCAACACAUCGUGUUCUACACGAGAUGUGUUCUUCAAGGCUUUGAUCCUCCGCUUCCAUAUCCCGUCAUCUUGAUGCUUAAUUGGAUAGAAUCGAGCAGAGCUCGAUCCUAUUUCCACCUUAUGGUUCUCACACAGCUCCGUAAGAGCUGUCAUGGCUGCCCUUUCUAUAGUAUCAUGGAAUUCGAAACCUGAUUCCAUUACUUCCUCCAGGCGCCAAUUAGGAUGGUUAUCAUCAUCUGGAAUAUGCACAUACACUGUGCAAUAUUGCUUAUGUCCAGUAUCUUCCUUCCUCCAGUAAUACUCUGGGGGACUAUGGAAGCCCAACUCUUGUAGUGUCUUCCAGAGUAACUGCACAAACCCUGGUUUAUCCAGAUAACGGCCACGAGUCCACCCAUCCCUAUCCGUGUAACCUUCUUCGAACAUCCUAUAAAAAGAAACGAGAUCAGGUCUAGCGGCACUCACCAAACCCAAAAGUUUUUAAACAUGCAAUGCAAUUAUGAUGCAACGAUUCCUACGUACUUUCAGACUCAUAUACACACUCGUAGAAAAAUUGGUGGCAUCAUAAUCUCUCCCUAAUAAACUAUCGAAUACUAGCGACACGCAGCAAACAGUUAACAUCUGCAAAAUAAUCAACUGGUUAACACUACUGCCACCUGUGACUCUUGUUUUUAUUAUUUAAAAUAGAGUCUCAGCAUUUGAAAAGUAAUAUUUGUUGAUUAGCCCAACCUACGGCUCUGAUACCAGCUGUGGCGGAACCGCCCAGCUUAAGCUGGUUUAAGUGCGCCUAAUUGCUGUCGGAGCAGCAAUUAUCCGAAACGCACCUAAAACAGCAUAAGUCCGGUAGUCCGUCGAGUGUCCCUAGGACUCCUCGAAAGAUCCACGGCGUGUUUCAUCACCAUACAUCAGGAUAAUAUCCGCGAUGGGAUAACAUCAACAAACAUUACAUUUUUACAUACAUAAUUAAGAGGUACGAGUUAUUACAAGACUUCAAGUUGAAACAAACUUAGUGAUGCAUAGUUAGACAAGCUCUAAGAUUAAACAUAAGUAGUUUAGGAGAAGAUGCGUUGAUAAACGGUUUGCUAGAGUAUUGAGAGACUCAGGUCAAUACUCUAGGUCUUCGGGGUCUCCUCCUCGACAGCUUCUUGGGUAGCUUCUGAAAGAUAACCACAAGGGGAAAACCCUGAGUACGGGGUACUCAGCAAGUCUUACCCAACUAACCACUAUAAUAGUUUUUCUUUUGGAAUGCAUGUCGGCCUUUAGGUGUGCUUGGUUGACACAAUUUUUGCCGAAAAGCUUACUACGAGUGAAGCCUUAGUUUUGUCUUUUAGUUUAGUUAAGUUAUUACCUAACCGUUCUAGAUGGUAACAGAAGUAAAAGCAAUCACAGCUGUUGAUUCAUACAAUACUUGGCAACAAAAAUUUUAUAUCACAUGAGUUCAUGCUACGAAGCUCAACGGUGAUCAAGUGCAUUCAUAACCGAGAAUUGCGGCGAUCCGGAUCAGAUUACAUCCUGCAGGAGAGCACCCGAUCACCCGCAUCAUACGACUGUCCAGGUCGUACUAGCAACCUCUCGAUUAGUAAAGUCAAUGAUUAGGAACACAACUACCCGGACCCAGGGAUGCACCCCCACAUGGGACCCCACGUCUGGCCUGAUCCCCAUGUGAGUUUCAGGCUACACCCCUGCCAAUCUCCAGCACGUCAAAUGCGGGUACGAAGCAUUCCUGAUCAUAGAAUUUACUAACCUACUGGGCUUUACUGGUCCCAUACCCAGUAAGUGAUCAGAUGUUAUCACUUGAUCAGUGGUUAAGACACGGCCCGGUCCUUAAGCAGAUUAAUGAGCAGACAGAACUACAUCUCUAGCUUCUGUCUGGUUCUAUACUUCAAACUAUCCUUCAUAAACAGCAUGUAUGAUUAAGAGUUUUCCCUAAGGUUGGUAAACCAAGCAUGUAAGCAAGUAAGCAAUUCUAGACUUGGGUGGUUUCUAGGAUUUGAACAAGUGGCAAAGAUGUCCUUAAUUCAAGGCAUGAUCAUACACAAGAAUAGGUUUCAUCCAACUCCUAGACCUAGUGCAUACAAUAACCAAGUAACCUAUAACUAGUCACAUGAAAUAACGAUUCCAAAAUAGAUAGGUAUAAAUGCACCGGGGCUUGCCUUGAUCGUUAAAAAGAUUAGCAGACGCCGACGGAUUCACUUCACAGGGGACAAAUUCAAACACCUCCUCGGACUCCAAAGGUCCUUCUGAAAAUUCCCAGUAAUCUUCUUCCGGCGCUUCUGGAUCUACGGUAUAUAUGCAGGGGUUAGAAUGCAAACUUUUUAAACAACAGACUAUACAACUUUCCUUCAUGAUAAAGUUGCAAGCCAACAAGGACUAUACGACUUAUCAUGGGUAAGUUGUAAGUCAACACACAAAAGAAAUCUAAAAAGAUUAACCUAUAUUUUUAUUUUCUUAUUUAACCCUUCCUAUAGCUUUUUCUUUUAUUUUUAGAAAAAGUGGUAAUUAUUUUCUAUCUUGAAAUUCUAAUUUCCUAUGAGUUAUGGAUUAUUUGUGAUUAAUAAAGUGUUAUUUAUAUUUUAUACAUUUUAUAAAUAUUAAGUAUUUAUUUAAUUACCUUAAAAGGAAGGCAUUAAAUAAAUACCUAAAUUUUUAUUAUUUUCCUAGGGUGUAAAAAUUUUAAUGCAUAAAGGAAAAUAAAACAAGCCUAACGAAAUUGGUUUCACUAAUUUUGGACAUUCCUACAAAUUUCUGUGAUUAAAAUGGUGUAAAAAGAUUUUAAACGGAUUAUUUUAUUAAAGAAAUCUAACUUUUUCCCGAAAAUUCCCUCGGAAAACUUUUCUUACGCAGCUCAACUCUACCCCCCUCUCAUGCGUACCGGGCCCCACGACGCGGACCCACCUAUCCUCCUAUUCCCCCUACCCGCUGGCCCUUUACUCCUUCUGACGGGCUCCGUGGGCCGCUUCUCCUUCCCUUUCUCCUGUUAGCCCAACACCGGCCCAUGGCCCCUUUUUCUUUUUCCUUCCUUUCUCACGCGACGUCGGCCUGCAUCCGCUGGGCCCCCAGCCCUUUUCCUUUCCGGCCGACCGCACGCGCGUUACUGGGCCGCGAAACGCCGGCCCAAGACGACCGCACCGCUCUGGCCCGCGCCUUCCUCCCCCUUCUCUUACUGACAUGCGGGCCCGGUGCACAGCACCUUCUUCCUCCUCCCGCCAAAACGCAACCGGAACAGGGGGCGGCGCGGCUCGCCGGCCGGCGCCCUCCCGGCGGCGGGUCUCGACGACAACACCAACCCUAACCCUACACGACCUCGCGCGCGGCGACAGCUUCCCUGGAGGUGACCGGAGCUACCUCCUCCACGGUGACGGGCGGCGACACCCCCGGCCGGCCAUCGUUACCCGCGACUACGGCACAACCUAGCCAAACGACUACCCCGACACCAUCCUAGGACUCUAGGGACUCGACUACGACUGCUCAAGAAGAAAGAGAGACAGCGCGAGAGGGUUCUCACCGAGAGCGGGCGGUGCGGCGGCGGCGGACAGAAGCGGCGGCGAUACAAGGUGUUGCGGUGAGGAAGCUGAGCAACAAGUUGCUGGGGUUAUUGGUGGGAUGUAGGCGGAGGUGCGGACGGAAGGAAUCGAUGAGAGCUGUUCGGAGGUGGUCGAAUUUUGCUUGGCGGCGGUGGUUGACAGAAGAGGCACGGGCGGCGGUAAAAAGAGAGGCAGUGAAACGGCGGCGCGGGAGCAGUAGAUAUUCAAGGGUUUCACCGCGCGCAUGGGUGACACCGUGGUCUAGCCGUAGGUGUAUGUGGCGAGGAGGUGGCUUAGCUUAGCUGCGCUGGCGGAUGACCGACGACGGCGGCGGCGCCACGUCUCGGUGCUCAGUCACCGCCCGUGACCUUCAGAGCUUCUCCGCGGUUGAUCCUUGAUCCGAUGGCCUCUCGUGUUUUAACAGAACUUGAAGAUAAACUCAAGACCUUCAUCUUUUAUUUUGGCGUCAACUUGAGAUAAAGAUCGAAUUCACUGAAUUUUUGAAGUUUAGCUCGGGUUAGCUCUGAAUGUCGAUUGAAUUGCACUUGCUGUUCGUCAGUUCGACAGUGAUAUGGACUUUAAAUUGGGAACCAAUUUAAGGACUUAAGUCUUGUUUUUCCAGUCCAAUUUCUUCUCAAAGGUGUACUAUGAUCUCCCAAGUUUCCAUUUUGCACAAGAACAAGUACCUCUUUUGAUUUAAAUGGCUCUGAGUUCAAUCCCAAAGUUGAGACCACACUGUCAUUCAGACUUAGCAAAAGUUUCAGAGUUUCAGUCAUUUGUGAUCUUGUGCUGACUUUGAGCUCGAGGUUGACUUCCUUCCUUUUACUAUUCCUGGCCAACAACACAUGAUUAUUGCAGUCCAAAGUUUAUAUUUCAACAUGGUAUAGUUGUUCUAGUACACUUGGUUGGAAAAUUCUUCAGAAUUGAAUUUUGAAAACAGACUCUGGAACUGCUUUCUCUGAACCUAUUGUCGGACGAGGAACAGUAAACGGGAUUUCCCUUUUCUUCUUCUUUCUCUGAUUCUUUUGAGAUAUUUAGCACCAACUCAGCUCCAAAUUUCGAUUCCUUGCUUCCAAAUAAUCCCAUACUUGUAUUCCACAUGUUGGACAACUUUUUCUGAAUUUCAAAUUUGAAAUUCAAAUUUUUGGUCAAAAUUUGGCCGAAUUUGAUCUUUUUGCCAUUUUUCUUCUCUUUUCUUUUGGAUUUCUUUCUGAAUUUUUCAUAGUCACUAUGUUACUUAAAAUGGCACUUAUUACAACCCCGCCGCUGGUGAGCACCUCCAUAGAGUCCCCUUGACCUCCUCUUCCAAUCCCCAUCCUCACGACCGGACUGCCCCCAAUCCCGCUGGUCAGAAGCCAGCCGCCAUGGCCAUUAGAAGCUCUUUGAGCUUUUGUGAUUAGGCCACUUGGAGAUCCUGUAAUGUUUACAAGUUUUCCUAUGUCUUGCUCCUUUUACAAUGAACCCCAUAGACUUUAUCUGAUCCUUGCAAUCGAACCAAGUUGUAAUCUUUAUCAGAUCUAACCUCGAGCCUUAUCAAUUUCGCGAGCACUCUUUGAUGUGUCUUGCAAAUCUUCUCUGCUAGCCCCUAUUGUCUAGGGUUAGUCACGAUUAGACCCUGUAGCUUGUUUCAUCGAUCCUUUGUUUUAGCUCCGUUUAACCUCAUUCUUAUUGUGUUAGGUUGAUGAUAACAUAAAUUACACGUUAGUAAUGAUGGUUUCCAUCAUGCAUGUUUUUGAAAAUAAAUUUAAUAUUAAUUUUAUUGAUGCCUGUUAAACAUGUCUUCCUUAAUUAAAAGCUACUAUACACCUCUUUUUAUAAUCAAUGUUAAUUUGAUUAAUGCUUACUUCAUAUAUUUUUCUAAAUAAAAGCUAAGUAGAGCUACACCUCGGUUUUUCAUAAACUAAUGUUAAUUAUUUUAAUAUUCAACACUGAGUCAACUUUUCCAAAUAAAAGUUGAUUAGGCUUUUACACUGGCUUUUAUAAAUAAAUAUUAACUUGAUUAAUACCAACAUGAUUAUGUUUUCAAUAACAAUUUGAUCCACUUGAAUCAUAAAGUAUAUGUUUAGAUCUUUCAUAUAGUUUGGCUUUUCUAAAAGUUAAAUGUUUAAAUGAUAUAAUUUAUACUUCAAUAUUUACAAUUAAAAUAUAGAUAAAUUAUAACUCGGUUUUUCUUAAUUAUUGAUAAAAUGACCAAUGUCAAUAUGAAUGUGUUUUCUAAAUAAACUUUGUUUGGCCCAACACGACAGAUGUAUUAAUUCGAUUACAUGUGUUCAUCUUUCUAAAGUUAAGUGUUCAUCUUUUUUUAUUUGGUCUAACUUUAAUCAUUGACAAGUAAGCCUAAUAAUAAUCAUUGAUGGGUGGAACAAUUGUUUUAUUGGUACGUGUCCCUCUCCAUCUCCCCCAACCGGCCCUACCCCGCGUCCAAGCCCCGGCGACGCCCGCCGCUGCGUUCCCCGCCCGCGUCGCCGUCCCCGAGGAGAUCCACAUCCACCGCGCCGUCGGAGACCCUCUCCUUCCUCAUCGCGAGAACCUUCUCCAGCAACGGCGCCUCGUCUUCCUACUCGAAGCCGCUGCCCUCGCUCUUCCGCGGCGUACGUCCCAGCCCCAAGCCCGGCGCCGCGCUAGCCGGCGCUGCCGCGGCAUCCCGAGCGGUCCUUACCCCGCACGCGGCUGCAAUCAAGUCCCGCCGAUCAGUCUCGGCGCCCGUCGAGAAGCUCCUGGAGGAGGGCAGUGGCUUCGAGGCUUCCGAGGAGCUCCCUUCCACUGGAAGCUUGGAAACAGAGGUAGAAGAAAAGGGGAACUCGGAAGUGGUUCCUGAACCGACAAGAGCAAACCGCCAGUGGGAGUGGGACUGAAGAAUUUGAAGAGGAGAAACAUGCAGAAGUGGAAAUUGAAGAGAGUUCUGGGUCUACAAAGCUGGUGCAGGCGAGUACCCUUGAUUCUAUAGUCGCUGACGAUUUCAGUGGGCAUGAGCAAACGCUGAAAAUGGCAGCAUGGUGGAAACCGAUCAAGUUGAGAACCAUACUGCAGUUGUCUAUGAGGAAAAUGCAUAUGACCAAACUGGAGAUGAUAAUUAUGUGCAAUCAGCUCAGAGUAUGGAUCCAAUUGGGUCCGUUUCUGAGGAAAGUUUUGAUGAUGAUCGGGAGGCCGACAGAUCCGACAGAAUCAUCGAAGACCAAGUGGAAUCUGAGAGUUCAAUUGAUAAGGUGAUCGAGGAGAGAAUGGGGCAGCUGGAGAUCAGCAGGAAGGCUGAGAAGAAUGCAGAGAAGAAACAGAAAGUGUCGAUGAAACCGUUGGAGUUGGCAGAGGAGCUUGAGAAGAGGCAGGCCUCGUUUGGUCAACACUGGAAAGAAGGAGCAGCUGCCCAACCCAUGCAACUAGAGGGGAUAGGAAAGGGCCCACCAGCUAUUGGUUACAUGCAAAUCGAGAUGGACAACCCAGUAACUCGUGCCAUGUCCUCACCGUCAUUUAGGCCGGACACCAGGUGCUGGCAGUUCAUGGGAGCUAUAUAGCGAUGGGCACGUCUAAAGGUGCUGUCAUUGUCAUUCCAAGCAAAUACUCCAUUCAUCAAGCUGAAUAUAGCUAUAUAGCUAUAUACUCCGGAUUCAGUAUUUCGAUUUUUGGUAAGUCCUCUGGAGAUACCAAGUUGAAACCCAAAGUAUAAUCAGGACCAUUCCUGCACAUAUCUGUAAUCUUUGAAAAUAAAAGACUCGAUGAAUCUGAAAUCUUCUUAUCCAAACUAAAAGCUAGAACGAUAUUGCUUUUGACCCUGUCAGGUUUUUUAUGUUUAAUGAUUUCUUUGGUAUGCUACACUGUGUUGGUAAUAUCAUGGUCCAUCGCUGAAGGAUUAACUUAAAGAAUGCAUGCAGUUUUUUAUUUCUUUCAUUGUAAUCACCUUCAUAUUGUCCUGCUGCUAUUUCAGAGACGUUAUGUGAAUAGGACAAUUGUUGAACUUGAGGCUGCAGCACAGGAAGAACUUAAGAUAUAACUGAACUGCGUCUUGCAAAGCUUUUCUCAUCAGAGCCGACUGUUCCCUCUACUACUACUAAAACCCCCAACAUCCAAUCAGAUAAAGCAGCAGGUAUCAAUUCCAUUCGAUCUGCGGGAGCUAGAGUUGUCGAAACGAGAUUGGGUUCGCGGAGUUGGAAGAGUUCCAUGUGUGGAUCCCAGGUAAUAAACAGAUAGCAUUAAACCACCCACAAAUGUCUUCUACUACUGUACUUGCAAAGAGAGGACUAGGACAGCGCACCAACAUAUUGUGAAGCGAAGCUAACGUAUUAGUGAAUAAUAACGUGAGAGCAAGUAUGGGCCCGUAGCAACGCACGGGCAUUUCUGCUAGUGAACAUUUAUGAAUAAAACUUGAUUAGGUUUUUAAAUAAAGUAUAAUUUGCAUUAAUUCCAACAUAGGUUAUUUUUCUUUCUUUACAUAUGUUUUGUUAAUUAAAAUAAACCGGGUGUGACAAGAGCAAUCUUGGUUAAAUCCUAUAUACUGCACAUUUGCAUAUUUUGUGUGAGAAAUUGUAUGAUGUGUGACAGCUAGAAAUUUGCUCUACAUAUACCUAACUUUUUAUGCGCGGGUGCGGCUGACUAGCUUCUCCAGAGCAAGCAGACUCAUGCCCCUCCCGCAGGUGUAGUUUGGUCAAGGAGGGAGCAGAGGCGCCGGCCACCUCACACAUCUGUCACGGUUUAACUUGUCACUAGUGGCAUGUCGGGCGUAGGGCUAUGUUUCUUUUAAACUAAAUAGCACAGAAUGGAUAAUACAGCAUUUUGCAAUCGCAAAUAUGUGUGUGUGUGGGUAGGGGUAUUGUUACGUACCGUUGAGAGAAUUAGAAGAAAGAUCCAGCAUUGUUAGCUGGGUCAAAUUAACAAUUGAGCUUGGUAUGCUUCCGGAAAAAUUGCAACCUCGAAGAACUAACCAUCUCAACUUAUUGAGCUGCCCAAUUGCAUAAGGUAUCAACCCAGAAAUCUGACAACCAUGAAUGUCCAUGGCUUCCAAGUUAGUGAGGUUGCCAAUUGGAGCCGGCAUUGAACCUGAAAACCCAGAAUCCACGAUAUACAUGUUUCUCAAAUUUGUGAGCUUGCCAAUUGCAGGCGGCAUUGGCCCUGAAAACCCACAGUGUGCUAUAUACAUGUUUCUCAAAUUUGUGAGUUCACCAAUUGCAGCUGGCAUUGGUCCUGAAAACCAAGCAAACUCGAUAUACAAGUUUCUCAAAUUUGUGAGUUCACCAAUUGCAUCUGGCAUUGGUCCUGAAAAUCCAGCACCCUCAAUAUACAAGUUUCUCAAAUUUGUGAGUUCACCAAUUGCAGCUGGCAUUGGUCCUGAAAACCAAGAUAAUAUAUACAAGUUUCUCAAAUUUGUGAGGUUGCCGAUAGAAGAUGGCAUGGAGCCAUAUGUUGUGCAAUAAUGCAUUUCAAGUGUUUGCAAGCCCGUGAGGUUUCCAACUGCAUGAAGUACUGGACUUGGGAGGUCGCAGUUAUCUAUUUCCAAGUUUUUCAAGUUCAUGAAGUUGCUAAGUAAGAUAGGCGGUACCCCAGAGAAGUUACAUCCAAAGAGUCCCAAACUUGUUAGGUUUUUGUGCUGGCCAAUCCAUGAGAAAAUUGGACCUAAGUCGCUUCCUGAGUCCAAAUCGAUGUCCAACUCAUUAUCCAAAAAACAAUGAAGGUCCAACUGGUGUAGAGACUUAAGUCUACCGAAUGCAGAGAGAAAAUCCACAGAAAUUAAAUUCCUGUUAAGGGCCAACUCCUUCAGCGACGCAAAAUUACUAGAAGGCGUUGGUAUGGCAUAUACAAAGUUGGUCCCAUCUAGUCUCAAAGUUUCUAAAGAGCUGGCAUUAGAAAAGUUUGGCACAUGGCCUGAGAGAUUCAUAUUAUAGGACAAAUCGAGGACCCUUAAAUUUUUCGAUUGAAAGGGUCUAGAGGGUAACCGCCCCUCAAGAUUUGUCUCAGAAAGUUGAAGCACGGUUAAAUUGGGAAAAUCCAUGAAGAACUCUGGAAAUGGACCAGCAGCUGCAUCAAAGUUUCCUUGGAGGUUGAUCACAACAAGAGAAUGGAGUCUCGAGAGCGCUUUAUGAAUAGGACCACUCAGGGAACAAUCAGCCAAACUAAGUACCUGAAGUUGAGGAACAUAUGCAGCAAGAGAUGUGCCCCACUCUUCUCCACUAUUAGACAAAUCCACCGAGUCAAGGUAGAGCUCUCUUAAGUUGCUGAGGUUUGCCACAAAGGUAUCAAAACUUGAUUCCCAUAAAUUGUUAUAAUAAUCAUAAUAGUUUGGACCAUAAAAACCGAGAGAAUAAUCAAUAUUGUAUGUUGAAAGAUCCAAUGAGAGAAGGUUCACUAGUUUACUGAUGCUAGGAGGUAUCUGACCAUAUAAUCCUGAAUUGGAAAGGUUUAGGUGGGUUAAAAAAGUGAACCUCUCAAAACCAGCAGAUUGGAUGUUGUCUCCACCGAUGUCAUUCAUGCUAAGGUCGAGUCGCCAAAGUGAUAUGAGGCUGAAGAGUGCAGGGUCCAAGCCAUGACUUGACAAGCAACGGUUGUUGAGGUCGAGAAUGGUGACAUGGCCAGACGAAGGGUCACAGCCAACACCCUCCCAGAGACAACAGUCGGUACCAUUUCGCCAUGAUGAAAGCCUGGUAGUGGAUCUGCUGAAGGAGAAGGACUUCUUCAGCUGGAGGAGCGCCUUAGCUUGGUUUGGAUGGCACAAAAAUGAGACAGGGAGGUGAGUGAGGUUACCACCAUCAGCGCGGUGGGCAAUGGAGGUGGAGAGUAGUGUGUGGAGCUGAGCAAGAAAGAGCAGUAACACCCAGCCGAUGGAAGCCAUAGCAACUUAGUAUGAGCCGACGAUAGGCUUACAAAGAGGCACAAGGCAGAUACAUAAUGGAUUGUCUAGUCUAGUAAUGCGCGACAGAUUGUUAUGCAGCUUCCAGCAGCUGUCAAGUCUUUGUCCAUUAAUAAAUUAAUUAAUUUACGAGUACCAUGGCUAAGCUGUACGCAAUUGCGACACCUGAGGAGACUUGACUGUACCAUGGGCUAGCUGUACGCAAUUGCUACACCUGAGGAGACUUGACUAGCCUUUCGUCAAAUGCUGUUGGUAUCAUCCACUGCUACAACAGUGACCGGUAAUUGGAAGUCUCACUAUAGCAAGACUUCCAAGUCAACUAAGCCGGCCGCUACAUUCUGAGGAAGGUGGAAUUGAAGAUCAAAUCAAGUCGGGCGUUGGGAAGAAUUAGUCCGCACUCCGCUGAUAACAACAUCGAAUAUACUGAUCUGAUGUGCUUCAUUUUUUUUUGGGUUGGAGUGGAGCGGCAUCAAGAUCCUACUGCUGUGGAAAACACUGAAUUGACUCGUUUUAUCUCCCACAAAACGUGGCUGAAGAUGAUAGUGGUGCUUCAAGAAACAGCGAGAUGGAGCAAGUAAAAAUGCAGUUGAGCCGCAGCUAAAACUUGUCGAGGUUACCACGAUGCUCGUGAAUCAUAGUAUUCCAGCCGCGGUAGUUCUCGUCUUGUCGAAGGAGAUGUUGCAGUGUUCACGUCUAGAGCUCAUCCAAUCCAUGGCGUUCCUCUGGCCGAGUCGUCGAUACGAAGGAGACGUCGCGUCACAUGCGUGUUCCUCAUGUCACCUUUGCCUACGACCAAUAAGACGAUGACACCAGAACCUUUUUAUUUUUUCCCCUAAUCAGCAGCUUUCAAAGCGGGCGCCUGCGGACAGCACUGUCCGCGUCAGAUUUGGCACACAUUAGCCGCAGUUGCACUCGUCCACGUCCGGUCCUCCCCCACCCCACCCCACCACCACCACCACCACUGAUUGCCGAAGCUCCCUACACUACAGGGUAAGGAACAGCUAAGAUCUGAGCAAGUAAAGUCGGGAUAUUUAAUUAUUUGCCAUUCUUAUAACGAAUUCCUACAUAUCUGUCAUUGAAGAAAGAAUUAGUCUAUACUUUUACCAUUUUUGCUGAUGUGGUGAGCCACAUCCUCGUGCUAGCAUGAAUUGAGCAUGGCAAUGACCAUAGUGCCCCUGCCUCCCUCACGUUAGCCAUCCCCUUCCCUCUAUCCUACCACUAAUGGAUGGGGACUCACAUGUCAGGGUCAUCUUCAACCUAUUGCCGCAUGGUCUUCCGCUGUUGUGCGGCUCCUCUACGGUACAUCACGGGGGAGGAUACCACGACUUGGAGGUGUCGGGUGGACUACAUUUUCACUCAGAAGGACCUUAAUCUAGGACAGCGUCGUUGGUUGGAGUUGAUCAAGGACUAUGAUCUGGAAAUUCACUAUGAUCCUGGUAAAGCAAAUUUGGUUGUAGAUGCCUUGAGUUGGAAGGGUCAUGCUAACAUAGCUUUGGCAUUUCAGCUGCCUGAAGAGUUGAUGAAGGAGUUUGAGAAACUUAACUUGGGGAUAGUUGCCCAUACUGAAGGAGUGACUAUGGAAAGAAAUACGGAAUGGACAGCUUGAGGAUGUUGAGAUCAAGGAGAUCAAGGAACUUAUGAAGGAAGGGAAGGCUCCAGAAUUCAUAGAGGAUGAUCAAGUGACUAUAUGGCUCAGAAAGAGGAUUUGUGUACCGAAUGUGGGAGAUCUCAGAGACACCAUCUUGAGGAAAGCUUGUGAUUCAGCCUACUCAAUUCGUCCUGGGAGAACCAAGAUGUAUCAAGACCUCAAGAAGAAGUAUUGGUGGUAUGGGAUGAAGAAGGAUGUAGCUGCACAUGUGGCCCUAUGUGAUAGAUGCUAGAGAGUUAAGGCUGAACACCAAAGACCAGCUCGAUUGCUUCAACCAUUAAAGGUUCCUGAAUGGAAGUGGGAGGAAAUCAAUAUAGAUUUCAUUGUUUGUUUGCCCCGCACCUAAGAUGGAUAUGAUUCAAUAUGUUUUAUAGUGGGUCAAUUGACCAAGGUAGCUCACUUCAUCCGAGUGAGAACCACCUAUGCUGGGUCCAAGAUGGCAAAGCUGUAUAUAUCAAGGAUUGUGUGUUUGCAUGGUGUACCCAAGAAGAUAGUGUCUGAUAGAGGUACUUAGUUCACAUCCUGUUUCUAGUAGAAGCUGCAUGAAUCCAUGGGUACAAAGCUAAAUUUCAGCUCAUCUUAUCAUUCUUAGACAGAUGGACAGAUUGAUAGGACAAAUUAGAUUCUAGAGGAUAUGUUGAGAGCCUGCGCUCUAAAACAUGGAGGUAUUUGGGAUAAAAGUUUGCCUUAUGCUGAGUUCUCUUAUAACAACAACUACCAAGCCAGUCUCAAGAUGUCACCCUUUGAGGCUCUAUAUGGAAGGAAGUGCAGAACCCCUCUGUAUUGGAGUGAGACAGGAGAGAGUCAAUUAUUUGGGCCAGAGAUUAUCCAAGAAGCUGAAAGGCAAGUUCAGAUAAUUAGAGAGAAUAUGAGGACAGCUCAGUCCAGGUAGAAGAGUUAUGCUGAUACUAAAAGGAGAGAAUUGAUCUUUUAGGAAGGUGAUUAUGUGUAUCUUAAAGUGUCACCCAUUAGAGGCUUACGCAAAUUUAAGGUUAAAGGGAAGUUGCCACCUCACUUUAUUGGACCCUUCAAAAUUCUAAAGAGAAUGGGGAAGUAGCUUAUUGGUUGGUGUUACCCAAUCAGCUCUCAGAUGUGCAUGAUGUGUUUCAUAUCUCUCAGCUAAAGAAGUGUCUCAGAGUUCCAGAGGAAUAGAUACCGAUGGAGGAUUUAAAUGUAAAGGAUGAUCUCACCUACACUGAAUACCCUAUAAAAAUCUUGGAUACUCUAGCACGUGUUACCAGGAAUAGAGUGAUCAAGAUGUGUAAGGUACAAUGGAGCUACCAUGCAGAGGAUGAGGCAACAUGGGAAAGAGAGGAUGAACUGAAGGAGGAAUUUCCCCAGCUCUUUGCUAAUCCAUCCGAAUCUCGAGGACGAGAUUCUUCUUAAGAGGGUAGGAUUUGUAACACCCUAAUUUUCAACUUUUGCAAUUUAAUAAAAUUUGUUAGAAAUUAGGUGCAUGUGUCUAAGGAUUUUAAGGUUGCAGUUAAAUUUUCUUAGGCAAUUAAAUCUUUUUCAAAAUAAAGUAAUGAAUCAUAGGAGUUUAUUAUUGCAUUCGUGCUGGUGCAUUAUUUUUGGUUGCUUGAAUUCAAAUUUGUGUUUGAAUUCAGUUUUGAAUUUAUGUUUGUUUUCCCUUCAAACAAUAGGAAACCCUUUUCGUUUUCCCUCCUUUUCUUCUCUCUCUUUCGGCCCGUCUCCUUUUUCCGGCCCAACUCAGCCCGGCGCCCCACUCCUCCUCCGCCUGUCGCAUGCCACAGCCCAGCAGCAGCCCAACUCCCAUGUCGGUUCGUUCCGCCUCGGCCCAACACCACGCGCCCGCCGCCACCCGAUGACAGGCGGGGCCCGCCUGUCAUCUCCUUCCUUCGGUCGCCCACGCCGCAACCGACUCGGGGUCGAUCCCGAAUCCUCUGUGCUCACCUCCACUUGGCCCGCACGCCAAGGUGCCUCCUUCCAGGCCUAUAAAAGCACCGCCACAUCUCCUGCACCUCGCACCAAACCCUAGCUCCAAGCCACAGCGCUAACGCUGCAACCCUAGCUAGCCGCCCGCUGUCGUCGAUUUGUGCCGCCGCCGCCUUUCCGUCGCCAAGAAUACCCCCAGGAGCUUUGCCGCAAGGUGAGGAAGCCCCUGGUGCGGGUCUCGUGCGCUCCCAUGCCUCUCUCCGGGCGCACGAGCUCGUUGGAGUUGGGCAAGCUCGGCCGGGCCACCUCGUUGAGCCUCCGGCCACCACUAGCACCCAAUCCUCCUCCUCAACACCCUAGAUUGACUCUUCGUGUUAAAAACCAUGCCCAGAAACUCAAUUCCGAGCAAAGUUCAGCGUGUCGCUGCUCGUCGUCAUCGCGCGCUGCUCGCGUCCGCCGCCCACGCGCCGUCCAUGUCCUCUCGGCAGCCGCUAGCUGUACGAUCUGCUUUGGACAGCUCAGAUCCGAUCUAACCCGAGUCAAACCAACACGUACUAGUCAACCCCCAUGCCGCACCGUUCAUUUUGCUAAAUAGUCCCUAGGUUUUAGGGGUUUUGCACCCAAGGUCCAGAGUAGUUCAAAGAUCUUUAGAUCUCGGUCCUUUUUCUUCUGUUCUAGCCCUUGAUCUUUUGCAAAAUAGUGCCCACAAUCCUAGACUCUCUCUUUUGUGCGUUAAACCUUUAGUUUAUACGCAUAUUUAUGUUUUAGCCCUCGGUUUCUUCGAGCUUAACCCCUAAAAGUUUUAAAUCUUUGCCAGCAAGCCCUUGCACCUUGUUUAGUGCACAUCUUUAGCGUUUUAGGUCCAUUUUAAGUGCUUCCUACGUCUAUGAGUUCAUCUUUACGCAUAGAUUAGUUUUAUGAUCUUGUUUCUCUCUGUUGUUACUGAUUGAUGUAAUAUUUUCUUAUUUUAUUCCUUUGCUUGCUUGUACGUGAUCGUGUGAUGCAUUAGAAGGACUGUAGCUCGAGGGAUUCAGAGGUCAAGACUUUGAAGACUACGAGCAGCUGGAGCAAAUCCAAGAAGGCAAGUCAUGCCCUUGAUCACAACUUGAAGCUAUGAAACUUUUUAAUUUCCUAUUUAAUAACAUUUAUGCCAUGCACUUUAAGUUACAAACAUGAUGUGUCCUAAUUAAGGAGGAGUGACUAGUUUUAUUCCCAAUACCUCGAUCAACCCGGGCUUACAUAAUGUUGGGUAGUAUAUGCUUAGUUGCUCAACUUGGGUAUGGUGGUAUUAAUGAACUCAAUGGUUAAACUUGUUUUAUUUAUGAUAUGCCUAUCAUUAACACAAAAUCACCAUACUUAAUUAGAACAUGGAGAACCAACUGGGCAAACAGUACAACCACAAGAACUAAAUGGCUCUGGUCUUGACUAAUUAAUUAGAGAUUUUAGUCUGGGGUAAUCUUACCGAAAGGGCAAGAUGGGCGGCGGCAAAUGGGGUAUAACCCGGUCCACUUGGGAAGUGAGCUUUGCCCUAACAUUAUGCCCACUGGCGAGGUUUAUACUCUGCUACUGAUCCGGAAACCUUAGCGGGUUACCACUUACUAGGGGCUCUUUGUGAAGAUCUCGUAGCGUCCCUAUGCAAUCGCACCUCGGUAGUGUGGUAUUGUGCAUAGCCUGCACAACAUGGUUGGGUAUAAAGUUCUUUUGAACUUUUACGCGACUUGUGGGUAAAGAUGUGCAAGCUCUAUAGAGUGUAAAACUGACCGAUCAGUCAUGCUCACGGUCAAGAGCGGCCUGGACCCUCACAUGAUUAAAUUAUCGGAAGUUGAAUUAAAUUGUUAUUAUUUAUUUCUGUUAUCUUUAUUUAUGUUCACAUUGAAUGUGGGUGGUAUAAACUUACCGUUUAGUAAAUGCUAAUAAAACUUGACCAGCCAAGUAAAUGCUAAUAAAACUUGACCAGCCAAUUAAAAUGCUUGACUUGCUAAUCAAUCUUAACCUAUCAUUGAAUGGCCAUACACUACACAUUCCUCACGCUUGCUAAGUACCAACCAUAAGUGUACUUACCCUUGCUAAAAUCGCUGCUCAGAACAAGUCAACGCUGUGGAUGUCUUUCAAGAUUGGGAGGAGUACUAGGCGCGUACGUGUUUCUCCAGUCAUCUGCCUGUGGAGUCGCCGUUUUCGUUGAAGAUCCACUGCGACAAUAAUACUCUUUUUGCCAUUCGGUUUAAAAGACUAUCGAUCAUGUAAUAAUUAUAUACUCUCUCUACAUUAUGGCAUUAUCUUUGUUACUCACUAAAGUCAUCGCAUAUGUGUAAUUUGAUUCUGAUGUACAUGUGAUUCAUGCAUCUGGUUUUGCCUUUAAAAUAGAGAUACAUGGCCUUUUAUAUUGUUUCUGGACAUGCUGAGAUAUCUGGUGUCCCUAAGAUAGGAUGCCCAGUUGGGUGGAACGGAAGAGAAUCCGUUGUUGGAAUAUCCCAAGAAAGAAGCUGAUGCGUUUGGCAUUGGGAUCUGCCCUAAAAGCCUAUUGAAACUAAGAUCAAGCACUAGUAGUGAUUUACUAAAAGGGAGAACAUCCGAAGCAAGUUGCAUGCCCGUAAGCACGUUAUGCGAAAGAUUCAAAUAAUAAAGGCUACUACUGCUCCAUGUCUCCCAGAUCCGAUUUGGUAUAUCCCCACUGAUUUUAUUAGAUGAAAGAUCCAAAUAUUGUAUAUUUUUAAGACACAUCAAAGAUGUUGGGAAUCGAAUUAUAUUGCAAGACGCGAGCCCUAAAUAGUAAAGUCUGGCCAAAUAGGUAGCCAAAGGAUUAUUACCAUCUGCAUCCGUGACAUGCAACUCAUUGUAGGAAAGAUACAAACUGGUGAGAUCAGUUGAUCUCCAAAAAUGGGAGAGGUCCACGGAACCUAUCAACUUGUUUCGAGCUAACAUCUAUAAGUACCAAACUUGUUAGUUGAAAGAAGGCCUUGGGAAUAAAACCUGACAGAACAUUGUUGCUCAAGCGCACUUUCGCCAACCGUGAUUCUGCCUCGUCAAAGCCAUAUAUGGGGCCAGAAAGUUGGUUGUAAGAAAGAUCCAGGACACUUAAUGCAGGAAGACUGAAAAUAGAUGGUGGAAUCUCUCGUGCAAAGACAAUAGAAAACAUUAAGUUAGAAAGUGUCUCCUCUUCUAGAAAUAUCUGAAUUCAGAAAAUGAUGGCUCCUAUUUUGUUCAGAACAUGAUAAGUUAUGCCACUGAUACUGUACCAUCGAAAAAGCUCCCAAGUCUAGUUAUUUUAUCCUUAGAAAGUUGCAUGACAUAGACUCUAAAGCGAACACUUUAUGUGGUUACACUUAAAGAUUGCUUUGUUUCACCACUCAGUCCAACUGCAGAACGUGCGGCUAGCGGCUUUCACCGAGGAGCAAACUGGAGGGCAAGAGGAGAAAAUCACCAGAAUCAAGUAAGCUGGGGUAGCAAAUCGCCCAUUUGUUCCUGUUUUGUUGGCGUGCUGUUUAUGGGUAGUGUUGUUUAUUUUUAGGUGUAUGCAAAAUGUAUUCUUGAUGAAAUAUGUUGCAUCACAUAUUCUCGAAUAAAAAAGUGAAAACAUUGGUGCUCUGUUGAAUUUCAAUUAUAUUGCUGGAAUUCCUUCCUCCAUUUUUUUUCUUUUUCCUUUUCUUGAUUUUCAAUUAUGUUUGAUGGAAUUUCUUUGAUUCAAAUUUGACUAUAAUUUAUUGAGCUUCAUGCACCAAUCAGUUGCACCUAAAGUCUUAACCCGAUUGGGAAGGACGACAGUUCUAUUAUACUUCAACAUGAUUAACACUCGAAUUCCAAGGAAAACCACUUCAAAUCCCAACAGCCAAGUGGAGCCACAUCACAUUUCGAAGGGGAGAAUGGAGCAUCUGAUUAGAGAAAAGAUACUUCCAAAAUUUGAUUUCUCUGACUUAGAUCAAUCCGUUGACUGUAUUAAGGGAAAAUUUGCAAAACAAAUUAAAAAGGAUGGAGCUAAGCACAGUUCAGGAUUAUUAGAAAUAAUUCAAACUCAUAUAUACGGUCCAUUUAAUGUAAGAUCAGUGGAUGGUUAUAAUUAUUUCAUUACCUUCACUGCUGAUUUCUCCCGCUAUGGAUACAUCUAUCCCAUACUUGAAAAGUCUGAAGCACUUGAUAAGUUUAAAAUCUUUAAAGAUGAAGUAGAAAAUCAGCAUGACUUAAAGAUCAAAGUGGUAAGAUCAGACAGGGAAGGGGAGUAUUAUGGGAAACACUCCACAUAUGGACAAAUUCUGGGACCCUUUGCCAGAUUUAUCCAAGAUAAUGGUAUAGCGGCUCAGUAUUCCACUCCUGGUGAGCCUCAGCAAAAUGGUGUUGCUGAGAGAAGAAAUCGCACUCUUAUGAACAUGAUGGAUAGUAUGCUCAGUAACUCUACGCUGCCAGUGAGUUUGUGGAUGAAAGCUUUAAAGACUGCCGCGCACAUUAAUAAUCGUGUUCCUAGUAAGUCAGUUCCUAAGACUCCUUAUGAGCUUUAGACUGGUAGGAAGCCUAGUAUGAAUUAUUUACAUAUAUGGGGCUGUGCAGCUAAAGCAAAGAUUUUUAAUCCACAACUUGGGAAAUUAGAUCUAAGACUGAAAGUUGUUAUUUUAUUGGAUAUCUAGAAAAGUCAAAGGGGUACCGCUUUUAUUGUUCUAAGCGUACCACUAAGUGUGUGGAGACAAGGCAUGCUGUUUUCUUAGAGGAAACUCGAUGCACUGAGGCUAGGAAAAUUCAUCUUAAGGAGAUUCGGACUUAUGAGCCAUUACCCAUAAGAUAGAAUUAUUAUGCUUCUAUGCCAUAUACCAUAGUUACAUCUCAGGUGGUAGAACUUCCAGUAGAAAAUGUGGGAGUAACACCUACCUUAAGUGAUAAUGUAGAUGCACAUGUGAUACGUGAGCAUCAAGAUGAAGAUGUGGUAGAACCUGCUGGUGGAUUGCAAGGGGAGGCAACUGAUGAGCCCGAGGUGAUUCAGCAGGAACCGGCUCAAGUAGAAGCACCACAAGAAGUAACACCACAACAUCUGAGAAGGUCAACAUGUGAGAGGAAGUCCACCCGUUCCGAUGAGUAUGUGUACAUAAGUGAAGAAGGGCACAACAUGGGGAAGGUGGACGGUCCAAACUCAUUUAAGGAGUCCAUAAGAAGUGAACACUUGCAUAAGUGGAGCGAGGCCAUGGAAGAAGAGUUGAAGUCCAUGGAAGCAAAUAGAGUAUGGGACUUAGUAGAAAUUGCUGAAGGAGCCAAAACAGUAGGCUGUAAAUGGGUCUACAAAAUGAAAUAUGACUCUAAAGGUUAGAUUGAAAGGUUCAAAGCAAGACUCGUGGCUAAGGGCUUCACUCAAGUAGAAGGAGUCGAUUAUAAUGAAACCUUCUCGGCUAUCUCAAAGAAAGAUUCAUUUAGAAUCGUUAUGGUUUUAGUAGCUCAUUAUGAUCUUGAGCUACAUCAGAUGGACAUUAAGACUGUGUUCCUUAAUGGUGACUUGCAUGAGAAUGUAUACAUGAAGCAACCUGAAGGUUUCGUCGUGCUAGGCAAGGAACAUUUGGGAUGCAAACUAUGAAAAUCCAUUUAUGGAUUGAAACAAGCAUGCAGACAAUGAUACCUUAAGUUUGAUGAAGUAAUUAAGAGAAUUGGCUUCAUUGAAAAUAAGAAAGACAACUGCAUAUAUGUUAAGACUAAGGGGAGCUCUAUAAUGAUCCUAGUGCUUUAUGUGCAUGACAUCCUAUUAGGAAGCAGCGAUAAGAACUUGCUGCAUGAGACAAAGGGCUUUCUCUCAUCGAACUUUGAUAUGAAGCACCUCGGUGAUGCCGCUUAUGUCUUAGGCAUUGAGAUUCACCGAGACAGGUCCAAGGGUGUACUAGAACUCUCUCAAAGAGCUUACAUAGAGAAGGUCCUUGAAAGAUAUAAUAUGCAGCAAUGUUCAGGCACAACUGCUCUAGUUAUCAAGGACGAUAAGUUUGGGUCAUCCCAAAGUCCUAGGAAUCAAUUAGAAAUUGAUCAAAUAAGAACGAUUCCUUAUGGUUCAGCUGUCGGAAGUAUAAUGUAUGCAAAAGUGUGUACACGCCCUAACUUGGCCUUUAUAAGCGGGAUGCUUGGAAGCUAUCAGUCUAAUCCAGGAAUAGGCCAUUGGAAAGGAGUUAAGAAAGCUUUGUGUUACAUGCAAGCACUAAGAAUUACAUGCUAAUGUACAGGAGAACUGAGAAAUUAGAGAUAAUCAGCUAUUCAAAUGCUAAUUUUGAGGGUUGUGUUGGCACAAAGAGAUCCACAUUAGGUUAUGUCUUCACACUUGCAAAUGGGGCUAUAUCGUGGAAAAGCUCCAAACAAACAUUAAAAGCUGCAUCGAUGAUGCAAGCUGAGUUUGUGGCAUGUUAUGAAGCUGUGGGACAAGCUGUAUGGCUUAAGAGUUUCAUCCUAGGAUUAAGACUGGUAGACAACAUAAGUAGGCCACUAAAAUUAUACUACGAUAAUAAGUCAAUAAUUUUCUAUUCGAAUAACAACAAGUCAAGUGAUGCUGCAAAGCACAUUGAAAUUAAGUAUCUUGAUGUGAAAGAUAGAAUCCAAGAUAAUACCAUUGAGUUAGAGCAUAUAAGUACUAAGAAAAUGCUUGCGGAUCCAUUAACAAAGGCUUACCUCCCAUUAUAUUCAUUGAACAUGUUGCCGGUAUGGGAUUAUCGGAUAGCCUGUGAUCUUGGAGGGUCAUAAGACAACCGCCUCCCAUCAUGAUAGGUAGUUUUAUACAUUGUGGAUAACUGUGUCACAGUGGGAUUUUAAUCAUCAUUGUCACACAUUGUCUCCCUACAUAAUUCUGCUUUAAGAAUGGCAUAAGUUAUAGGCCUUUAGACCAAAGGGGAGAACGUUUGGAAAAAUAAUGUGGUGGUCAAAAGGCCGAGAGGAAAACGGGAAGGAUAAGAUUGAUGCCUCCCGAUCACAGUGGCGCUGGAGUUGGCCAAAGGCCAUCACCGCACCACCGUCGCUGUCCAUGGACAGACGAGGUGGAGACCUGAAGGGAGAUGUGAUCUACUCCGAGCUAGUACACCUAUGACAUCCGUCAUCCCGGCCUCGUCGAAGACCCUAAUGGCCAGAUCAUCACAAGCCGUGGCAGCUGGUUGUACUCUAACAUCUUCAUUGAGUGGUGUUCACGUUCUAGAUGUGCAAAGAUCCUGUUUUAGUUAAGAUUAAGUAAUGUAGAUUCCUACAGAGUUAAUGAAGCCAACCUCUCGAUUCCAGUAGCAAGGAUGUUGUCUGAUGGCAUAUCUUCAUCUUGUGCCCCACUAACAUCAUUCAUGCUAAGGUGAAGGCUAUUAGGCGGUGUAUAGCCGUAUAUAGCCGAUUUAUAGCUUUUCAUGUAUACUGAUUGUAUUCCUUGUAUACCAAACCAUAUUGGCUAUAUAAUAGAGGUCACCCCCCUCAUUAGGGUGCAUGGUGUUUUCCCAAACUCUAUCUCUCUACAUGGUAUCAUGAGACCAGGAUCAAUCUGACUGGGACUUUCCUUCCGCUCCACCUCUUCCCGACGCGCCUAACACUAGGUGCACCUCCUGUGCAGUGGCACUUCUCCCCUGCACCGGCGCCUCUCCCCACCUCCCUUCCUCCCAUGGCCAACGAUUCCUCUGCCAAGUCCUCCCUGUCCGGUGGCGGCCUUCUGUCCACUGGUGGCCCCAGGCUGGCGCCUGGCGAUGGCUCCCUGCCCAUCUCUGGUGACACCACCACCCCACUAGACCUGAACCAUUGGGCGGCUCAGGCGCCCUCCCUGCUGCUAGUGACGGCCCUGCACUGCCCCCGUGGCGGCAGUCUUCUCCUCCACCAGGCGCCGCCGGCCAUCAUCCACCGUUACGCCAUGAUCUCUGUCAAGGCUCACGUCCCCAUGACGUGGACGAUGAAAACCUUUGGCUACUCCAAGUGGGCUUUAUUCUUCAAAUCCAUGUGUGGAAAGUUCGGCCUCAAGUCACACAUCGACAGCACCGUGGUGUCCCAUCCUGACGAUUCCGAUUGGGAUCAAGCGGAUUGCUGCAUCCUCUUCUAGAUCUUUGGCUUUGUCUACAACUCCAUCGUGGACCUCGCCAUGGAGGACCACGAGUAGACCGCCAGGGCCCUCUAGCUCACCAUUGAAGGCCUCUUCCGCGCCAACAGGCAAUUUCGGGCGAUCUUCCUUAGCUACGACUUUCACUCCAUGACCCAGAGGGACAUUGGUCACCCCGUUCAGGACUCCCAGUUGGUCCUGAAUCUUCUCCAUGGCCUCAACCCGCACUACUCCAACACCACUGACGACAUCACCAACUCCCCCGCCAGCUUCCCGUCCUUCGCCCAGGCUUGUGACAUGCUCGCCUUGAAGGAGCUUCGCCUCGCCAACUUGCUGCUUACGUGCUGCUCUACGUCGAUGACAUCAUCCUCACCGCCUCAUCUUCGAUGCUCCUCCAGCACAUCAUGGCUAGUUUUCACUCUGAGUUUGCCAUGACGGAUCUUGGUGAUCUUCAUCACUUUCUCAGCAUCUCCAUCACGCGCUCCACUGACGGCCUGUUCCUAUCCUAGUGACAGUACACCCUGGACCUCCUCCAGCAUGCCAGCAUGGCUAAGUGUCACUCUACGGCGAGUCCUGUUGACACUCAUGCCAAGCUCUCGGCGACCGACAGCAACAAGCUCAAGGAUGGCUCUGAGUACAGGAGUCUUGCAGGGGCUCUCCAGUACCUCACCUUGACUCGACUUGACCUGGUAUAUGUAGUUCAGCAGGUGUGCCUCUUCAUGCACGAUCCCUGCGAGCCUCAUCUCACACUGAUCAAGCACAUCCUGCGCUAUGUGAAGGGCACCCUGUCCUCCGAGCUUCACAUCGGCACCGGCCAUGUCCAGUCCCUGACAGCCUACUCCGAUGCGGAUUGGGCUGGCUGCCCGGACUCUUGAUGCUCGACCUCCAGCUUCUGAGUCUAUCUUGGGGAUAACUUGGUGUCUUGGUUCUCCAAGCACCAGAGCAUAGUGUCUCGGUCCAGUGCUGAGGCUGAAUACCGGGUUGUGGCUCACGCUGUUGUAGAGUGUUGCUAACUUCGACAACUUCUUCAGGAGCUAUGUCCCCCUCGCUUUGGCCACUGUUGUCUACUGUGACAAUGUGAGUGUUGUCUAUAUGACAGCCAAUCCGGUUCAUCAUCGAUGCAGAAGCAUAUCAAGAUUGACAUCCACUUCGUCCGGGAGAAGGUUGCUUUAGGAUAGGUCCGAGUGCUUCACGUGCCUUCGUCCCAUCAGUUCAUGGACAUCAUGACAAAAGGCCUUCCAGUUCAGCUGUUCACUGACUUUAGGUCCAGUCUUUGCAUCCGGGAACCUCCCGCUGCGACUGCGGGUGGGUAUUAGGCAAUGUAUAGCUGUAUAUAGCUGAUUUAUAGCUUUCCAUGUAUACUAAUUGUAUUCCUUGUAUACCAAACCAGAUUGGCUAUAUGAUAGAGGUCACGUCCCUCAUUAGGGUGUGUGGUGUUUUCCUAAACUCUAUCUCUCUACAAAAGCGACAAAGGGUUGUCAAGCUGAAGACUGCAGGGUCCAAGCCAUUAUUGGACAAGCCACGAUUGUUGAGGUCAAGUACGGUGACAUUACUGGAGGCGUCGUUGCAGCCAACACCUUCCUAGAGACAGCACUCGGUACCAUCUCACCAUGAUGAAAGCCUUGUGGUCGAUUCAUGGAAGGAGAAUGACUUCUUCAGCUGGAGGAGCACCUUAGCUUGGUCUGGAUGGCACAAAAAGGGAAGAUGAGUGAGGUUGCCACCAUCAGCAUGGUGAGGUGGCAGGGAGUGUGAGGAGCUGUGCAAGACAGAGCAGUAACGCCCAGCCGGUGGAAGCCAUGGUCCAAUGGAGGUAUGAGCUGACAAGCGUCAAAAUGGCACAGAUAUAUAAUGGUAGUCUAGUCUAGUAAUGGGUGACAGAAUUGUUGUACAUCUUGUGAAGCGGUAGUUUCACACAAGGCUUCUUCCAUGAGCUUAAGUGAUGGUCGCAAUUCAGAAUCUCCAAGUCUCUGCCCCUGUAAACACGCCAAUCAAGUAAGGGUAAGAUACAGACGUACACUAGCAAUGGAUCAUGACAGUAAGUUAUGGAAGAGACUUGUUACAACUUAUGAGACUUUCCAUAGUUGCUGUCGGUAUUGUUCAGCACCACUGGACAUAAUUGCGACCUGGGAAGUGGAGCUCCAACUAUCAAGGCUUCCAUUUCAGAAAGAAAAAAAAGGACUUCCAAGUCAAGUAAAGUGGCUACGAACCGAGGAAGGUGGAGCUGAAGCACAAAUCAACUGGAUAAACAGUAAAAAGAAAGUAGAGUAAAAUUCACAAAACAUACCUCAAGCUUGUAGUUUUCUAAUACCAGAAAAACUCAAGUUUUCCGAAAUUCGCUGUUAAAAAAUGAAAAAAAGAAAACGAAGAGCAACGCUUUAUCUUUCAGCAUGCAAAAACUGGUAGCAGGUUAGGAUAUAAAUGAGGCAUGCAUCAGCAAUGCUAGAGCGAGGAUGCAGAACAAACAUUUAACGGUUUUCCAAAGUUGCAACGACGAUUGAAUUUAUCUUGUCCCUGGCGCAAUAUAACAGCACGAGCAUCCCAUGUUACAACAUUUGAAGCAUAACAGAGCCAACAUCCAAACAUUCAACAUUCAGUUAACACCAACCGUUCUGACUACAGCACAACCAGGUUGCAGUCUUGAACAACCAUAACACUAACCAGUUCAGAACCAAAUUAUCAGUCCCGCAUUUUCACUGGUAGCAGAGCAGCAGCACUUGCUUCAGUUUUUGAAGCUGCCAUGAUCCACUUCGUCCCAUCGUCAGAUGGUGCCAUCCUCACCAGCUCCAAGGAUAGUGCUAGAAAAGGAAGACAACGUCACAUUUUUAAUCAACCCAAUGCAAAAACAGAAAAAGAAAUUAAGCAAGAACAUUACACGCAAUUGAGAAUUUCUCCAUCAGUAAAAAAGAAAACUAGAAUAGGCAAUACACCAAGAGGAGCAUUAGAGUGAAGUACCUUCCAUCAAAAGACACUGCAGUCUGCCUUAUUGGUGAUCUGUAUUGCUGAUUAUAUAGCCUGAAAAUGAUACAGUAUUUGCAUCCAGAAGCAUAAGAGUUACUAAUACGCAGCACCAAUAAAAGUGGAGGACAAGAAUAACUGAAAUUCUUGCAUUAAAAAUUACCGGGCAAUUAGGACAGGAGGGCUUGACUGUACUUCCCACACAUAGAUUUUGCCUUCACGAUUUCCUGUUUGAAGCGGAGGAUGAUUAAUCAGCAAACGUUUCUAUGAAAAUCCAGUCAUAUAUUUUAAGUGUGAACAUUUUGCCAUGCCAAAACCUCUUUAUAACUUCUGGUGUGUGAAAUUUACAAAUCAAUAACUUAAAUAUAACUUUUAUGUCAGAAAACAGCCCAGAUCAUAGAUAUUACCUAUUGCCAACUGAUUGAAGUGAAAAUCGCACGAAAAUUUUAUAAACCAGAUGUCACACUCUGGCACAGGGUACUUCUGAAGAAUAUCGAUGCUUCCCUAUAUGAGGAAAGAGAAAGUCAUAUUACUUCAGAGGAAUGGGCAGUCAACGACUAGAAAUCAAAGAAACCGCUGGAAGUUAAAUUCAAGAAAAGUUAAAUUGUAUCACCUCCCUAGGACUUUGUUCUUUUGUUUUUGGUUCCCAAAGCACAAUUUCAUUCUCAACACUCUGCAAAUCCAAGCUAGCAUAGAUCAGAUUCCUCAUUAUACAGGAACCAAAACUGGCACUGGGAAAGAAAAGGUUGAAAGACUGAACCCAUGCACAGUACAAGAAUACAGGAUCCAGAUACAGUGGUAUUUUGAAGCAUCAAAAGAAUGACGACUGUACUACUACUAUAGCAGCAAUUUGUAUCCAUUUAAGGGAAGGAAUUUCACCUUUGACAGGAUGAAGUCACCAAGCCAUCUUGUACAAUCAACAUAGUUAGAGUGUACUGCAGCAAUCAACACCUGCAAGGAAAGAAACAGGUUGGUUUGAUGGCAUGAGGAUUAACCACCAACAGUAGUUUGCAAAGGAAUAGAUCUAAGAUUAUUAUAGAUGCUAAACAUACCGGAAACUGGACAUAUUUUGUUGGAAACUUUGAUGGAAGGUCAGUCCAGGAAUAUGAUUUGUCAACAUAUUGCCAAAAUUCUGUGACAACAUUGGGAAACUCUAUCAAUGAUAUGCAGCAUGCAAAUGUAAACAUGAUGCUACUUUGAAGUAGUUUUCCAACCUUUCAUUGACCAGAUUUUCACAGUGUUGUCCAUGCCACAACUUGCAAAACGCUCAAUAUCACUAGGGUGGAAGUCCUUCUGCCAAAAUAAUGUAUUUUGAUCAGUACAUUUAUGCCUAACGUAAUGGAAGUACAAAAGCCAUAGUAGUCACCACUCACCAGGACUAUAUUUAUCCCUGAUGUAAUGCUCAAUAACAAACAGUAACAUCAGAAGCUGAAAGAGUGGUAGCUUCAGGGCACUUUGAGCAAGUAAUAUUCUGAAACAAUACCAUAAGAGGAGGCAGGAGCUACUUACAACACUCAACACUUCAUUGCGAUGACCUCCAGCUCCAGCAAAUACCAAGAUGCAGAUCCCUGUAUGGACAUUCCAUAGCCUAACAGAUUCAUCCUAUUCAAUAAUGUCAUAUGAAACAGUGUCAGAACAAUUAUAAGAAAGUACAUUCAGCCUAAGAACAGGUUAUCUGCUAACCUUGCUUGCAGAGAAAUGAUGAGCGAAGGCUUCAACGCUUGAGUCCUUAUCUCAUUUAUUGAGUCACCAUGGCCAACAAAGCUCUGUAGAAUUCCAUAAACAGAAAUAACAAAUAAACACGUGCACAGUCUAAUUCAUAGGAUAGGAUAGUAUUUAUUGGCAUGCCCAGUCUCCUGACUAUAUGUAUAACGCCAAAAUAGAUACACUAGGUUGAACGUGUCUUGACUAUGACGGACAUGCUGAAGUAUCCAAAAACCAGAAUCUUCUGUGAGCAAAAGUUACAGUUUGCUAGUGGUAUUAAUGCAUAGCAAACAGACAAUUCCAUAAUCAAACCAAAUUCAAAUGACCUUCUGGAUCGGAUAUCAUAGAUGGUAUCUGUCAGGUAAGCAACUGAAGUACUGAUUUAUGCAAAUGAAGCUUCAUUCAAGUUUGACGUAGGAACAAAGACAAGGCUAGGGGUACUAUACCUUAGCUAACUUCUCCGUAGCACAGUUGAUGAGCCGAAUGAUCCCAUUGCUUCCUGCUGCUCAAUGACUCCUUUCUUGGUGACCAGUGUGGCAUCCAAGGUAUCAAUCAGCUCUUCCUUCUCCUUGAGCAAGGUGUUCUUCUCCUCUAUCACCCUGUCCCUAGCCUUCAGUGCCUCCUCCAUCCGAACAACUCUUGCCUCCAGCGUGGCAAUCCUCAGCGAGUCCCUCUCGUCGUAGUUGUCCAGUGCAGUGUCCACCUUGUGCUGCAAGCGACGGUUCGUCUGGUCCAGGUCAGUCAAAUAGUGCUCAAGUCCCAUUAUCUUGCCCUCAAGCAUGGCGUCGGUACCGAUGCAGUUGUCCCAACCCUUGCGAAGUACCUCCACCUCUCUGUCAUUCCAGAACAGUGCCAAAUCCUGAGCGUGAAUGCAGUGGGAGGCCACGUAAAACUUCUCGUUGGGCUCUGCAUAAACAUCCUCAUAGUACUGACGGGCUAAACUCUCGAAGUCCCUCAGCCCACGGCAAGCCCUGGUUAGGCAGCGGUAGGGAGUCUGAGCCAACCUGUCAAGGAGCUGCGCAUGCACCUCACGCACGGCCCUUCUGGCGGCAGUCCGGUGAGCCUUUGACACUAACAACUCAAACCUUGGUAGAAGAAUAAGCAAAGUCUAGUUAGAAAUAGCGGUAGUCAACAGCACUGUCCAUAGCCAGUGAACAUGGAUUAUAGCUAUAGCUUUAUACACCCUGCAAAGGAUGUACAACUGUACCCACACGGAUGGAGUCUAAACGGUGGAGAUCCGUCAAAACCCCACCUAACAGCCGGAGCCCUAGUAGGUAGAUAGCUCUCUCCUAUUUCCUCAAGUUUGGUCAGAGUAGGCCAAUACCUCGAACUCAUUACACGAUCCUCCAAUCCACCUACAGGCUGAGCAGUAUCCACCACUAGUCUCGGACCGAACCCUUCCCAUAAUGUAAGCGAGUGGUAUGUACGUAAAAUAGCUGUUGUGACUAGUGGUAAACUAACUCAGUGUUUAAGCGGCUGAGAGCGAGCACUCUACUCCAUAAGUAUGUGCCAAAGUACCUGCAACGUACAAGUACGCCACCUGCUCUUUAGUAACAAACAAGGUACCCGCUGUAACACCUAGUGUUAAUGACAACUUAAGUAUGACAUUAAGAAGCUAAUGGUGAAGUUGGAUUAAAGGAAGGUAAUUUGAGCCAAAAAUCAAAUUUGAGCCGAAUUCGACCAAAUUUGGAAUUUGGAGUUUCAAAUUUGGAUAAAUUUGGCAAAAAUAUGAAAUAGAGUCUUGAGAGUAUUCAGAACUCAAAGGAAUGAAUCUUGAAGUCUAAAUCAAGUCAUAAAGCUCUCAUAAAUACAAUCGAAGAGGGAGUCAGCAAAGUCACUAUUCGUCGUCCGAAAACGCGCAACUCUGAAAUUAAUAUUGAGUACACAACUUUGGAGCCAAUUCCUGGAGAAUUUCUCCUGUAAGUGAGCAGAUAUUUUUGGACAUUAGUGAAAUAUGGACUAUGGAGAAGGUAAAUGAAAUGUUGUUGUCCAGAGAAAGUGGAAGAUUUGAAUUUAAAAUGAAGCCCAAAAUCAGCAAAUCAGUAGAUUUCAGCCUUCUCGCCAAGAAAAAUCUUAAGUCUGAAAACAGCAUUGACUAGCCAUGUUUGGAGUGAAUUUUAGAAAAAUCUAGUGUAAAAGAUAUAUGAGUUCAUGUGCAAAAUAGAAUCUUUGUUAGUUGUAGAACAAGUAUGGGCAAGGGUCAAGCUGCAUGGAACAAGUUUGCCUAAUUUAAAUCAAGCUCAAAGAGGUAUAAAUGGCCUUGCACCGUACCUGACGAAACUGAAUCAUUGAGGUUCAGUUACAGAAGCUUCUGGUCGAACUUCAAGCUUCAAAAUUUCAGUGUUAGGGUGCUCAUUUCGGUUGGAGGUCAAUCUAUCAAAUGAAGUACUUGGGCUACUCUACAAGUUUGCUUAAGGAACAUUUGGACCUUCGGAUUUGAAAUUGGUCGAUGGGGAAGUCUGAAUUUUGGAGAAGAAGAAGAAGAAAGAGGGAAACAGGCGAGCAGGAACAGAGCCGUGCUGCCGCCGGCACCUCUGCCCGCCGGCCAGCGCAACAAUCCAAAUCGCGCCACGCACGCCUUCAAGUCGUCGAUGUGGCCGUCAUGCACGCGGUAGAAGUUCGUAUUUGUACCGCUCCCAUCCUCAUCCGUUCACCCUGCCGCCAUUCUUUUCACCGUCACAAAGCAGAGCUCGGGUGACCGGCACUGCCGCCGGCCGAUUCCACCGCACCGCCGCUCUAAUCCUCGAUCCCUUCCACCUGAAGCUCCCCUAGCCCCUCGCCGACACCCUACACCGCCCCGUCCACCAGUUUUCCCGCCGGCGAGCCACACCCGCCGCAUCUCCUAUCCGCCCGCCGCCGCUACUGCCCCUCCAGUGAGCCCUCCGCGCCGCCCCUUCUCCACUCUUGUGCUCGGGUUUAGAGGCUCCUUAGGUCGUGAAGACGCCGUAGGACGCAUCCGCCGGCCGCUUGCGCCGCCGCCAGACCUAGAAUCCGGCCGGCCUUCGGCCAUGGCCGCCGCCGCCCGUGCAGGGCCCGGCUUAGGCCGCCUCCGGGUGAGCUAGCGCCACCUGCAGGUGCGCUGGGGCCUAGGGGUGCUCCCCGGCCUGGCCCCGCCGUCGGCAGGCCACCGGCCGUUGAGCCGCCGGAGCCACCCGCGGGGCACCCUGUUUUGGGUCGGGCAGGGGAGGCCUGGCCAGGUUGGCCCCACGCAUCGGUGAGGAUAGGGUAGGGGGGCGGUAGCAAUAGGAUUCCAGGGGGUUUUUCCGAUAAGGUUGGAAUUUUUGGAUUUAAAAAUAAAUUUAAAUAACUGCCAACCCAUUUAAUUCACUGUAAAUUGUAUAGGUACCCAAAAAUAGUGAAAUAAAUUUCUUUAGGUUUAUUUUAAUCUCCUUUACACAUUAAAAUUGUUAAAACAUAUUUAUAGAAACCUUUUGAGUAUUUAUUUAGUGCCUUUAAUUAAAGUUGUUAAAUAAAUACUUAAUAAUUCCAAAAUACAUAAAAUAUGAAAUAAUGCUUUUAUAAUUACAAAUUAACCAUAAUCUAUAGUAAUUAGGAGUUUAAGAUUAGAAAUUAAUUAUGAUGAUUUUCAAAAAUAAAAACAAAAGGCUUACGUUUUUAAAUAAAAGAUAAAGAUUAAGUAGUUAUUUAAUGCUUUUCCUUAAAAUAUUUAAAUAAAUGCUUAAGCUUUAUAAAUAAAUAAAAUUCUGAAUAAUGUUUUGAUUAAUUCCAAACAAAUGUUAAUCUAUAGUUUUACAUUUUCUUUUACAUUAGAAAUUAUUUCAAAUGAUUUUCAAAAAUAAAAAGAAAAGUCUAAAAUGGGUUUAAAUAAGGGAGUUUAAAUCGCGAGUUACACGUUAUGGGUAGAGUUUUGUUGGCUUGCAACUUUAUCAUGAAGUUAAGUUGUCUAAGUCACUGUUGGCUUGCAACUUUAUCAUGAAAGAAGUUGUAGAGUCCUGUGCUUAAAAAGUUGCAUCUCUGACUCAUGCAUACGCUUUAUCGUAGAUACUGAAGCUCCAGAAGCGGAAUUUCUAGAAAUUUCUGAAGAACCUUCGGAAUUUGAGGAGAUCGUUGAGUUGAUCCCUUGUGAAGCCAGUCCGUCGAGCAACGCUAACAUUUUUACAGAUCAAGGCAAGCCCCGGUGCAUCUAUGCCUAUCUAUUUUGGAGUUAUUAUUUCAUGUGUCCAACUAUUGGUUAUUUCUUUAUGAAUGCAUUAAGUCUAGGAGUUGAUUGAAACCUUACUUUUAUGCACAAUCCAACCUUGUUAUUAAGGACAUCUUUGCCACUUGUCAAUAAUUAGUAAGUAUCCCAUGCUUAGCAAAGCAUAGUCGCGCUACCUCUACCAUUCCUGAGAACCUAUGGUACUCAGCAGCCUAAGGUAACAUUGUCAUACAUAUGUAUAUCAAAGAAAUGACCGGUUUUGGAAGAUAGUGGACGGAAGCUUGGAUGGAAUCAAGAAAGGAGUCUUGAGUUCCGUAGUUCUGUCUACUCGAUUAAUUUGAUUAAGGACCGAUCGUUGUUUUAACCCAUGAUCAAGUGAUAUUACCUGGUUGCUUACUGCUAUAUGGGAACCAGCAAGCCCGGUAGGUUAGUUGGCUCUCUGAUCGGAAAUAUUUCGUACCCGUGCUUGGCGUGCAGUGGAAGGGCAGGGCGUAGCCGGAAACUCAUAGUGGAGAUCGCUAGACGUGGGGUUCCAUGUGGGGGUGCGGCCCUGGGUUCAAGUAGUCAUAUUUCCGAUCGUUGGGUACAUCUAAUCGAAAGGUCGUUAUGUGCAACCCGGACAGUUGUACAUGGCUGGUGGUCAGGUAUCUCCUUGUAACGACCCUGGUCAAAUCAUUCGAGUUAAUCUUAAUCUGAAGCCCAAAUUCCUCUGUCUCAGCUCUUCCCGAGCAGGAGUGCUCCACUCCAGUUCCCGGUCCCGGCCCCUGAAGACCCCAACCAACCCCGUCGGUUCCUUCUGAGUUCCCUAAGGCAGUGCUCCUUUCAAUCUUGGAGCUGUGGGACAACCGAGACUGACCGGUGGACCCGCAAAUCUUUUCCCGGAUUUCCCGAGGCAAACGCACUCGAGCGGCCUGCACCGCUUCAGAGCUCCCCCGCCGCAUGGCUCAACUUCUCCGACGCCCGCCGCUUCGCCCAGUCGCCGACCGCGACAGGAUGGAUUCCCGCGCCCUCCUCCCCAAUCGCAGCGGAAGCCCCUCUGCAACCCUUUCUGCAGCGCCUCGUCUCACUCGCGCCCUCGGACACGUGUGUUGAUUCAUACGAAGGGUGGUAUGGUUCGAUUCCAACGAGCCUAUCAUCACGGUUGUUCGCCCACGUCUAUUAUACGUGCGCAGAUUCCACAUCUCGAGUAUGCGAAGGGUUAUACGGUUCCAUUCAAAGGGGACCUAUUUCCAUGGUUGUUGCGCUAUCCAUGCAGCCUUAAACACAUGGGUGCCGUUUCUAUAGUGAACGGUAAUGCUUGGGGACGCUUUCGUGGGUGCUGGCACGAAAGGUUCAUGUGGUUGUGUUUUCUGCAGGUACACUAACCGCGUUCGCUUAGGAGACACUACUAGAACCCGACUAGAUAUUAUAGGGAGAGACGUACUGGUUGCCUUGACACCGGCACUGACUGCGUAAGACCAAAGUUUUGGCAGUUGUUUUGGUUGAGAGGAUGAAGUAGGCCAUGCAUGCGACAUGAACUAAAAUCUUUGAACCCACCUCUCUAAAACAACCUUGCCUUGGUUAAAGCCCUUCUUCGGUUUAAGGAUUUCUAGCUUCCUUUCUAGCUUGUGCUUUGGUCAAAUCCGAGUACUUUUUCUGCCUGACCUGUUCUUCUUCUUAGAGUUUCUAUCUCACGUCAGUUCAGUUUUUGGUUCCAGAUGGCUGCCCUCGGACACGUGUUGUACAGCGCUGACGGCAUGUCCCACUCUACGUCCCUACACUUUGAGGGUUUUCCUGCUAUUCUGUGGGACACCUUAAGGUGGUUUGGGUAUCAGUCCCCGCCUUUGUACAUGGGAUGGAUGUACCAGGAGCACGGAGUACAGAGGUGCAACAUGCAGGUGGUGAUACCUCCACCCCCUGUGCAGCCCGAGUGGUCCCAGCUCGAAGUCUUGACUUGCGGGCACGCUCUGGAGGAUACAUGGGAGUCAGCUGCUCUGCUGAUCCUCACCCACUUCUGUUGACUACACCCGCUUGAGGUCACUUUGGACCCAAUCGGCUUGUUCCCCGCUAGGGAUCGGCUAGACCCGGCGUGGCUUGAUCACGUCAACAACAUGGAAGUGUUGGCAGCCUCUCAUGCGCUGGUCACCAUCUCUACCACCACCAGAUGCAUGUCAGCCUUGUAUCAGCUGAUUGAGCUUCAAGGCCGAGCGAUGGCUGUCUUAGCUCGGAUAGCCAUAGACACCCAAGGGCUUUUCAACGCCGCUAAAAGAGACUUGGUGGGACAGUCGCAUCAGCUUAUCCAAAGAGGCAUACAGAUCCAUGACAUGCAAGACAGAAUCUCCAAGCUCGAGGGAGAAGUGACGGACCUGGUGGAUGGCAUGAUCGAGCUUGCCGAAGAAAAGAUGGAGGUCGAGAUGGAGCUAGCAGUUGCUAAUGCUCAUUUGGACGAGCAUCACGCCGAGCUUGAUGCUAUACAUGCCCUUGAGAUGCAGCUGGAUGAACAAGAAGAUCCUGAGGAGGUCAUGGGAGCGUCCAGCAUGGACAUUGAGGAUGGCGACGCCCCUUCUCCGACUCAUAGUGUUCCCUCAUAGGUUGAGAGCUGUAGGAAUCUAAUCUUUUGUUAUACUCAUUGGCAACCUAUGUUUUGGAUAGUGAUGUAAUAGGUUAGCCUUGAGUUGAGUAUUCCUCCUGUGUUUUGGGGAACAACAAUGCAAUGACCUCAGUGAAAUCAGAUCUUAACUUGACCUUUGACUCUUUUUGCGACACGCUUGGAUGCCAGGUUGUGUGAGUUUUGUCCUGUGACCACACACCCAUCUUCUGUGGGUCUGUCCAAAGCUUGGCCGACCCUGAGUCGCAAGGUCGGAUGCGCUCGACCCCUCGAGGCAGUUCUCCGCCUCGCCCGACCCCUUGCUGUGCAGUUUGCUUCGCCCGACCACUGGUUUCACUGUUUCGCUUAGCCCGACCCGGGCACUAAAGGUCGGAUAUAGUGGAACUCCUCGGAUGUGGUUAUGGUUCGCCUGAAGUUGUGUGCAGAACUAAGAUAGUUGCUAACUAAGAUGGCAAGAGGAAGUGUGUAUCUCUUUAAUAAGGACAUGUUAUUGUGUUGCAGUAUCGGCAAGAGUCGCAUUUGAGGAUUUAACUUAUACGUUCCCACAUAAUGGGAAUACUUCUGAGGAUAUGGAAUUAAUGGAACGUUGACUCUUGCAGAUGGCGCAUCGCACCCGAUCUAGCUCUAUGCCCAGCGGUAGUGAGCAGAGGCAGGAUCUUCCUCCGCCUCCGCCCCCACCUUCGCUGGAAGCCCUCCUAGCGGCUCAAACUGAGCUGCUAAGGCACAUUGUACACGGACAACAACAGCAGCCUCGUGGAGGGAGAGCCCAUCAACAACCCCAAGUUGCUCGUUAUGAGGACUUCUUGAGCACGCAACCCCCUUUGUUCCAGAAGACAUAAGACCCGCUCGACGCCGAUGCCUGGAUUCGUGCCAUCGAAUCCAAGUUCUCCCUCCUCACCGCCCAUUGCUCGGAGGAGAAGAAGGCUCGGUUCGCCGCGCAACAACUGCGUGGUUCUACCCUCCUUUGGUGGGAUCACUACCACGCCAUGCAGCCGGUCGACCACGUCGUCAGCUGGGAGAAGUUUAAGACGGUGUUCAGGGGCCAUCAUAUCCCUGAAGGUCUCCUGGAGCGUAAGCUCAACGAGUUCCUGGCCCUUACCCAGGGAAAUCGAGAUGUCCUGCUGUGGCGGAACCACCUCGGAUUAGCUUGAUUAAGCAGGGUUAAGCCGCCUAACAUGCGACACUCCUGCCUAAACCGAGUUAAUACGAAGUGCCGUCGGAUUUCAUCCGAUUUAACCACUUAAACAGAAUCGAGUUCAGCAAACCCACACGAAGGUGAGCGGUUACAGAGAAUACAACAAGUCCACUGAGUUGAACAAGUUUUACCCAUUUGGUUCGGCCAUAAAAUCCAACAUCAGAGUUUUACAAGUUUUCAAGGAAACAACAGAGAAAACACUAGCGGAAGACUUCGUCGGGGUCGGACAUCCUUGGUGAGGCCAACCGGGACAUCACUAGCUCCUUCCCUCGCCGUCCGAGGAAGGAUCCCACUCGACCGUCCAGCCUGGCGGGAGCUGGGGCGGCCAAGCACCAACCAGAGAGGGGUCGGAAGCAGCAACUUCACCUGAAAACAGGAGCCACAACAAGGCUGAGCUACUAAGCUCAACAAGACUUAACCGAUAGGAGGAAGGGCUACUCCUCCUUCUAGACAUGCAAGGCUGUUUGGCUGAGGGGGUUGUUUGCCAAAAGCACUAAGUAACCCUAUUUUCAAGUUUUAGCUCCGGUUCUAGGUUCAUUUACCAAUCUAGGUUGUGCCACCUAUACUAAGCAUUCAUAGAAUCAAACAAGAUGUAUAGAUACAACAACAAACAUUGCCAUCAUCAGAUUCCUCAUUUACUCAGGGUGACAUAGCGAUCAAGCAAUCUCAAACUAUGAAAGGCAGACGAAUCGAUUCAAGUUCUUUAACCAUGCAUGGUGAACCUAGCCUCACGACAUCCGCGCACCCGGAGGUCGCUUCCUGUGUCGGCCUUCCCCAUCAAUCCCCUAACCCGUGUCGGGCCCAUUUCCUUUGGUGCAAGGUUCCACAGACCCGGCCUCUGCCAUUCUGUGACCACGCUUGCCACCACGUGCGACAACCAGCAGGGGAAACUCCGUUCCAAGAACAAUGGGGCGAUCGCUCACGUAUAGGUUCAAUCCGGUACUAGGCUUCCUCAUCCCAUACUAAGUAUGAGGCUAGUACUUUCAAACACUUGAUCACGAACACCACCACUGUCGGGCCUUAGCAAGUUUUCAUAGACAGACGUGGCAACCAUCUGACCACCAAAAAGUUACCAAAACCCUGCCCCGUCCAUCGUCCUUAUAGUUAUAACAGGACAGUAAACAUGCAACUCCUACAACUCGCGAGAGAUAGGAAAUCACUCGACUUUUACCGUCUCCUAGUUAAGCAAUGCAGCUACUCGGUCCAACAGCUAGUGCUCAGAUCACUGGGAUAACUAAGUCAUGCAUCUAGGGUUUCACACAACUCCUAUACGUAAAUGCACAAGCAUGUUACAGAAGGCAUGCGCAAGUCUGGUAAAACACAUAGGACUUUCAUGCAACCGGGGCUUGCCUUCAAGCAAGGAGGACGGAAACUGCUCGACUUCGGGGGCGACUUCGGCUUCGGAGGACAGGAGCUCGGCUACAGCUUCUUCUUCUGGCGCCGGGUGAAGCUCGUAGAAGCCGUCGGCGAGGUGCAGCUCUACACGAAUGCAAUGCAGGGGUUAGCAUAGACAGUUACUUCAACAGCAACACUGGCUCGCCUGAGCCCAGAAACUCGCGACAAAGAGCAGGAGGUUAAGGCGGUUCGAGAGCUGAUGAUGAUCAAGGGGUAAGGGUAGGAAGGAACUAGUGGUCUGAUCCUUGAACUAGAGGAUGUGAUAAACUGGGGGUCCUUAGACGCAAGCGUUGAAGGGUUCCCAAGUUUUACACAUACACCCUCGAGUUGAAGAAAAAGAUCACAGCCAAGCCCUCGGGCGAGACGGACAAGGGUCGGCGGAACAGACAGGGUCGGGCGAGACGGAACCGGGGUCGGGCGGAUAGGAGGGGUCGGGCGAGGCGGACUGGGGUCGGCAACUCACCUUCUUCCUGAAAGGAAAGCUUGGGGUCGGAACGAAGCGGACUUGGGCGGAGGGACUACGGUUUGAUCAGAAGCUAAGACCGGCGAUGCUCCGGCGGCGGCGCUGCUUCUUGCGGAUCACAAGAGAGCUUUUACGCAGCACGGAGGAGCAAGCUGCUGGGUGACUUGGAGAAGAACUGAGGGAGAACUGAGAGAAGAACUCCUCAAGAACUGGGUGGGUGGCGCUAGGAGCUUGAGCAGGGAGCUAGAGGAGGCUGAAGGCAACGAGAGCGGAGGGAACUCCAGCGACGGGGGCAUUCCUUUUAUAGCUGCUGGAGCAGAGGAAAGGAAACGGCACGGAGAGAGAGAAGGAGAGCGGCGCGAAGGCCGGGGAGAGGCAAUGGAGUGCUCUGCUGGGGCGGCGAUUAAGCAAAGAGGGCGGUGGUGCAGAACUCCGGGGGUGACGCCAGCAAUCAUGGCGUUCUGCCGUCAGGGCGGCGUAGGAGCGGGUAGACUGGUGGUUGAGAUUUGGCGGAAAGCGGGCGUCAUCGUGCGGAAGAUGUGAUAGAAGUGACCGGCUUAACGGCGCUAGAAUCGAGGGUGCUCGGGUGAGAAGGCAGGCGGACGCGGGCGCGUGGGAGAGUGCGGAACAACAGAUUGUCGGGCGGCUUCUGACAGAGCGGGGGAAAGGAACUGUCGCGGCCGCGGUCGGGGUUGGCGGUGGAGGAAUCAUCGUGUAGCGGCGACCAGGCGGCGCAACUGUGGCUGAAGGGACGGAAAAGACGGGCGACAUCGGGCUCUGGGGCUGGGAUCUGGUGGCGUGAUGAUGGGCGCGGGAGGCGAGGUUCUGCAGAAAGGGGUGCAGAGGGCUUCCGCUGCCAUUGGGGAAAGGGGGCACGGGAACCCACUCGGUCGCUGGCCAGAGACAAAACUGAGCGGCAGGCGUCGGAGAAGACGAGCCACGCGGCAGGAAGACUCUGAAGCAGCCAAGCAACUCGAGUGCGGCUGUCGCGGGGGAUCUGGAAAAGAUCUCGCGGGUCCACCAGUGGAUAGAUCGGACGGGUGAGGAAGAUUAACAGAAUCCGACGGUGGGCUGAGCUCGCCGGGGUCAGGAGAGGAGCGAAGCCGGAAGGGGUCGGAUCUCAGGGGUCGGGACCGGCGGGAAACUGAGCACUUAGGUGCGGUCAAGCAAGACAGCUGACUAAGGUUAAGGGCUGUGAUCAAGACUAACUGGAAGGCUUAGGGGUCGGUCGUUACAGCCUACCCCUCUUAAAAAGAAUCUCGUCCCGAGAUUUAGAGAUCAAGGGGGUGUGUUGUCCUUACCUCCUUAAGAGGAUAGAAAACCUGGGAAACGCUUGCUCAGAUAUUUGUCCGUUUCCCAUGUUGCUUCAUCCUCGGUGUGGUUUCUCCAGAGGAUCUUGUACAUCUUUACCACUUGGCGUCGGGUGUGCCUUUCCUUUUGGUCAAGAACUCGAUCUGGGUACUCGGCGUAGGUCAGGUCGGGCUCUACCUGAAGCUGUUCUUGCUCUAAGAUCUCUGCUAGAACUCGGACACAUUUCUUCAGUUGAGACACAUGGAAAACAUCAUGUAUUGCCGACAGCUGCUCUGGGAGUUGGAUCCGGUAAGCAACGGGUCCACAUAUCUCCACAAUCUCAUAAGGGCCAAUAUAGCGGGGAGCUAACUUGCCUUUUAUUCCAAACCGCUGCACUCCUUUGGUCGGGGAGACUCGAAGGUACACAUGAUCACCAAGGUCAAAUUGCAGGGGUCUUCUCCGCUGGUCGGAGUAACUCUUUUGUCGAGAUUGGGCGGCCUUGAGAUUUGCUUUAAUUACCUUCACUUGCUCUUCGGCUUCUGCCACUAAAUCAGGGCCAUAGACCUGUCUUUCUCCUGGUUGGGACCAGUUCAGGGGUGUCCUGCAUCUUCGGCCAUACAGAGCUUCAAACGGUGCCAUUUUCAAACUGGCUUGGUAGCUGUUAUUGUAGGAGAAUUCUGCUAAGGGCAGACACUUGUCCCAGUUCUUAUCAUAGUGGAUAACACAAGCUCUUAACAUGUCUUCAAGAAUCUGGUUGACUCUCUCAGUUUGGCCAUCGGUUUGAGGAUGAUAUGUUGAGCUUCGGAUGAGCUUGGUGCCCAUAGAUGCUUGUAGCUGCUCCCAAAAACAUGCCACAAACUGAACUCCUCGAUCAGAGACGAUAGUCUUGGGUACACUAUGUAGGGAAACUAUACGGUCGAGGUACAACUCUGCAUACUGCUUGACUGUGUAGGUGGCGCGAAUAGGAAGGAAAUGUGUUGUCUUGGUCAGACGGUCCACUAUAACCCAGAUGGAAUCAUAUCUUUGUGUUGUAAGGGGUAACCCAACUAUGAAGUCCAUGCUGAUGUCUUCCCAUUUCCAAGAGGGAAUAGGUAGCGGCUGCAAGGUUCCUGCUACCUUCAAAUGACUGGCCUUGACACGUUGACAGGUGUCACAUUCUGAAACAUAACGAGCUAUCUCUGGUUUCAUUCCAUUCCACCAAAAGGUUUGACGAAGAUCAUGGUACAUCUUAUUGCUGCCAGGAUGGAUCGAGAACUUGGAGAGAUGAGCUUCAUCUAGGAUUUGCUUCCUUAACUCGGGGUCGGCGGGCACUACUAGCCGGUUUCCAUAAUACACACCUCCUGUUUUGUCCUGAUGGAAAUGGUUAUAUCCCUCAUCCUUUACUGAGAUCUUACCGAUGAUCCAUUGUACUUCUGUAUCUCUUACCUGUGCUGACCGAACUUGGUCUUCCAAAACUGAGUCAAGGAUGAUGUGACCAAGGGUUCCUUGAGGAAUAAUCUCCAGACUUAGUUUUCCCAUCUCAUGACACAGAGUCUUGGUGAAGGCUGUUGACAACAAGCAGUUGCAAUGGGGUUUGCGGCUGAGGGCAUCAGCUACCACAUUGGCUUUGCCAGGAUGAUAGUGUACUUCCAAUUCAUAAUCCUUUAUCAACUCCAGCCAUCUUCUCUGACGCAUGUUGAGGUCGGCUUGAGUGAAGAUGUACUUGAGGCUCUUGUGGUCGGUGUAGAUGUUGCAGUGAGUUCCCAUUAGGUAGUGCCUCCAUAUCUUCAAGGCAUGUAUCACUGCUACCAACUCAAGGUCAUGUGUCGGGUAGCUUAGCUCAUCAGGUCGUAACGCACGUGAGGCAUAGGCAAUGACUCGGCUGUCUUGCAUAAGAACACAUCCGAGUCCAGUGCCAGAGGCGUCACAGUAUACGUGUAACGACCGACCCCUAAUCUUUCCCAGUUAGGCUUGAUCUCAGCCCUUAACCUCAGUCAGUUGCUCUGUUGACCGCACUUAAGUGCUCAGUCUUCCGCCAGUUCCGACCCCUGAGGUCCGACCCCUACCGUUCGUUCCUUUUUCCCGACCCUGGCGAGUUCAGCCCUCCGUCGGAUCCUGCUAAUCUUCCUCACCCGUCCGAUCUUUUCCCCCGGUGGACCCGUGAGAUCUUUUCCAGAUCCCCCGCACCAGCCGCACUCGAGUUGCAUGGCCGCCUCAGAGCUUUCCUGCCGCGUGGCUCGUCUUCUCCGAUGCCACCGCUCAGUUUUGUCUCUGGCAAGCGACCAAGUGGGUUCCCGCGCCCUUUUCCCCAAUAGCAGUGGAAGCCCUCUGCACCCCUUUCUGCAGAUCCUCGCUCCCCGCGCCCAUCAUCACGAUACCAGAUCUCGGCCCUGGAGACCGAUGUCGCCCAUCUUUUCCGUCCUUUCCAGCAACAGUUGCGCCGCCCGGUCGUCGCUACACGACGAUUCCCCAACCGCCAACCCCGACCGCGGCCGCGACAGUUCCUUUCCCCGCCCUGUCAGACGCCGCCCGACAAUCUGUUGUUCCGCGCUCUCCCCCGCGCCGCGUCCGCUUGUUCUCCCACCUGUGCGCCCUUGAUUCUAGUGCCGUUUAACCGGUCGCUUCUAUCACUUCUUCCGCACGACGACGCCCGCUCUCCGCCAAAUCCCAACCACCGGUCUACCCGCGCCUACGCUGCCCUGACGGAGUAGCGCAAUGAUCGCUGGCGUCACCCCCGGAGUUCUGCAGCACCGUCCGGUUUGCUCAAUCGCCGCCACGGCAGAGCACUCCAUUGCUUCUCCCCGGCCUUCGCGCCGCUCCCCUUCUCUCUCUCCGCGACGUUUCCGUUCCUCUGCUCCAGCAGCUAUAAAAGGAAGGCCCCUGUCACCGGAGUUCCCUCCGCCUUUGUUGCCCUUAGUUUCCUCUAGCUCCCUGCUCAAGCUCCUAGCGCCAUCCGCCCAGUCUUGAAAAGUUCAUCUCCCUAUUCCUUCUCAGUUCAUCCAAGUCACCAACAGCGUGCUCCCUUGUGCUGCGUAAGAGCUCUCUUGUGAUCCGCAAGCAGCACCACCGCCGGAGUAUCGCCGGCCUUAGUCCCUGCUCAAAGCUUUAGUUCCGCGCCCAAGUCUGCCUCUUCCCGACCCCAAGCUUUCCUUUCAGGAAGAAGGUGAGUGCCGACCCUAAGUCCGCUUCGCCCAACCCCUCCUAUCCGCCCGACCCCAGUUCCGUCUCGUCCGACCCUGUCUGUUCGCCGACCCUUGUCCGCCUCGCCCGAGGGUCUGGCUGUGAUCUUUUCUUCAACUCGAGGGUGUAAGUGUAAAACGUGGGAACCCUUCAGCGCUUCCGUCUGAGGAUCCCAGUUAUCACAUCCUCUAGUUCAAGGAUCAGACCACUAGUCUCCUUCCUAUCCUUACCUGUUGAUCAUCAUCAGCUCUCUCAAACAGCCUCCACCUCCUGCUCUUUGUCGCAAGUUUCUGGGCGCAGGAGAGCCAGUGUUGCUGUCGACUUAAACGUUAAGCUAACCCUUGCAUUGCAUUCGUGUAGAGUUGCAUCUCGCUGACGGCUUCUACGAGCUGCACCCGGCGCCCGAAGAAGAAGCUGUAGCCGAGUUCCUGCCCGCUGAAGUCGAAGCCGCCCCCGAAGUUGAGCAGUUCCAGCCUUCUUUGUUUGCAGGCAAGCACCGGUUGCAUGAAAAUCCUACGUGUUUUUGCCAGACUUGCACAUGCCUUCCGAAUAGCAUGUUUGUGCAUUUACGUUUAGGAGUUGUGUGAAACCCUAGAUGCAUGACUUAGUAACCCUUGAUAUGAGCACUAGCUGUUGGACCGAGUAGCUGCAUUGCUUAAAUAGGAAACGGUAAAAGCCGAGUGAUCUCCUGUCACUCGCGAGUUGUAGGAGUUGCAUGUGUUACUCUCCUGUUACAACUAUAAGGACGAUGGACGGGGCAGGGUUUGGUAACUCUUUGGUGGUCGGAUGGUUGCCCCGUCUGUCUAUGAAAACUUGCUAAGGCCCGACAGUGGUGGUGUUCGUGAUCAAGUGUUUGAAAGUACUAGCCUCAUACUUAGUAUGGGAUGAGGAAGCCUAGUACCUGAUUGAACCUAGACGUGAGCGGUCGCCCCAUUGUUCUUGGAACGGAGUUUCCCCUGCUGGUUGUCGCACGUGGUGGCAAAGCGUGGUCACAUAACGGCAGAGACCGGGUCUGUGGAACCUUGCACCAAAGGAAAUGGGCCCGACACGGGUUAGGGGAUUGAUGGGGAAGGUCGACACGUGAAGCGACCUCCGGGUGCGCGGAUGUCGUGAGGCUAGGUUCACCAUGCAUGGUUAAAGAACUCGAAUCGAUUCGUCUGCCUCUCACAGUUUGAGAUUUCUUGAUCGCUAUGUCACCCUGAGUAAAUGAGGAAUCUGAUGAUGGCAAUGUUGUUGUUUUUAUCUACACCCUUGUUUGGCUUGAUGGUUGCUUAGAAUAGGUUGCACAACCUAGACUGGUAAGUAAAUCUAGAACCGGAGCUAAAACUUGAAAAUAGGUUACUUAGUGCUUUUGGCGAAACAAACCCCUCAGCCAAGAAGCCUUGCAUGUCUAGUUGGGAGAGUAGUUGACUCCUCCCCGGUUAAGUCUUGUUGAGCUUAGUAGCUCAGCCUUGUUGUGGCUCCUGUUUUCAGGUGAAGUUGCAGUUCCCGACCCCUCCCUUGUUGGCGCUUGGCCGCCCCAGCUUCCGCCAGGCUGGACGGUCGAGUGGGACCCCUCCUCGGACGGCGAGGAGAGGACUCAGUGAUGUUCUGACUGGCCUCGCCCAGACGUCCGACCCCGACGAAGUCUUCCGCUAGCGUUUCCCUGUUGUUUUCUUGAAAACUUGUAAAGCUCUGAUGUUGGAUUUUAUGGUCGAAUUAAGUGGGUAAAACUUGUUCAACUCAGUGGACUCGUUGUAUUCUCUGUAACCGCUCACCUUCGUGUGGGUUUGCUGAACUCGAUCCUGUUUAAGUGGUCAAAUCGGAUGAAGUCCGACGGCGCUUCGUGUUAGCUCGAGUUAAUCAAGAGUGUCGCAUGUUAGGCGGCUAAACUCUGAUUAAUCAAGCUGAUCCGAGGUGGUUCCACCACAGCUUGGUACCAGAGCCGAGUUUAGCAUAUCAGAGAACCCGAUGAGCCCGAAACACUUCUUUGAAAUUAAAAGUUGCAAGGACCUUUCGAAAAUCUCGUACCAACGUUAAGGAUGACUUAGUGCGAGAGGCCCUAGGGGAUUUUGGGGUUGUUUUAGGUGACUAAUAAGUAUCUGGUUAUGUUGCUAACCCCUCCAGCACUUCGCCACGUCUAUUAUACGUGUGCCGAGUUCCGCAUCACGAGCAUGCGAGGGUUGAUAGGGAGUUCCAUUCAAGGGACCCUAUCUUCGCGGUUGUUUUCGCCCACAUCUAUUAUACGUGCGCAGGUUCCGUAUGUGAUCCAUACGAAGGUUGAUAUGGUUCGAUUCCAACGAACCUAUUGGCACGGUUGUUUCGCCACAUUUGUCAUACGUGUGCCGAUGCCGCAUCACAAGUAUGCGAAGGGUUAUAUGGUUCUAUUCGGAAGGAACCUAUUUCCACGGUUGAGUGCUGUCCAUGCAGCCUUAAACGCAUGGGUGCCGUUCCUAUAGUGAACGGUAAUGUUUGGGAACGCUUUCAUGGGUGCUGGCACGAAAGGUUCGGGUGUGUGUUUUCUGCAGGUUGCUAACCGCGCUCGUUAAGACGUUGCUAGAACCGACUAGAUAAUAUAGGGAGAGACGUAUUGUUGCCUUGUCACCGGCACUGACCGCGUAAGACCCAAGGUUUGGGCAGUUGUUUUUGGUUAAGAGCAUAGUAGGCCGUGCAUGCGUCAUACAAAAUCGGUAAUGUUCUCUUCUCAACAGCAACCCUGUCCGACAGAGUUCUUUUGGAUCUAAGGAUUUCUAGCUCCCCUUAGUUGCUCUCGGUUAAGCCCUUCUGCUUCUCUAUCCGACCCCUGAUCUUCGGAGUUAUCUCACGUGGCUUCGGUUUUCUUGGUUCCAGAUGGCUGCUCCCGGGCAUGUGGUGUUUGGAGCGGACGGUACCUUCCAAUCAACAUGCCUACAUUUCGAGGGGUUUCCCGCGAUCUUGUGGGAUACGUUGAGAUGGUUUGGGUAUCAGUCCACACCCCUGUAUUCUGGGCGGCUGUAUGUGGAGCAGGGCAUCCAGACGUGCCAGGUGCAAGCACUGGUGCCACCCCCUUUUGCGCGGCCCGACUGGCCCUCUCUGGGCAUCAUAGCCUACGGUCUUUCUCCGGAAGAUACGUGGGAAUCCGCCGCUCUCCAGUUGCUCACGCAGUUCUGUCAGUUCCACCCUGUGGAGAUCACCCUGGACCCGAUCGGACUUUUUCCCGUCAGAAGUCGGAUGGACCCGGCCUGGCUGGACCGCAUCGGAAACCUCGAGGUGUUGGCCACUACUUGUGCCACACUCACCAUCUCCACCAACAUCCGUUGCAUGGCUGCUUUCUACCAGCUGAUAGAGCUCCAAGGAAGGGCCAUGACUCUCUUUGCCCGGACUGCUGCAGACACCGACGGGUACCUCCAGGCAGCUAGAAGAGACCUGGUAGGCCAAACCUACCAGCUGAUCCAACGUGGAAUCCAGAUCCAUGACAUGCAAGACCGGAUCUCCGAGCUGGAAGGAGAAGUUGCCGACCUUGUGGACGGUAUGAUCGAGCUCUCCGAGGAGAAAAUGGAGGUGGAAAUGGAGUUGGCCGUUGCCAAUGCCCACCUAGAGGAGCACCAAGCUGAGCUUGAAGAUAUGCAUGCCCUCAACAUGCAGCUUGAAGCUCAGGAGGACCCUGAGGAAGACGAGGGAGCGUCCAGCAUGGACAUAGAAGAAAAUGGCGCCCCUUCUCCGACUCAUAGUGUCCAGUGGUAGCUUAAGGGUUCUCGGGGAACCUUCUUUCUUUUGUUGUACUCCUCGGCAGCCUAGUUUUGGAAAGUUGUAAUAGGUUAUCCUUGAGUUGAGUACUCCCUGUGUUGAAACGUCGUUGUGUAUAAAGUCAACCCAGUGCAGUGCAUAGUUUCAUCCUUUUCGUAUGAUGUGGAUGCUAAAGUUAAGAAAGUGGUGCCGUGACCCUGUGUUGUUUUCGGGGAGCCUGUUCAGUUGGCCGACCCUAGUUUGCGAACCAGAGUGCGCCGACCCUUAAGACAGUUACCGCCUUGUCCGACCCUCUUUGAGUACGGACCGUAUCCGAUCCCUCGGUUCGAGUGGACCCGACCCUAGGAGUCUGUAUGUGGUGUGGUUACCUGAGGUGGAGUACCAGGGCAAGUAAGGGCUAUCUGUGAUGAAAAUGGGAGGAAUGUGCUUCCUCUGUAAGGACGUAUGAUGCACCAUUGGCAAGAGUCGCAUUAAAGGACUUAAUUCAUACGUUCCCAAUUGCUGGAGUACCCCUAAGGUUAUGAGAUUGAUGGGCGUUAACUCUUGCAGAUGGCGCACCGCACAAGGUCUGGAACUAUGCCCAGUGGCAGGGAUCAGCAACAAGAUCUUCCCCCGCCCCCGCCACCAUUGCCAUUGGAGGCAAUCCUAGCAACUCAAACCGAGCUGCUCAGGCAUCUGGUACAAGGACAACAGCAGCCACACGGUGGUAGAGCACAGCAGCAGCAGCAUGUCGCAAGAUAUGAGGACUUUUUGGGGACACAGCCCCCGCUGUUCCAAAAGACCCAAGAACCGCUCGACGCUGACGCAUGGGUUCGUACGAUCGAAUCCAAGUUCGAGCUCCUUACCGCUCCAUGCCCUGACAACAACAAGGCGCGGUUCGCAGCUCAGCAGCUGCAUGGUUCCGCACGGCUUUGGUGGGACCACUACCAUGCCAUGCUACCUGCUGACCACGUAGUCAGUUGGAACGAGUUUAAGACGGCGUUCAAGGCGCAUCACAUUCCUGAAGGUCUCCUGGAGCGCAAGCUCAACGAGUUUCUAUCCCUCACCCAGGGAACUAGGGAUGUGCUGCACUACGCCCAGGCGUUUAACGACCUGUGCCGUUAUGCGGGAUAUCACGCGGACACCGAUGAGAAGAAGCAGGACAGAUUCCGCCGAGGUUUGAGCUUGGAGCUCAGGGAAAGGCUGAAUCCCAUCCGAGUGGACACCUAUAACGAGUUGGUCAACCUGGCCAUCUCCCAGGAGGAUUGCAUGCAAGCUCUAAAGGCCGACCAGAAGAGGAAAGCCUCUGUGGCUCUUCCGAGCCCGCCAGCCCGAAGGUUUCGGAUGAUCCCUCCACAAGCCCCUGGCCGACCCCAACAGUCAGGGAAAUGGAUCGCCCGACCCCCGCCGGCAACAAUGCCUAGUUCUCCAGGCUUCCAACCACAAGUACCCCGGCCGACCUUGCCAACGCCACCUCGUCCAGCAGCCAGUAACAGAUGUUUUACCUGCGGCAAUGAGGGGCAUUUUGCAAGGGAUUGCCCCAGGAGCAAGACUCAGCAGCAAGGCCAGAACCCCAUGGCAGCCAGAGGGAGAAGGCCCAAGGUGCAAGUCCGACAAGGCCGACUCAACUACACCAGCUUGACCGAACUUCCCGAAGGUGCGUCAGUAAUGAUGGGUACUUUCCUUGUUUUAAAUCAAGCUGUUGUGGUGUUGUUUGAUUCGGGAGCCUCUCAUAGCUUUAUCGGGAGUAAGGCAAGGGAAAGGUGUGGGCUAAGUGUAGGUCACACUAAGGAACCCUAUGUGAUCGCCACUCCUGGAGGGAGGAUAACGUCGGAUCAGAUCGUUAUUCUGGUACCUCUCCAGCUAGGCCCCACCCUUUUCAAGGAAAACCUUAUCCUCCUUGACCUUGAAGGCCUAGACGUCAUCCUUGGCAUGGAUUGGAUGGCCCGACAUCGUGUUGUUUUAGAUACCUCAGCCCGAUCUCUUUUCAUCAGCUCGCCCUCUCAUGGCAGUGCUACCCUAUCCUUGACCCAUCCUGAGUCUUUGACCCCUUGUGCGUUUUCUCUCUUGGGAACCCGUUUAGAAGACCUCCCUGUUAUCUGUGAGUAUCCAGAUGUGUUUCCAGAGGACUUGCCAGGCAUGCCACCUGACAGAGAAGUGGAGUUUUCUAUAGAGUUAGUUCCUGGCACAGCUCCGAUAUCUAAGAGACCCUAUCGGAUGCCACCCGCUGAGUUAGCAGUGUUAAAGACCCAGUUGCAUGAUCUGUUGGAAAAGGGCUUCAUUCGACCCAGUACGUCAUCUUGGGGAUGCCCCGCCCUGUUUGUGAAGAAGAAAGACGGCAGUUUACGGAUGUGUGUGGAUUACCGACCCCUCAAUGCGGUAACAGUUAAGAACAAGUACCCACUGCCCCGCAUUGAUGUCUUGUUCGACCAGUUAGCCGGAGCAAAAGUGUUCUCCAAGAUCGAUCUUCAUUCUGGUUAUCACCAAAUCAAGAUUCGACCUUGUGACGUACCCAAGACAGCUUUCUCUACCAGAUAUGGAUUGUAUGAGUACCUAGUCAUGUCCUUUGGACUCACCAAUGCACCCGCUUACUUCAUGUACCUUAUGAACUCGGUGUUCAUGCCCGAGCUGGACAAGUUUGUAGUGGUGUUCAUUGAUGAUAUCCUAGUGUACUCAAAGGACAAGGAAGAGCAUGCCAACCAUCUUCAUAUAGUUCUUCAGCGACUGAGAGAUCACCAGCUUUAUGCAAAGUUCUCCAAGUGUGAGUUUUGGUUGGAUAGUGUCAAGUUUCUAGGACACGCUAUCUCCAAGGACGGUAUUGCCGUGGAUCCCAGUAAGGUGCAAGAGGUCAUGGAAUGGAAGUCUCCUGUCUCGGUACACCAGAUCCGGAGUUUCCUCGGACUGGUAGGGUACUAUCGGCGUUUUAUACCGGAUUUCUCCAAGAUAGCUAAGCCGAUGACCGAGUUGUUGAAGAAAGAGGCCAAGUUUGUGUGGGACACCAAGUGCGAAGAAGCUUUCAAAACCCUGAAGCACUUGUUAACCACCGCCCCAGUUUUGGCUCAACCCGACCCCUCUAGGCCGUACGACGUAUACUGUGACGCCUCUGGCACUGGACUCGGGUGUGUUCUUAUGCAAGACAACCGAGUCAUUGCCUAUGCCUCACGUGCGUUGCGACCUCAUGAGCUGAACUACCCGACACAUGACCUUGAGUUGGCAGCAGUGAUACACGCCUUGAAAUUAUGGAGGCACUACUUAAUGGGAGCUCACUGCAACAUCUAUACCGACCACAAGAGCCUCAAGUACAUCUUCACGCAAGCCGACCUCAACAUGCGUCAGAGAAGAUGGCUGGAGUUGAUAAAGGAUUAUGACUUGGAAGUGCACUAUCAUCCUGGCAAGGCCAAUGUGGUGGCCGACGCCCUCAGUCGCAAACCUCAGUGCAACUGUUUGUUGUCCACCGCCUUCACCGACACUUUGUGUCACGAGAUGGGAAAACUAAGUCUAGAGCUUGUUCCCCAUGGAACCCUUGAUCACAUCAUCCUUGACUCAGUUUUAGAGGACCAGAUUCAGUCAGCCCAAGCUAAGGAUGAAGAAGUAAAACGGAUCAUCAGUAAGGUCUUGGUAAAAGACGAGGGAUAUAAGCUUUUCCGGCAGGACCAAACGGGAGGUGUGUACUAUGGAAACCGACUAGUAGUGCCCGCCGACCCCGAGUUAAGGAAGCAAAUCCUAGAUGAAGCUCAUCUUUCCAAGUUCUCCAUCCACCCUGGCAGCAACAAGAUGUACCAUGAUCUCCGUCAGACCUUUUGGUGGAGUGGGAUGAAACCGGAGAUAGCUCGUUAUGUUUCAGAAUGCGACACUUGUCAACGUGUCAAGGCCAGUCACUUGAAGGUAGCAGGAACCUUGCAGCCGCUACCCAUCCCCUCUUGGAAAUGGGAAGACAUCAGCAUGGACUUCAUAGUUGGGUUACCCCUUACAACUCAACAGUAUGAUUCUAUCUGGGUUAUAGUGGACCGUCUGACCAAGAAGGCACAUUUCUUUCCUGUUCGUACCACCUACACAGUCAAGCAAUAUGCAGAGUUGUACCUCGACCGUAUCGUUUCUCUACAUGGUGUACCCAAGACCAUCAUCUCGGACAGAGGAGUUCAGUUUGUGGCACGUUUUUGGGAGCAACUACAAGCAUCUAUGGGCACCAAGCUCAUCCGAAGCUCAACAUACCAUCCCCAAACCGAUGGCCAAACCGAGAGAGUCAACCAGAUCCUUGAAGACAUGUUAAGAGCCUGUGUUAUCCAUUAUGACAAAAACUGGGACAAGUGCCUGCCCUUAGCAGAGUUCUCCUACAAUAACAGCUACCAGUCCAGUUUGAAGAUGGCACCGUUUGAAGCCUUGUACGGCCGAAGAUGCAGGACACCCUUGAACUGGUCCCAACCAGGAGAGAGACAGGUUUAUGGCCCUGACUUAGUGGCAGAAGCCGAGGAACAAGUGAAGGUAAUUCAGGCAAAUCUCAAGGCUGCCCAAUCUCGACAGAAGGGUUACUCUGACCAGCGGAGAAGACCCCUGCAGUUCAACCUUUGUGACCAUGUGUACCUUAGAGUUUCCCCAACCAAAGGAGUGCAACGGUUUGGAAUAAAGGGCAAGUUAGCUCCCCGCUAUGUUGGCCCUUACGAGAUUAUGGAGAAGUGUGGACCCGUUGCUUACCGGAUCCAACUCCCAGAACAGCUAUCAGCCAUACAUGAUGUUUUCCAUGUGUCUCAGUUGAAGAAAUGCGUCCGAGUUCCAGCAGAGAUCCUAAAACAAGAACAACUUCAAGUAGAACCUGACCUGACCUACGCCGAGUACCCAGAUCGAGUUCUUGACCAUAAGGAAAGGCACACCCGACGUCAAGUGGUGAGGAUGUACAAGAUCCUCUGGAGAAACCACACCGAAGAUGAAGCGACAUGGGAGACGGAAGAAUAUCUGAACAAGCGUUUUCCAGGUUUUCUAUCUCAUCCAGGAGGUAAGAGCAGCACACCCUUGAUCUUGAAUCUCGGGACGAGAUUCCUUUUAAGAGGGGUAGGCUAUAACGACCGACCCCUAAUCUUUCCCAGUUAGGCUUGAUCUCAGCCCUUAACCUUAGUCAGUUGCUCUGUUGACCGCACUUAAGUGCUCAGUCUUCCGCCAGUUCCGACCCCUGAGGUCCGACCCCUACCGUUCGUUCCUUUUUCCCGACCCUGGCGAGUUCAGCCCUCCGUCGGAUCCUGCUAAUCUUCCUCACCCGUCCGAUCUUUUCCCCCGGUGGACCCGUGAGAUCUUUUCCAGAUCCCCCGCACCAGCCGCACUCGAGUUGCAUGGCCGCCUCAGAGCUUUCCUGCCGCGUGGCUCGUCUUCUCCGAUGCCACCGCUCAGUUUUGUCUCUGGCAAGCGACCAAGUGGGUUCCCGCGCCCUUUUCCCCAAUAGCAGCGGAAGCCCUCUGCACCCCUUUCUGCAGAUCCUCGCUCCCCGCGCCCAUCAUCACGAUACCAGAUCUCGGCCCCGGAGACCGAUGUCGCCCGUCUUUUCCAUCCUUUCCAGCAACAGUUGCGCCGUCCGGUCGUCGCUACACGACGAUUCCCCAACCGCCAACCCCGACCGCGGCCGCGACAGUUCCUUUCCCCGCCCUGUCAGACGCCGCCCGACAAUCUGUUGUUCCGCGCUCUCCCCCACGCCGCGUCCGCUUGUUCUCCCACCUGUGCGCCCUUGAUUCUAGCGCCGUUUAACCGGUCGCUUCUAUCACUUCUUCCGCACGACGACGCCCGCUCUCCGCCAAAUCCCAACCACCGGUCUACCCGCGCCUACGCCGCCCUGACGGAGUAGCGCAAUGAUCGCUGGCGUCACCCCCGGAGUUCUGUAGCACCGUCCGGUUUGCUCAAUCGCCGCCACAGCAGAGCACUCCAUUGCUUCUCCCCGGCCUUCGCGCCGCUCCCCUUCUCUCUCUCCGCGACGUUUCCGUUCCUCUGCUCCAGCAGCUAUAAAAGGAAGGCCCCUGUCGCCGGAGUUCCCUCCGCCUUUGUUGCCCUUAGUUUCCUCUAGCUCCCUGCUCAAGCUCCUAGCGCCAUCCGCCCAGUCUUGAAAAGUUCAUCUCCCCAUUCCUUCUCAGUUCAUCCAAGUCACCAACAGCGUGCUCCCUUGUGCUGCGUAAGAGCUCUCUUGUGAUCCGCAAGCAGCACCGCCGCCGGAGUAUCGCCGGCCUUAGUCCCUGCUCAAAGCUUUAGUUCCGCGCCCAAGUCUGCCUCUUCCCGACCCCAAGCUUUCCUUUCAGGAAGAAGGUGAGUGCCGACCCUAAGUCCGCUUCGCCCGACCCCUCCUAUCCGCCCGACCCCAGUUCCGUCUCGUCCGACCCUGUCUGUUCGCCGACCCUUGUCCGCCUCGCCCGAGGGUCUGGCUGUGAUCUUUUCUUCAACUCGAGGGUGUAAGUGUAAAACGUGGGAACCCUUCAGCGCUUCCGUCUGAGGAUCCCAGUUAUCACAUCCUCUAGUUCAAGGAUCAGACCACUAGUCUCCUUCCUAUCCUUACCUGUUGAUCAUCAUCAGCUCUCUCAAACAGCCUCCACCUCCUGCUCUUUGUCGCAAGUUUCUGGGCGCAGGAGAGCCAGUGUUGCUGUCGACUUAAACGUUAAGCUAACCCUUGCAUUGCAUUCGUGUAGAGUUGCAUCUCGCUGACGGCUUCUACGAGCUGCACCCGGCGCCCGAAGAAGAAGCUGUAGCCGAGUUCCUGCCCGCUGAAGUCGAAGCCGCCCCCGAAGUUGAGCAGUUCCAGCCUUCUUUGUUUGCAGGCAAGCACCGGUUGCAUGAAAAUCCUACGUGUUUUUGCCAGACUUGCACAUGCCUUCCGAAUAGCAUGUUUGUGCAUUUACGUUUAGGAGUUGUGUGAAACCCUAGAUGCAUGACUUAGUAACCCUUGAUAUGAGCACUAGCUGUUGGACCGAGUAGCUGCAUUGCUUAAAUAGGAAACGGUAAAAGCCGAGUGAUCUCCUGUCACUCGCGAGUUGUAGGAGUUGCAUGUGUUACUCUCCUGUUACAACUAUAAGGACGAUGGACGGGGCAGGGUUUGGUAACUCUUUGGUGGUCGGAUGGUUGCCCCGUCUGUCUAUGAAAACUUGCUAAGGCCUGACAGUGGUGGUGUUCGUGAUCAAGUGUUUGAAAGUACUAGCCUCAUACUUAGUAUGGGAUGAGGAAGCCUAGUACCUGAUUGAACCUAGACGUGAGCGGUCGCCCCAUUGUUCUUGGAACGGAGUUUCCCCUGCUGGUUGUCGCACGUGGUGGCAAAGCGUGGUCACAUAACGGCAGAGACCGGGUCUGUGGAACCUUGCACCAAAGGAAAUGGGCCCGACACGGGUUAGGGGAUUGAUGGGGAAGGCCGACACGUAAAGCGACCUCCGGGUGCACGGAUGUCGUGAGGCUAGGUUCACCAUGCAUGGUUAAAGAACUCGAAUCGAUUCGUCUGCCUCUCACAGUUUGAGAUUUCUUGAUCGCUAUGUCACCCUGAGUAAAUGAGGAAUCUGAUGAUGGCAAUGUUGUUGUUUUUAUCUACACCCUUGUUUGGCUUGAUGGUUGCUUAGAAUAGGUUGCACAACCUAGACUGGUAAGUAAAUCUAGAACCGGAGCUAAAACUUGAAAAUAGGUUACUUAGUGCUUUUGGUAAAACAAACCCCUCAGCCAAGAAGCCUUGCAUGUCUAGUUGGGAGAGUAGUUGACUCCUCCCCGGUUAAGUCUUGUUGAGCUUAGUAGCUCAGCCUUGUUGUGGCUCCUGUUUUCAGGUGAAGUUGCAGUUCCCGACCCCUCCCUUGUUGGCGCUUGGCCGCCCCAGCUUCCGCCAGGCUGGACGGUCGAGUGGGACCCCUCCUCGGACGGCGAGGAGAGGACUCAGUGAUGUUCUGGCUGGCCUCGCCCAGACGUCCGACCCCGACGAAGUCUUCCGCUAGCGUUUCCCUGUUGUUUUCUUGAAAACUUGUAAAGCUCUGAUGUUGGAUUUUAUGGUCGAAUUAAGUGGGUAAAACUUGUUCAACUCAGUGGACUCGUUGUAUUCUCUGUAACCGCUCACCUUCGUGUGGGUUUGCUGAACUCGAUCCUGUUUAAGUGGUCAAAUCGGAUGAAGUCCGACGGCGCUUCGUGUUAGCUCGAGUUAAUCAAGAGUGUCGCAUGUUAGGCGGCUAAACUUUGAUUAAUCAAGCUGAUCCGAGGUGGUUCCGCCACAAUACGUCAUACGGCCUAGAGGGGUCGGGCUGAGCCAACAAGGGGGCGGUGGUCAGCAAGUGCUUCAGGGUCUUGAAAGCCUCUUCACACUUGGUGUCCCACACAAAUUUGACCUCUUUCUUCAGCAACUCGGUCAUCGGCUUAGCUAUCUUGGAGAAAUCCGGUAUGAAACGCCGAUAGUAACCUGCCAAUCCAAGGAAACUCCUGAUUUGGUGUACUGAGGUAGGAGACUUCCAUUCCAUGACUUCUUGUACCUUGCUGGGAUCCACGGCAAUACCAUCCUUGGAGAUAGUGUGUCCGAGAAACUUGACACUAUCUAACAAAACUCACACUUGGAGAACUUGGCAUAGAGCUGGUGAUCUCUCAGCCGUUGGAGAACUAUAUGAAGAUGGUCGGCGUGCUCUUCCUCGUUCUUCGAGUAAACUAGGAUAUCAUCAAUGAACACCACCACAAACUUGUCCAGCUCGGGCAUAAACACCGAGUUCAUAAGGUACAUGAAAUAGGCGGGUGCAUUGGUGAGUCCAAAGGAUAUGACUAGGUACUCGUACAGUCCAUAUCUGGUAGAGAAAGUUGUCUUGGGUAUGUCGCAGGGUCGAAUCUUUAUUUGGUGAUAACCAGAACGAAGAUCGAUCUUGGAGAACACUUUUGCUCCGGCUAACUGAUCGAACAAGACAUCAAUGCGUGGCAGCGAGUACUUGUUCUUGACUGUCACAGCAUUGAGGGGUCGGUAAUCCACACACAUACGUAGACUGCCAUCUUUCUUCUUCACAAACAGGGCGGGGCAACCCCAAGAUGAUGUACUGGGUCGAAUGAAGCCCUUUUCCAACAGAUCAUGCAACUGGGUCUUCAACAUGGCUAACUCAGCGGGUGGCAUCCGAUAGGGUCUCUUAGAUAUCGGGGCUGUGCCAGGAAUCAACUCUAUGGAAAACUCCACUUCUCUAUCAGGUGGCAUACCCGGCAAAUCUUCUGGAAACACAUCAGGGUACUCACAGAUAAUAGGGAGGUCUUCUAGACGGGAUCCCAAGAGAGGGUAGGCACAAGGAGUCGAAGACUCAGGAUGGGUCAAGGAUACGGUAGAACUACCAUGGGAGGGUGAGCUGUGUUGGGAUACGAGGUAGGCUACACUAGCGCAAUUCAAAAAAAUCUACCGCGUAUAACCAGGAAGAACUGCCGUAUAAGGAUCACGGGAUUACCACUCGACGCACUACUGGUGCGGAAGAUGUAGAUAUGCGUCGAUGCAGUGAAGACAAUCACGUAGUCGUACGUAGUCGAUCACGUGCAGCAGCUCCUCAGCAGCUCGUCCACGUGCAGCAAGAUCGCCUCCGGUACCGUGGCUCGUCGUCGGCUCGUCGUGGCUCGUCGACGGCUCGUCCAAGUGCUGCAGGCGCAACACCUCCAAGGUAUCCACAUGUGCAGGGAGGAAGCAUCGCAAGUCGGACUGCUAGAUCUGCGAGUUGCAACAGGCGAGGGCGUGGGAGGCGCGGCAGGUGUGUUUCGCCAAAAAGGUGUAAACCCUAGGGCGCCCCCACCCCUCUAUUUAUAGAGGUUCCUGAUGGGCCUCUGGAUCCGAGGCCCAUUAGUACUCCUAAACCUAAUCCAACUCGGAUCAGAUCCGAAUUGGGCUUCCAGCCCCUUAAGUGUGUGACCCUAUGGGUUCGGAUACGUAUAGACAUGGCCCGAGUACUCCUACUCGGCCCAAUAGUCGGUAGCGGCCUCUAGCAAGACGUGCCAACUCCUAUACGCACACAAAGAUCAUAUCAGACGAACCAUCACAACAUAAUAUACAUGCUAUUCCCUUUGCCUCACGAUAUUUGGUCUAGCUUCAAGCCGACCGCUCUUUCUCGAUCCUGUGAUUCGGAAUCCCUUUGUAGGUUAACUCUUAACCGUACGUAGCAUGGCCAUGCAUUUUCGGAUCCGAUCACUCGAGGGGCCCAGAGAUAUCACUCUCAAUCAGAGAGGGGCAAAUCCCAUCUUGACUGACCAUGUCUCAUAGCAUGCUUCUUGACAAACCCGAAAGCUACCUUUAUAACUACCGUGUUACGGUGUAGCGUUUGAUAGCCCCUAAGUAGGUCGAUCCACAUCUAGAAUACAUGUGACAAUCUCAGGUCUAAGGACAAAGCGUAUAUGUUGUUUUAAAGAGAGAACUACUUCUCGUGUUGGGUCAGUCCUAACACAUGUCUCCACAUGUGUCCACAUUAUUAGUUCAACAUCUCGAUGUCCAUGACUUGUGAAACAUAGUCAUCAACUAAUACAUGUGCUAGUCUAAUAUUCAUGUGUGUCCUCACAUGAACUCCGACUAGGGACAACUUUAGAAUAACCAUACAAGGAAAGAGUUUCACAUACAAUUCACAUAAUUGCAAAUCAAUUCAAGUAGCCUUCAAUGGAUAUUCAAUGAACACAACAUACAAAUCAUGGAUACAAAUGGAAUAUCAUCAUCUCUAUGAUUGCCUCUAGGGCAUACCUCCAACAGUCUCCCACUUGCACUAGAGUCAAUCUAGAAGGUACCUAAUACCCAUAGCUCUUACAUGCGCAUCAUGCUUAGCCUGCGGGAGUGGUUUUGUCAACGGAUCAGAAAUGUUCAGAUCCGUGUGUAUUUUGCAUAUCUUGAUCUCACCCCGGUUAACGAAGUCUCGAAUGAGAUGAAAUCGCUGCAUUACGUGUUUGUUCUUCUAGUGGUUCCUUGGCUCCUUUGCUUGCGCAAUUGCCCCAUUGUUAUCACAGUAGAGAUUCAAUGGGCUGGACGCACUCGGGAACACACCAAGCUCAAUGAGGAAAUUCCUUAUCCAAACACCUUCCUUCGCGGCUUCCGAAGCCGCGAUGUACUCGGCUUUUGUCGUAGAAUCGGCCACCGUCUCCUGCUUGGAACUCUUCCAACUAACAGCACCACCAUUUAGCGUGAACACAAAUCCUGAUUGUGACUUUGAAUCAUCUCUGUCGGUUUGGAAACUAGCAUCGGUGUAACUUGUUACAACGAGCUCCUCCUCACCUCCAUAGACGAGGAACAUAUCUUUAGUCCUUCUCAAGUACUUAAGAAUAUUUUUCACCGCUGUCCAGUGACUCUCACCCGGAUCAGAUUGGUGUCUGCUUGUCAUACUUAGCGCAUAUGAAACAUCUGGGCGAGUACUUAUCAUUGCAUACAUGAUAGAUCCAAUAGCCGAGGCGUAUGGCACUCUACUCAUGCGAUCCUGCUCAUCAGUAGUCGAAGGACACUGAGUCUUGCUGAGAUGUAUGCCAUGUGACAUAGGCAAGAACCCUUUCUUUGCCUCUUCCAUGCUGAACCGCUUCAACACUUUGUCAAUGUAAGUAUCUUGGCUUAAACCUAUAAGCCUUCUUGAUCUAUCUCUAUAGAUCUUAAUGCCCAGAAUAUAUGCCGCUUCCCCUAAGUCCUUCAUCGAAAAACUAUUUUUCAGUGAAGUCUUUACAGACUCAAGCAUAGGAAUGUUAUUUCCAAUCAGUAAUAUGUCAUCCACAUAUAAGAUUAGAAAUACUACAGAGCUCCCACUAACCUUCUUGUAAACACAAAACUCUUCUUCGUUCUUGGUGAAGUCAAACCCUUUGACCACUUCAUCAAAACGAAUGUUCCAACUCCUAGAUGCUUGCUUCAAUCCAUAAAUGGAUCUCUGAAGCUUGCAUACCUUUCCAGCAUUUUUCGGAUCGACAAAACCCUCGGGCUGUAUCAUAUACACGUCCUCAGCUAGGUUUCCAUUCAGGAAAGCUGUCUUGACAUCCAUCUGCCAUAUCUCAUAAUCGAAAUAUGCAGCUAUAGCUAGAAUAAUCCGAAUGGACUUAAGCAUCACUACGGGCGAGAAGGUCUCGUCGUAGUCAACUCCUUGAACUUGUCGAAAACCUUUUGCGACAAGUCGUGCUUUAUAGAUGUGAACAUUUCCAUCCAUGUCCUUUUUCUUCUUAUAGAUCCACUUGCACUCUAUGGCUUUAACACCAUCAGGCGGGUCAACCAAGUUCCAAACUUGAUUGUCUCCCAUGGACUCUAUUUCGGAUUGCAUGGCAUUCUGCCAUUUUUCGGAGUCUGGGUCCAUCAUUGCUUCUGCAUAUGUCGCAGGCUCAUCAUUGUCCAACAAUAAUAUUUCCCGCAUUUCGCGGAGCCUUGCCGACCUUCGUGGUUGUGGCGGUGCUUCUCUUGCCAUGGGUAUCUCAACUUGUUCUGCUACGUUAGCAUCACUUAUUGAUUCUUGCCCAAUCGGCUCAUCUUGAACUUCUUCAAGAUGCACUGUCUUUCCACUAUUUUCUCCUUUGAGAAACUCUUUCUCUAGAAAAACCCCGUUCCGAGCGACAAACACUUUGCCUUCUGAUCGGUUGUAGAAAUAAUAUCCCAAAGUUUCCUUUGGAUAUCCCACGAAAAUGCACUUAUCCAACUUGGGUGUGAUCUUGUCCGACUGAAGUCGCUUGACAAACACUUCACAUCCCCAAAUCUUUAGAAAAGACAAACUAGGAACCUUUCCAGUCCAUAUCUCAUAUGGUGUCUUAGCUACGGAUUUAGAUGGUACCCUAUUAAGUGUGAAAGCUGCUGUUUCUAGAGCGUAUCCCCAAAAUGACAACGGUAGGUCCGACUGGCUCAUCAUUGAUUGAACCAUGUCUAACAAAGUUCGAUUACGUCGCUCGGACACACCGUUUCUCUGAGGUGUUCCAGGCGGCAUAAGUUGUGGAACAAUUCCGCAACUCUUUAGAUGAUUGCUAAACUCGUGGCUCAAAUACUCACCUCCACGAUCAGAUCGUAAGGCCUUAAUUUUCUUGCCACGCUAAUUUUCAACUUCAUUAUGAAAUUCCUUGAACUUUUCAAAGGUUUCAGACUUGUGCCUCAUCAAGUAGACAUAGCCAUAUCUACUAAAAUCAUCAGUGAAAGUUAUGAAGUAUUGGAAUCCUCCUCUAGCCGUCGUGCUCAUUGGUCCGCAUACAUCACUAUGUAUGAGUUCCAACAAGUCUACUGCUCUCUCAGGAAAACCUGUGAAAGGCGUCUUGGUCAUCUUGCCUAGCAAGCAAGCCUCACAUGUCUCGUAUGAUUCAAAAUCAAACGAAGUUAGAAGUCCAUCAGAAUGGAGCUUCUUCAUGCGCUUUUCACUUAUAUGACCCAAACGACAAUGCCACCAGUAGGUAGGACUCAAAUCAUUAGGCCGAGGCCUUUUAGCACUUACAUUACAGACAGGUGAACCAUCAAGAUGUAAAACAAAUAAUCCAUUCACAAUGGGUGCAAAAGCCAUAAACAUAUUAUUCUUAGAGAUCACACAACCAUUAUUUUCACUCGCAAAUGAAUAACCAUCCUUCAUCAAGCAUGAAGGAGACAAAAUGUUUCGACUUAAACUAGGAACAAAAUAACAAUUAUUCAACUCCAUAAUAAAUCCUGACGGGAGGUGGAGUUGCAUCGUCCCGACGGUCAACGCAGCAACUCUUGCAUUAUUGCCCACGCGGAAAUCAACUUCUCCUCUUUCCACGCUUCUACUUCUUAUCAUUCCCUGCAUCGAAUUGCAAAUAUGAGCAACCGAUCCGGUAUCAAAUACCAAAGAAUUAAUAAUUGUAUCAGCGAGAAAUAUGUUGUCUAUAACAUUAACAACAAGCGUACCUGAGGUAGAAGUACUCUUACUUCCGCCAUUCUUCAAGGAAGCUAGGUACUGCUUGCAGUUUCUCUUCCAGUGACCAAGUUCAUGACAGUAAAAGCACUCUUUGUCUGGAGCAGGUCCAGGUCCAGCUUUAACCUUGGGCGGUGGGUUUGGCUUGGACGUUCCAGCCUUGGCCUUCUUCUUCCAAGAAUUGCCCUUCUUCUUAAAGCUGGGCUUGUUCUGUAUCGCCAUCACAUGGCUGGUACUAGCGCUUUUCUUGAUGUCAGGCUCUGCUAUUUUAAGCAUGCCACACAGCUCAUUCAGACCCUUCUCCGUCCCAUGCAUAUGGUAGUUCGAGAUGAAGUUCCCAUAGCUAGGCGGAAGAGACGAAAGAAUGAAAUCAGUGGCCAACUCUUGGCCCAGUGGGAAGCCUAGCUUCUCCAACCGUUGAGUGUAACCAACCAUCUUGAUUACGUGUGGUCCUACUGCUGCGCCUUCUGCUAGCUUGCUCUCAACAAAGGCCUUAGACACAUUGAACCUUUCAGUCCUGGCCUGUGUUUGGAACAUGUCUCUAAGCGCCACGAUCAUAUCGUGCGCCUCAUGGUUUGUUUCGAACUGCAUCUGCAGCUCGGGUUCCAUGCAAGCAAGCAUAAGGCAGCUUACUUCGAGGUUAGCAUCACAUGCUUUCUUGUAAGCAUUCUUAGCAGCAGCGGGUGCAUCAUCAGCAGGUUCUUCUGGUAGUGGGUUUUCUAGAACAUCUUCCUUUUUCUCAGCCCUGAGAACAAUUCUCAGGUUACGGAUCCAAUUCGAGUAGUUUGUUCCAUUCAACUUGUCCUUCUCAAGGACCGAACGCAAAGCAAACGAUGUGGUGGUGUUGCUAGGUGCCAUUUAAUCUACAACAAAAGUAAUGCAAAAUACACUAAGACAAACAUAUCCAUGAUAGAGCAAAUUAUAUUAAACUACUUUAACAGAAUCUACUCCCACUAAAAUCAAUAUCCCUCUAUUGAAACUUAGUGAUUCAGGAUCCACAACUAACAAGUCUACUAGUGAGCUUUAGCAUCACCGCUAGCAAACGAGGUAGAUCGGUAAGCAACUUUUGCUAAUCAUAUCACAUAUGACUCCUGUUGUUGGGUGACAUCUCUAUGUCUCGGCGCCCAACCUUUAUGCCCCAAGGUCCUUAACCGUUAAGAUAACCUUGUUAAGCAAACCAACCCUUAUGCGUGUAAGUGUCCGACACAAACCCGUCUAGUCAAGGAAAACUAGUGGCACCCUAAUUUCAUAGACCCACCACUAAUUGUACAAGACAUGGGAUGGUGCAAGUUUUAGUUGGGAGGGCAUACUAACUUAAACUUUGUGAGGGAUCGUUCUACUUCUAACAUCACAGCAUGCAGAAAGUAAAACAUAAACAGAAUAGCAUUCACACAGUUGUGACACAGUAUGGCCCAUUUUCAUAUGGUGAUCUCCAUCUCCAUAGAACCUGUUCACCAUGGUGAUCUCCAUCUCCAUGUUCCAUGUGCGCCAUCCUCCUGGUGAUGAGUCCUCCAAGAACUAGAGCAUGCUAUUACGCCUAAUAGCUAGUAAAGAAUCUAGUAAUGAAGAUUACAUAGUUGCUUGGAUCAUCACAGAUUGGUACGCAGACCAUUAAAUACAAUAAAGUGACAACACAUAUGGCUCCUGCCGUGUUGCCGUACGCGCGACACGCAGGUCACGAAUGAGUUACACACAUGCAUCACAUACACAAGGGGGCCAUACUGAUCACAAGAUACAUACAUACAUCCUGCAAAAGAGAGUUAGGCGUCCUAACGUUCCAAACUUCGGAGGCCCAAAACUCCAUCUUCCAAGCCGAAUUUGGGAAAUCUAAUCUCGCCGAAAAUGGCGAAGCGGUUGAAAUUCAUGUGUAACUUUUUCUAUAGAUCAAUUUUCGUAUAAAAAUCGCCCCGAUCCGAGAUCGUACCGAAAAGUUACGGCUGAUUUACCGAAGCAUACGCAUACGGCAAAAUCCCGACCCCGGCAGUAGAUCCCAUCUACUAUUGCACAUCUAAUGUGCCUGGCGUAUGACCCUGGAUCUCGAUUCGACCAAUCAUAUUGAUCUUCCCUCACUGCAACUGGAUUUACGUGUAUCACUUAACUCCGAUGGCGGAAACCGACCGGUAGGAGUAUGUCGUUACACUACCAUUGCAACAAGGGCACGAAACCAGGACAUAGAUCAAACUGAAAACUCGCAUAUCUCCAUAUGCACACAUCCCGAAUCCAAAACUAAGCAGCUACGGCUCUGAUACCACUGUUGGGAUACGAGGUAGGCUACACUAGCGCAAUUCAAAAAAAUCUACCGCGUAUAACCAGGAAGAACUGCCGUAUAAGGAUCACGGGAUUACCACUCGACGCACUACUGGUGCGGAAGAUGUAGAUAUGCGUCGAUGCAGUGAAGACGAUCACGUAGUCGUACGUAGUCGAUCAACGUAGUCGUACGUAGUCGAUCACGUCCAGCAGCUCCUCAGCAGCUCCUCCACGUGCAGCAAGAUCGCCUCCGGUACCGCGGCUCGUCGUCGGCUCGUCGUGGCUCAUCGGCGGCUCGUCGACGGCUCGUCCAAGUGCUGCAGGCGCAACACCUCCAAGGUAUCCACACGUGCAGGGAGGAAGCGUCGCAAGUCGGACUGCUAGAUCCGCGAGUUGCAACAGGCGAGGGCGUGGGAGGCGCGGCAGGUGUGUUUCGCCAAAAAGGUGUAAACCCUAGGGCGUCCCCACCCCUCUAUUUAUAGAGGUUCCUGAUGGGCCUCUGGAUCCGAGGCCCAUUAGUACUCCUAAACCUAAUCCAACUCGGAUCAGAUCCGAAUUGGGCUUUCAGCCCCUUAAGUGUGUGACCCUAUGGGUUCGGAUACGUAUAGACAUGGCCCGAGUACUCCUACUCGGCCCAAUAGUCGGUAGCGGCCUCUAGCAAGACGUGCCAACUCCUAUACGCACACGAAGAUCAUAUCAGACGAACCAUCACAACAUAAUAUACAUGCUAUUCCCUUUGCCUCACGAUAUUUGGUCUAGCUUCAAGCCGACCGCUCUUUCUUGAUCCUGUGAUUCGGAAUCCCUUUGUAGGUUAACUCUUAACCGUACGUAGCAUGGCCAUGCAUUUUCGGAUCCGAUCACUCGAGGGGCCCAGAGAUAUCACUCUCAAUCAGAGAGGGGCAAAUCUCAUCUUGACUGACCAUGUCUCAUAGCAUGCUUCUUGACAAACCCGAAAGCUACCUUUAUAACUACCCUGUUACGGUGUAGCGUUUGAUAGCCCCUAAGUAGGUCAAUCCACAUCUAGAAUACAUGCGACAAUCUCAGGUCUAAGGACAAAGCGUAUAUGUUAUUUUAAAGAGAGAACUACUUCUCGUGUUGGGUCAGUCCUAACACAUGUCUCCACAUGUGUCCACAUUAUUAGUUCAACAUCUCCAUGUCCAUGACUUGUGAAACAUAGUCAUCAACUAAUACAUGUGCUAGUCUAAUAUUCAUGUGUGUCCUCACAUGAACUCCAACUAGGGACAACUUUAGAAUAACCAUACAAGUAAAGAGUUUCACAUACAAUUCACAUAAUUGCAAAUCAAUUCAAGUAGCCUUUAAUGGAUAUUCAAUGAACACAAUAUACAAAUCAUGGAUACAAAUGGAAUAUCAUCAUCUCUAUGAUUGCCUCUAGGGCAUACCUCCAACAAGCUGAUGUAAAGAGAUCGGGCUGAUGUAUCUAGAACAACAUGAUGUCGGGCCAUCCAAUCCAUACCAAGGAUGACAUCUUCUAGGUCAAGGAUGAUAAGGUUUUCCUUGAAGAGGGUGGGACCUAGCUGGAGAGGUACAAGAAUAACGACCUGAUCUGACGUUAUCCUUCCUCCAGGAGUGGCAAUCACAUAGGGUUCCUUAGCGUGACCGACACUUAGCCCACAUCUUUCCCUUGCCUUACUCCCGAUAAAGCUAUGAGAGGCUCCCGAAUCAAACAACACAACAACAGCUUGAUUUAAAACAAGGAAAGUACCCGUCAUUACUGGCGCACCUUCGGGGAGCUCAGUCAAGCUGGUGUAGUUGAGUCGGCCUUGCCGGACUUGCACCUUGGGCCUUCUUCCUCUGGCUGCCAUGGGGUUCUGACCUUGCUGUGGAUUCUUGUUCCUGGGGCAGUCCUUCGCGAAAUGUCCUUCAUUGCCGCAGGUAAAACAACGAUUACUGGCUGCAGGGCGGGGUGGCGUUGGCAGGGUCGGCCGGGGCACUUGCGGUUGGAAGCCUGGAAAACGAGGCAUUGUCGCCGACGGGGGUCGGGCGAUCCAUUUCCCUGACGGCUGGGGUCGGCCAGGGGCUUGUGGAGGGAUCAUCCGGAACCUUCGAGUCGGUGGACUCGGAAAUGCCACAGAGGCUUUCCUCUUCUGGUCAGCCUUGAGGGCUUGCAUGCAGUCCUCCUGAGAGAUGGCCAGGUUGACCAACUCGUUGUAGGUGUCCACCUUGAUGGGGUUCAACCUUUCCCUGAGCUCCAAGCUCAGUCCUCGGCGGAAUCUGUCCUGCUUCUUCUCGUCUGUGUCCGCAUGAUAGCCAGCAUAACGCCAUAGGUCAUUGAAAGAUUGGGCGUAAUGCAGCACAUCCCGAGUUCCUUGGGUGAGGGCCAAAAACUCGUUGAGCUUGCGCUCCAGGAGACCUUCGGGAAUGUGAUGCGCCUUGAACGCCAUCUUGAACUCGUUCCAGCUGACCACGUGGCCAGCCGGCAGCAUGGCAUGGUAGUGGUCCCACCAAAGCCGUGCGGAGCCACGCAGCUGCUGAGCUGCGAACCGCGCCUUGUUGUGAUCGGGGCAUGGAGCGGUGAGGAGCUCGAACUUGGAUUCGAUUGUACGAACCCAUGCGUCAGCAUCGAGCGGUUCUUGUGUCUUUUGGAACAGCGGGGGCUGUGUCCCCAGGAAGUCCUCAUACCGCGCGAUAUGCGGCUGCGGUUGUGCUCUUCCACCAUGUGGCUGUUGUUGCUGUCCUUUCACCAGAUGCCUUAGCAACUCAGUUUGAGUUGCUAGGAUUGCCUCCAAUGGCGAUGGGGGCGGGGGCGGGGGAAGAUCCUGUCGCUGUUCACUACCGCUGGACACAGCACCAGACCUAGUGCGGUGCGCCAUCUGCAAGAGUUAACGCCCCAUUAAUUUCAUGACCUUAGGUAUACUCCAACAAAUGGAACGUAUGGAUUAAAUCCCUUAAUGCGACUCUUGCCAAUAGUGCAUCACACGUCCUCAUAGAGAAAGCACAUUCCUCUCAUUCUCAGCAUAGAUAACCUCUACUUGACCUGGUACUCCACUUCAGGCAACACAUGCCACAUACAGACUACAGACUCCUACGAUCUGAUCCACUCAAUCCAAGGGGUCGGACACGGUCCGUACUUGAAAAGGGUUGGACGAGGCGGAGACUGCCUCAAAGGGUCGGCGCACUCGGCCUCACAAACUGGGGUCGGCCAACUGAACAGAUCCUCAGAACACAGCAUAUGGUCACGGCACAACUUACUCAACCUAGCAUCCACGCCAUACAAAGAUGAGAAAGCUAUGCACCGGGGUUACUUUAUAUACAACGGUGUUUCAACACAGGGAGCACUCAACUCGAGGCUAACCUAUUACAACUUUUCCAAAAUCUAGGCUGCCGAGGAGUACAACAAAAAGAUGGUUCCCUGAGAACCCUUAAGCUACCAAUGGACACUAUGAGUCGGAGAAGGGGCGCCAUCUUCUUCUAUGUCCAUGUUGGACGCUCCCUCAUCUUCCUCAGGGUCCUCCUGUGCUUCGAGCUGCAUGUUGAGGGCAUGCAUAUCCUCGAGCUCGGCUUGGUGCUCCUCUAGGUGGGCAUUGGCAACUGCCAACUCCAUUUCCACCUCCAUGUUUUCCUCUGAGAGCUCUAUCAUGCCGUCCAUGAGGUCGGCAACUUCUCCUUCUAGCUCAGAGAUCCGAUCUUGCAUAUCGUGGAUCUGGAUACCACGCUGGAUCAGCUGGUAGGUUUGGCCUACCAUAUCUCUUCUUGCUGCCUGGAGGUGACCGUGGGUAUCUGCUGCCGUCCAGGCGAAAAGGGUCAUGGCUCUCCCCUGAAGCUCUAUCAACCGGUAGAGAGCGGCCAUGCACCGGAUGUUGGUGGAGAUGGUAACCAUGGCACAGGUGGUGGCUAACACCUCGAUGUUCCCGACACGGUCAAGCCAGGCCGGGUCCAGCCGGUUCCUGAAGGGGAAGAGGCCGAUCGGGUCUAGCGUGAUCUCCACGGGAUGCAGCUGACAGAACUGGGUGAGCAACUGAAGGGCGGCAGACUCCCAUGUAUCUUCCGGGGCAAGACCAUAGGCUAUUAUGCCCAGAGAGGGCCAGUCGGGCCGGGCAAGGGGAGGUGGUACCAACGCUUGCACCUGGCACGUCUGAAGGCCCUGUUCCAGAUAUAACCGCCCGGCAUACAAGGGCGGGGACUGAUACCCAAACCACUUCAGCGUAUCCCACAGAAUCGUGGGAAACCCCUCGAAAUGCAGGCACGUUGACUGGAAGGUACCGUCCGCUCCAAAAACAACAUGUCCGGGAGCAGCCAUCUGGAACCAAGAAAACCGGAAACCACGUGAGAUAAACUCCAAGGAUCAGGGGUCGGAUAGAGAAGCAUACGGGUUUAACCGAGAGCACUAAGAGAAACUAGAAAUCCUUAGAUCCAGAAGAACUCUUUUGAACAGGGUUGCUGUUGAGAAAGGGAACCGUACGACCUUGAAGAUGUGACACAUGCACGGCCUACCUUACUCUUAACCAAAAACAACUGCCCGAAACUCGGGUCUUACGCGGUCAGUGCCGGUGACAAGGCAACAAUACGUCUCUCCCUAUAAUAACUAGUCGGUUCUAGUAACGUCUCCUAAACGAACGCGGUUAGCAACCUGCAGAAAACACCACACACGAACCUUUCGUGCCAGCACCCACGAAAGCGUUCUCAAACAUUACCGCUCCCUAUAGGAACGGCACCCAUGCGUUUAAGGCUGCAUGGAUAGCACUCAACCGUGGAAAUAGGCUCCCUUUGAAUGGAUCCGUAUAACCCUUCGCAUACUCGUGAUGCGGAAUCGGCACACGUAUGACAAACGUGGCGAAACAACCGUGCUGAUAGGUUCGUUGGAAUCGAACCGUACCAACCUUCGUAUGGAACACAUACGGAACCUGCGCACGUGUAAUAGACGUGGGCGAAAACAACCGCGAAGAUAGGGUCCUUCGAAUGGAGCUCCCUAUCAACCCUCGCAUGCUCGUGAUGCGGAACUCGGCACACGUAUGAUAGACGUGGCGAAGUGCUGGAAGAGUUAGCAAAAUAACCAAAUAUUUAUUAGUCACCUAAAACAACCCCAAAAUCCCCUAGGGCCUCUCGCACUAAGUCAUCCUUAACGAUUGUACGAGAUUUUUCAAAAGUUUCUUGCAACUUUUAUCCCUUUCAAAGAAUGUUUAGGGCUUGUUGGGUUCUCUGAAAUGCUAAACACGGCUCUGAUACCAGCUGUGGCGGAACCACCUCGGAUUAGCUUGAUUAAGCAGGGUUAAACCGCCUAACAUGCGACACUCCUGCCUAAACCGAGUUAAUACGAAGUGCCGUCGGAUUUCAUCCGAUUUAACCACUUAAACAGGAUCGAGUUCAGCAAACCCACACGAAGGUGAGCGGUUACAGAGAAUACAACAAGUCCACUGAGUUGAACAAGUUUUACCCAUUUGGUUUGGCCAUAAAAUCCAACAUCAGAGUUUUACAAGUUUUCAAGGAAACAACAGAGAAAACACUAGCGGAAGACUUCGUCGGGGUCGGACAUCCUUGGUGAGGCCAACCGGGACAUCACUGGCUCCUUCCCUCGCCGUCCGAGGAAGGAUCCCACUCGACCGUCCAGCCUGGCGGGAGCUGGGGCGGCCAAGCACCAACCAGAGAGGGGUCGGAAGCAGCAACUUCACCUGAAAACAGGAGCCACAACAAGGCUGAGCUACUAAGCUCAACAAGACUUAACCGAUAGGAGGAAGGGCUACUCCUCCUUCUAGACAUGCAAGGCUGUUUGGCUGAGGGGGUUGUUUGCCAAAAGCACUAAGUAACCCUAUUUUCAAGUUUUAGCUCCGGUUCUAGGUUCAUUUACCAAUCUAGGUUGUGCCACCUAUUCUAAGCAUUCAUAGAAUCAAACAAGAUGUAUAGAUACAACAACAAACAUUGCCAUCAUCAGAUUCCUCAUUUACUCAGGGUGACAUAGCGAUCAAGCAAUCUCAAACUGUGAGAGGCAGACGAAUCGAUUCGAGUUCUUUAAUCAUGCAUGGUGAACCUAGCCUCACGACAUCCACGCACCCGGAGGUCGCUUCCUGUGUCGGCCUUCCCCAUCAAUCCCCUAACCCGUGUCGGGCCCAUUUCCUUUGGUGCAAGGUUCCACAGACCCGGCGUCUGCCAUUCUGUGACCACGCUUGCCACCACGUGCGACAACCAGCAGGGGAAACUCCGUUCCAAGAACAAUGGGGCGACCACUCACGUCUAGGUUCAAUCCGGUACUAGGCUUCCUCAUCCCAUACUAAGUAUGAGGCUAGUACUUUCAAACACUUGAUCACGAACACCACCACUGUCGGGCCUUAGCAAGAUUUCAUAGACAAACGGGGCAACCAUCCGACCACCAAAAAGUUACCAAAACCUUGCCCCGUCCAUCGUCCUUAUAGUUAUAACAGGAGAGUAAACAUGCAACUCCUACAACUCGCGAGAGACAGGAAAUCACUCGACUUCUACCGUCUCCUAGUUAAGCAAUGCAGCUACUCGGUCCAACAGCUAGUGCUCAGAUCACUGGGAUGUGCAAAUGCACAAGCAUGUUACAGAAGGCAUGCGCAAGUCUGGUAAAACACAUAGGACUUUCAUGCAACCGGGGCUUGCCUUCAAGCAAGGAGGACGGAAACUGCUCGACUUCGGGGGCGACUUCGGCUUCGGAGGACAGGAGCUCGGCUACAGCUUUUUCUUCUGGCGCCGGGUGAAGCUCGUAGAAGCCGUCGGCGAGGUGCAGCUCUACACGAAUGCAAUGCAGGGGUUAGCAUAGACAGUUACUUCAACAGCAACACUGGCUCGCCUGAGCCCAGAAACUCGCGACAAAGAGCAGGAGGUUAAGGUGGUUCGAGAGCUGAUGAUGAUCAAGAGGUAAGGGUAGGAAGGAACUAGUGGUCUGAUCCUUGAACUAGAGGAUGUGAUAAACUGGGGGUCCUUAGACGCAAGCGUUGAAGGGUUCCCAAGUUUUACACAUACACCCUCGAGUUGAAGAAAAAGAUCACAGCCAAGCCCUCGGGCGAGGCGGACAAGGGUCGGCGGAACAGACAGGGUCGGGCGAGACGAAACCGGGGUCGGGCGGAUAGGAGGGGUCGGGCGAGGCGGACUGGGGUCGGCAACUCACCUUCUUCCUGAAAGGAAAGCUUGGGGUCGGAACGAAGCAGACUUGGGCGGAGGGACUACGGUUUGAUCAGAAGCUAAGACCGGCGAUGCUCCGGCGGCGGCGCUGCUUCUUGCGGAUCACAAGAGAGCUUUUACGCAGCACGGAGGAGCAAGCUGCUGGGUGACUUGGAGAAGAACUGAGGGAGAACUGAGAGAAGAACUCCUCAAGAACUGGGUGGGUGGCGCUAGGAGCUUGAGCAGGGAGCUAGACGAGGCUGAAGGCAACGAGAGCGGAGGGAACUCCGGCGACGGGGGCAUUCCUUUUAUAGCUGCUGGAGCAGAGGAAAGGAAACGGCGCGGAGAGAGAGAAGGGGAGCGGCGCGAAGGCCGGGGAGAGGCAAUGGAGUGCUCUGCCGGGGCGGCGAUUGAGCAAAGAGGGCGGUGGUGCAGAACUCCGGGGGUGACGCCAGCAAUCAUGGCGUUCUGCCGUCAGGGUGGCGUAGGAGUGGGUAGACUGGUGGUUGAGAUUUGGCGGAAAGUGGGCGUCGUCGUGCGGAAGAUGUGAUAGAAGUGACCGGCUUAACGAAACUAGAAUCGAGGGCGCUCGGGUGAGAAGGCAGGCGGACGCGGGCGCGGGGGAGAGCGCGGAACAACAGAUUGUCGGGCGGCUUCGAACAGAGCGGGGGAAAGGAACUGUCGCGGCCGCGGUCGGGGUUGGCGGUGGAGGAAUCGUCGUGUAGCGGCGACCAGGCAGCGCAACUGUGGCUGAAGGGACGGAAAAGACGGGCGACAUUGGGCUCUGGGGCCGGGAUCUGGUGGCGUGAUGAUGGGCGCGGGAGGCGAGGUUCUGCAGAAAGGGGUGCAGAGGGCUUCCGCUGCCAUUGGGGAAAGGGGCGCGGGAACCCACUCGGUCGCUGUCCAGAGACAAAACUGAGCGGCAGGCGUUGGAGAAGACGAGCCACGAGGCAGGAAGACUCUGAAGCAGCCAUGCAACUCGAGUGCGGCUGUCGCGGGGGAUCUGGAAAAGAUCUCGCGGGUCCACCAGUGGAUAGAUCGGACGGGUGAGGAAGAUUAACAAAAUCUGACGGUGGGCUGAGCUCGUCGGGGUCGGGAGAGGAGCGAAGCCGGAAGGGGUUGGAUCUCAGGGGUCGGGACCGGCGGGAAACUGAGCACUUAGGUGCGGUCAAGCAAGACAGCUGACUAAGGUUAAGGGCUGCGAUCAAGACUAACUAGAAGGCUUAGGGGUCGGUCGUUACACCUGCACUAUGCGCAGGCCUUCAAUGAUCUGUGCCGAUACGCUGGGUAUCAUGCGGACACAGAUUAGAAGAAGCAGGACAGGUUCCACAGAGGGUUAAGCUUGGAGCUCAGAGAGAGAUUAAACCCAAUAAGGGUGAAUACGUACAACGAGUUGGUCAACUUGGCCAUCUCACAAGAGGACUGCAUGAAGGCUCUGGUAGCCGAGAGGAAGAGGAAGGCUCCACUGCCAACGCCCAGCCCACCUACACAACGUUUCAGAAUGGUUCCACCACAGGCACCCAGCCGACCUCAGCAGCCGGGAAGAUGGGUUGCCCGACCCCCACCAGCGGUAGCACUUCAUUUUCCGGGAUUUCAACCUCAGGCUCCGCGGCCGACCCUACCGCCACCACCGUGCCCUGCAAAUGGUAACCACUGCUUCACCUGCGGCAAUUUGGGGCAUUUCGCCAAGGACUGCCCCAGGAAUCAGAAUCAGCGCCAAGGGCAAAGCAAUGCGAUGCUCAAUAAAGGGAAGAGGCCCAAGAUGCAAGUUCGCCAAGGUCGGUUGAACUUCACCAAUGCAGCAGAGCUUCCUGAAGGUGCACCGAUAAUGACGGGUACCUUUCUUAUUCACAGUCUUUCAGCUUUGGUUUUGUUUGACUCAGGAGCCUCACAUAGUUUUAUUGGAAGAAAGACUAGUGACAAAUAUGGGUUAAAGGAAUGCCAAACAAGAGGAUCUUUUAGGAUAUCCACCCCGGGUGGGGUAAUCACAUCUGAUAGGAUGAGUGUCAAUGUGCCUAUCUAGCUAGGCCGAACCCUUUUUAAGGAGAAUCUUGUUAUUCUCGAUCUGGAGGGGAUUGAUGUCAUCCUAGGAAUGGAUUGGAUGACAAGGCACCAGGUUGUGUUAGAUAUUCCAGCCCGAGCUAUCCAUGUCAACUCACCCCACCAAGGCCCCUCUGUUGUCCAAUUGCCUCGCCGAGAAGAUGUGAAUUCUUGUGCGUAUCCCGCAAUUGAGACCCAAUUGAAGGACAUCCCUGUAGUCUGUGAGUACCCCGACGUGUUUCCCGAUGUUUUGCCGGGCAUGCCGCCCGAUAGAGAUGUGGAGUUUUCCAUAGAGUUGAUCCCCGGCACCGCCCCUAUCUCCAAAAGACCUUAUCAGAUGCCACCCGCUGAGUUGGCCGAGUUAAAAACCUAUUUGAAGGAUCUGUUGGAAAAAGGCUUUAUCCGACCCAGCACUUCACCUUGGGGUUGCCCAGCCCUGUUUGUGAAGAAGAAGGAUGGGAGUCUACGCAUGUGUGUGGACUACCGACCUCUCAAUGCGGUGACUGUCAAGAACAAGUAUCCACUUCCCCGCAUUGAUGUUCUGUUUGAUCAGUUAGCUGGAGCAAGAGUAUUCUCCAAGAUCGAUCUUCGUUCCGGUUAUCACCAAAUCAAGAUCAGACCCUGUAACAUUCGCAAUACUACCUUCUCCACAAGAUAUGGACUCUACUAGUACCUGGUUAUGCCUUUUGGAGUCACCAAUGCACCCGCUUACUUCAUGUAUCUCAUGAAUUCGGUGUUCAUGCCCGAGUUAGACAAGUUUGUGGUGGUGUUCAUUGAUGAUAUCCUAGUGUACUCGAAGAACGAAGAAGAACAUGCCGAUCAUCUUCAUGUGGUUCUUCAACGGUUGAAGGAUCAUCAGCUUUAUGCCAAGUUCUCCAAGUGUGAAUUUUGGUUAGAUAGUGUCAAGUUCUUGGGACACACUAUCUCUUGGAAUGGCAUAGCCGUUGACCCCAGCAAGGUACAGGAAGUCAUGGACUGGAAGCCUCCCACUUCAGUUCACCAGAUCCGAAGUUUUCUUGGAUUGGCAGGCUACUAUCGGCGCUUCAUUCUAGAUUUCUCCAAGAUAGCUAAGCCGAUGACCGAGCUGUUGAAGAAAAAGAGGUCAAAUUUGUAUGGAACGACAAGUGUGUAGAAGCCUUCAACACCUUGAAACACUUGCUAACCUCAGCCCCGGUUUUGGCUCAACCCGACACUUCUAAGUCGUUUGACGUAUACUGUGACGCCUCUGGCACUGGACUUGGGUGUGUUCUUAUGCAAGACAAUCGAGUCAUUGCCUAUGCCUCACGGGCGUUACGACCUCAUGAGCUGAACUAUCCGACCCAUGAUCUUGAGUUGGCAGCAGUGAUUCAUGCCUUAAAAAUAUGGAGACACUAUCUGAUGGGCACCCACUGUAACAUCUACAUCGAUCACAAGAGCCUCAAGUACAUCUUCACUCAGGCCGACCUCAACAUGCGCCAAAGAAGAUGGUUGGAGUUGAUAAAGGAUUACAAUUUGGAGGUGCAUUAUCACCCCGGCAAGGCCAACGUAGUGGCAGAUGCUCUUAGCCGCAAGACCCAUUGCAAUUGCUUGUUGGCAACCAACUUCACAGAGACUCUGUGCCAUGAGGUGGGAAAACUUAAUUUGGAAAUUGUCUCCCAUGGAACCCUCGGACACAUCUCACCCUUGAGUCUGCUUUGGAGGACCAAAUUGGGACGGCACAGUUAGAAUAUGAGGAAGUAAGGCGAACCAAAAGAAAGAUUUCAUGGAAGGAUGAGAGGUAUAAGCAAUUCUGACAGAAUGAGAAUGGGAGAGUGUACUUUGAGAACCGACUCAUUGUUCCGUCCGACCCCACCCUUAGGAAGCAACUCCUAGAUGAAGCUCAUCUCUCCAAGUUCUCAAUCCAUCCUGGCAGCAAUAAGAUGUAUCAUGAUCUCCGUCAAAUCUUCUGGUGGAGUGGAAUGAAACCUGAGAUUGCACGAUAUGUUUCAGAAUACGACACCUGUCAAUGUGUCAAAGCCAGCCAUUUAAAGGUAGCAGGUACCCUGCAACCCCUACCUAUUCCCUCUUGGAAAUGGCAAGACAUCAGCAUGGACUUCAUUGUUGGACUACCCCUUAUCGCAGCGGCAUGAUUCCAUUUGGGUGAUUGUGGAUCAUCUUACCAAGACUGCCUACUUUCUUCCGGUUCACACCACCUACACGGCCAAGAAAUAUGCAGAGUUGUAUCUUGACCGCAUUGUUUCCUUGCACGGUGUGCCUAGGACGAUCAUAUUUGAUCGAGGAGCUCAGUUUGUAGCGCGUUUUUGGGAACAGCUACAAGCAUCAAUGGGCACCAAGCUCAUUCGUAGCUCGACUUACCACCCUCAAACCGAUGGUCAAACUGAAAGGGUAAAUCAGAUCCUUGAAGACAUGUUGAGAGCUUGUGUCAUCCAUUAUGACAAAAAUUGGGAUAAGUGCUUACCAUUGGCAGAGUUCUCCUAUAACAAUAGCUACCAGACUAGCUUGAAGAUGGCACGAUUUGAAGCCCUAUAUGGUCGGAAAUGUCGGACACCGUUGAAUUGGUCACAAGAUGGUGAAAGACAGACCUAUGGCCCUGACUUAGUAGUAGAAGAAGAAGAACAAGUGAAGAUAAUUCAAGCAAAUCUCAAGGCCGCCCAAUCUUGACAGAAGAGUUACUCCGACACGAGAAGAAGACCCCUGCAAUUUGAUAUUGGUGAUCAUGUGUAUCUUCGAGUCUCCCCGACCAAAGGAGUGCAACGGUUUGGAGUAAAAGGGAAAUUGGCUCCCCGUUACAUUGGCCCUUAUGAGAUUGUGGAAAUUUGCAGACCCGUUGCUUACCGGAUCCAACUACUCGGGCAGCUCUCGGCCCUUCAUGAUGUUUUCCAUGUCUCCCAACUGAAGAAAUGUGUCCAAGUCCCAACUGAGAUCUUAGGGCAGGAGCAACUUCAAAUCGAACCCGACCUGACCUAUGCUGAGUACCCGGCCAAAGUUCUUAACCGUAAGGAGAGGCACACCCGACGACAAGUGGUGAAAAUGUACAAAAUCCUAUGGAAUAACCACACAGAGGAUGAAGCAACAUGGGAAACAGAAGAGUAUCUGAACAAGCAUUUCCAAGGUUUUCUUUUCAGCCAAGGAGGUAAGGACUGCACACCCCCAGUGGUCGCUCUUACACUCGAAUCUCGAGACGAGAUUUAUUUUAAGAGGGGUAGGCUGUAACGACCCUGGUCAAAUCAUUCGAGUUAAUCUAAAUUGGAAGCCCAAAUUCCUCUGUCUCAGCUCUUCCCGAGCAGGAGUGCUCCACUCCAGUUCCCGGUCCCGACCCUUGAAGACCCGAACCAACCCCGUCGGUUCCUUCUGAGUUCCCCGAGGCAGUGCUUCUUUCAAUCUUGGAGCUGUGGGACAACCGAGACUGAUCGGUGGACCCGCAAAUCUUUUCCCCGGAUCUCCCGAGGCAAACGCACUCGAGCGGCCUGCACCGCUUCAGAGCUCCCCCGCCGCGUGGCUCAACUUCUCCGACACCCGCCGCUUCGCCCAUUCGCCGGCCGCGACAGGAUGGAUUCUCGCGCCCUCCUCCCCAUUCGCAGCGAAAGCCCCUCUGCAACCCUUUCUGCAACGCCUCAUCUCGCUCGCGCCCUCGCCGGUCGUGCCUUGGUGCUCCGUCGCCGCUGUGGCAGAGCUUUGCCGCCUGCUGCGUCAAACCGCCUCGCGGCUCGCGCCCAUCAUCAUCUCACCAGAUCCCCGGCUGCAAGGCCCGAUGCCUUCCGGCUUUUCCGCCGCCUCUCCAUAGUCGCGCCGCCCACGAACUCGCUACGCGACGAUUCCUCCAUCGCCAACCCCGACUCCGGCCGCGACAGUUGUUGGUAUACGAGGUACGCUACACUAGCGCAAUUCAAAAAUUCUACUGCGUAUAACCAGGAAGAACUGCCGUAUAAGGAUCACGAGAUUACCACUCGACGCACUACUGGUGCGGAAGAUGUAGAUAUGCGUCGAUGCAGUGAAGAUGAUCACGUAGUCGUACGUAGUCGAUCAACGUAAUCGUACGUAGUCGAUCACGUCCAGCAGCUCCUCAGCAGCUCGUCCACGUGCAGCAAGAUCGCCUCCGGUGCCGCGGCUCAUCGUCGGCUUGUCGUGGCUCAUCGGCGGCUCGUCGACGGCUCGUCCAAGUGCUGUAGGCGCAACACCUCCAAGGUAUCCACACAUGCAGGGAGGAAGCAUCGCAAGCCGGACUGCUAGAUCCGUGAGUUGCAACAGGCGAGGGCGUGGGAGGCGCGGCAGGUGUGUUUUGCCAAAAGGUGUAAACACUAGGGCGCCCCCACCCCUCUAGGUUCCUGACGGGCCUCUGGAUCCGAGGCCCAUUAGUACUUCUAAACCUAAUCCAACUCGGAUCAGAUCCGAAUUGGGCUUCCAGCCCCUUAAGUGUGUGAUCCUAUGGGUUCGGAUACGUAUAGACAUGGCCCGAGUACUCCUACUCGGCCCAAUAGUCGGUAGCGGCCUCUAGCAAGACGUGCCAACUCCUAUACGCACACGAAGAUCAUAUCAGACGAACCAUCACAACAUAAUAUACAUGCUAUUCCCUUUGCCUCACGAUAUUUGGUCUAGCUUCAAGCCAACCGCUCUUUCUCGAUCCUGUGAUCCGGAAUCCCUUUGUAGGUUAACUCUUAACCGUACGUAGCAUGGCCAUGCAUUUUUGGAUCCGAUCACUCGAGGGGCCCAGAGAUAUCACUCUCAAUCAGAGAGGGGCAAAUCCCAUCUUGAUUGACCAUGUCUCAUAGCAUGCUUCUUGACAAACCCGAAAGCUACCUUUAUAACUACCCUGUUACGACGUAGCGUUUGAUAGCCCCUAAGUAGGUCGAUCCACAUCUAGAAUACAUGCGACAAUCUCAGGUCUAAGGACAAAGCGUAUAUGUUGUUUAAAGAGAGAACUACUUCUCGUGUUGGGUCAGUCCUAGCACAUGUCUCCACAUGUGUCCACAUUAUUAGUUCAACAUCUCCAUGUCCAUGACUUGUGAAACAUAGUCAUCAACUAAUACAUGUGCUAGUCUAAUAUUCAUGUGUGUCCUCACAUGAACUCCGACUAGGGACAACUUUAGAAUAACCAUACAAGUAAAGAGUUUCACAUACAAUUCACAUAAUUGCAAAUCAAUUCAAGUAGCCUUUAAUGGAUAUUCAAUGAACACAAUAUACAAAUCAUGGAUACAAAUGGAAUAUCAUCAUCUCUAUGAUUGCCUCUAGGGCAUACCUCCAACAACAGUUCCUUGUCCGCCUUGCCAGAACUGUGCCCGGCAAACCGCUGUUUCGCGCUUGCCCGCGCAGCCGCAGCCCACCUGUCUUUUCACCUGUUGCAACCUCGCUUGUAGUGCCGUUCUCCCUAUCACACCAAUCAGAUCCGCCGCUCGAUGAUGCCCACCUCCGCCAAAUCUCAACCCCGGCAAAAUCGCGCCUGCGCCGCCUUGUCUCCAGUGCCCAAUAGCCGAGGACGCUAUCUCCGAAGUCCUGUUCCGCCGCCCAUCGCCGCUCAAUUGCCGCCAUGGCAGUGCACUCCAUCCUUUUCUUCCGGUCUUAGUGCUACUCCAACUCUCUCUCUUCCGUGCAGCUAUAAAAGGGAAUGCCAGAGUCCUACUUGAGUUCCCUUCGCCAUCGUUGCCUUGCCGCCUUGUUCCUCUGUUUCGUGCUCGAGCGCCGCCACCUAAGUUCUUGAGGAACUCUCAUCUCUGCUCAACACCCGCCCCUCCCAAUCCACCUAGCCGCCUGCUCCUCCGCGCUGUGCUAGAGCUUCCUUGUUGCUCACAAGAAGCUCCACCGCCGUCGGAGCACCGCCGGACAUCGCCGCCACCCAAGCCUUAGUGCUUAAGACCUUCCGCCCAAGUCUACUCCUUCCCGACCCCAAAGCUUCACCUAUAAACCGAAGGUAAGCUGCCGACCCCUCACCGGUUCGCCCGACCCUAUCUGUUCGCCCGACCCCUUUUCCGUCUCGCCCGACCCUGUCUGUUAGCCGACCCUUAUCUGCCUCGCCUGAGGACUUGGCUGUAUCCUUUCCUUGGCCCGAGGGUACCUGUGUAAAAGAGCGGGGACUUCUCUACGUUAAUUCUGAGGACCCCCAGCACAGCUAUUCCUCUAGCUUAAGGGUCAGAUCAUAAGUUUCUUCCCAUCCGACCCUUUUAUCUUGCUCUCCACCAACUAAAGUAAACUUCCCCACAUUUUCUGUAGCCUUGCUGCAAGUGUCCGAGCUUAACUGCAAGUGUUGUUGAAAUAACCGUCUAAACACUAACUCCUGCAUUGCAUUCGUGUAGAGUCGCACCUCGCUGACGGCGUCUACGAGCUACACCCAGUGCCAGAAGACGGAGCUGUAGCUGAGCUACCAGUUCCAGAAGCCGAAGUCACCCCAGCUGAAGACUAGUUCUCCUCCCCUCCGCUUGAAGGCAAGCCCCAGAGCAUGAACCCCAAAUUUUUCCCAAACUUGCGCAUGCCUUCUUUCUCAUGUUUGUGCAUUUACGUAAAGGAGUUGUUUGCAACCUUAGAUGCAUGACAUAGUUCCUUUGAUCUGAACACUAGUUUGUUAGGCCGAGUAGUUGCUAUGCUUAAAUAGGAAACGGUAAAAGUCGAGUGAUUUCCUGUCACUCGCGAGUUAUAGGAGUUGGUUGUUUUCCUUCUGUUACAACUAUAAGGAUGAUGGACGGGGCAGGGUUUUGGUUAACUCUUUUGGUGGUCGGUUGAUCACCCCGUCUGUCUAUGAAAUCUGUUAAGGCCCGACAGUGGUGGUGUUCGUGAUCAAGUAUUUGAAAGUACUAAUCUCAUACCUAGUAUGGGAUGGGGAAGCCUAGUACCUGAUUGAACUAGGGCGUGGCUUAUACCCCUGCUGUCCCUGGAACGAGGUUCCCAUGGUGCAUCAUGUGGGUGCAAGUGCGGUUACAGUACGGUAGAGGCCGGGACUGUGGAGCAUUGCAUGCCAAGGGAAGUUUGGACCUGACACGUGCUUGGGAAUUGAUGGGGACGGCCGACAUAGGAAGCGACCCUUGUGGUGCGUGGAUGUCAUGAGAUUAGGUUCGCCAUGCAUGGUUAAGAAACUCGAAUCGAUUCAUCUGCCUCUCACAGUUUGAGACUGCUUGAUCGCUAUGCUACACUGAGUAAUGAAAGAGUCUGAUGAUGACAUGGUCUUGAUGAUGAGCUUAUAUACAUAAAGUUGGAUCUAUGUUUGCUUAGAGUAAGAUGCCAACGUAGACUGGUUAAUGAACUUAGAAGUUGAGCUAUAACUUGAAAGCAAGGACCUAACAUAGUCGCUUUUGGCAAACAAACCCCUCAGCCAAAGAGCCUUGCAUGUCUAGACGUGGUGGAGUAGUUUUACCACCGGUCGGUUAAGUCUUGUUAAGCUUAGCCGCUCAGCCUUGUUUGUGGCUCUCUUUUUUAGGUGAAGUCGUAGCUCCUGAGUUUGCUCCUGUUGGCACUUGGCCGCCCCAGCUCCCUCCGGGUUGGACGGUCGAGUGGGAUCCCUCCUCAGACGGCGAGGAAAGGGAUCACUGAUGUCCUGAUCAGCCUCAUCAGGAACAUCCGACCCCGGCGCUAGCUUCCGCUAUUUUACCUUUCCGCUGCUUUUGAAUCUUGUAAAACUCUGACUUUCGUUUUGAUGUUGAACUAAAUUGUCAAACUUGUUUAACUCAGUGGAUUUGUUGUAUUCUCUGGAACCACUCACCUUCGUGUGAGUUUUGCUAACUCGGUCCUGUUAAGUGGUUAAAUCGGAUGAAAUCCGACGGCACUUCGAGUUAACUUGACUAAGGCAUGAGUGUCGCGUGUCAAGCGACUUAACCGUGCUUUAAUCAAGGUAAUCCGAGGUGGUUCCACCACACUCCUGCAGGAUGUAAAUCAGUCCGGAUCGCCGCAAUUCUCGGAUAUGAAUGCACUUGAUCAUUGCUUAAGCAUCGUAGUGUAACAAAGAGAAGGGAACCGUUGCUUUUGAAUAAAUAUGUUGAAUGACUUAGUUCCAUCUGGUUGAUAAAAUAUUUUUCAUCAUCUAGACUGGUCAGGUAACAGACUCAAUCUGAAAUAAAAGAUAAAACUAAGGUUUUACAUAUGGUAAGCUUUUUCGGCAAAAUGUGAGUCAGCGAGUACACCAUAAAGCCAUCAUACAGUAUGACAGAAAUAUUUAUAUUGGUUAGACAAGUCAGACUUGCUGAGUACUUUGUACUCAGGGGAUCCUUUGUUGUUGUUUUCAGAAACCCAGCAGGGACCCACCGAGGAGGAAGCACCGAAGAACUAGGGUAUCUUAAGAGUCUCAUGAUACCCUAGAAUAAACUUAGAUGUUUAAUUACUUACCUCGGACUGUUUUAUAUUUUAAACUCUUAGCAAUGGUUUAACUUGCACUGUUAAGUUUCCUCAAUCUAUGGUUUGUAAAUCGUACCUCGGUUAUGUAUGUAAAAAUGUAAUAUUUGUUGAUGCUAUCCCAUCGUGGAAGCGGUCCUGAUGUAUGGCUAUGGAACACCCUAUGGAGGUUUUCAAGGAGUUCUGUGAACAGAACCCUUGAUGGACUACCAGAUUUACACUAUUUUAAGUGCGUUUUGGAUAAUUGUUGUUCUGACAGCAAUUAGGUGCACUUAAGUCAGUUUAAGUUGGGCAGUUCCACCAUAGCUGGUAUCAGAGCCAUAGGUUGGGAUAAUCAACAGAUAUUACUAUUUAAAAAUUGAGACUCUAUUUUAAAUAAAGAAAACGUGAGUCUUAGGUGGCAGUAGUAUUAAUUGGUUUCUUGUUUUGCAGAUGCUAACUGUUUGCUGCGUGUCGCUAGUAUUCGGUAGCAUAUUACUAGGGAGGGAUUACGAUGCCAUCAAUUUUCCUACGAGUGUGUAUAUGAGUCUGAAAGCACGUAGGAAUCGCUGCAUCAUAAUUGCAUAGCAUGUUUUAAAAACUUUUGGGUUUGGUGACUGUCGUUAGACCUAAAACCCGUUCCGUGCGUUAGAAGUUAGACGUGGUCAGGACCGGUGCAAACAGGGGACCGAAGAAGAAAGUACCAAGGAAGAUGAAUAGACCUAGAAUCCUUUGAUGCAACCAGCUUCACUAUAAUACUAUGGAAGGACAAAAGAAUGAAAAUACUUCGGGAACGAGUAAGCCAAGGUGAUGUUACUUGUUUUACCCAGAAUGAAAAAGGGGUGCUCUAUUUCAAAAACUGAAUAGUAGUACCCAAGAAGAUGGGCUUGAGAAAAAAGAUCCUAGAUGAAACUCAUUUGUCAAGAUUCUCUAUCCACCUUGGAAGUACUAAGAUGUAUCAAGACCUGAAGCAAUGCUUUUGGUGGACAAGGAUGAAGAGGGAAAUAGCCAAGUAUGUAUCUGAAUGUGAUACAUGCCAAAGGGUGAAGGCCACACAUCAGAAAUCAGCUGGCUUAUUGCAACCCUUAACCAUUCGUAAAUGGAAGUGGGAAGACAUUUCCAUGGAUUUUAUAGUAGGAUUGCCUACUACCUCAAAGGGGUAUGAUUCCAUAUGGGUUAUCGUGGAUCGACUCACUAAGUCGGCUCAUUUUAUUCCUGUCAAGACUACUUACCGUAUGCCAGUUUAUGUGGAACUCUAUAUGUCUCGAGUAGUGUCAGCACCUCGAACAUGUCAACGCCUCAUGGCUCCACAUGGCAGCCACGUGGCCAUCUAGUCUACAUGGCACUGCCACAUGGCGCACACGUGGUCGUCCCCAGCCGGCCGGGAUCCAUGUGUCGGGCGGAUCCUGUGCGUGUGGCGGAACUGCUCAAAUUAACUUGGCUAAAGCACACUUAAGUCGCCUAACACACGAUCAUGUACUUUAAUCAAGUCAACUCGGUAGUCCGUCGGAUUUCAUCCGAUAAACCACUUAUCACAGGAUCGAGAAAGCAUAGCUCACACGAAGGUGAGUGGUUACAGAGAUUACAACAGUCUAUCCAUAUUAAACAAGUGCAUCAAAUUGCUACAACAUCCAGUUUGAAAUUCAAACAUAGUUUGCAGAGUUUCAAGCAGCAGAAAUAAAUAAGCGGAAGCUAACGUCGUUGUAGGAUAUCAUGACGAAGCCGAUCAUGACAUUAAUGAUCCCUGUCCUCACCGUCCGAGGAAGGAUCCUACUCGACCGUCCAUCUCGGAGGGAGUUGGGUGGGCCAAGUUCUACUUGCAGCGAGCUCAGGGGUAACAACAUCACCUGAAAAGAUGUGCCACAAGCAAGGCUGAGCAACUAUGCUCAACAAGACUUAACCGACGGGUGGUAACUACAUCCACCAACACCUAAACAUGCAAGCUUUUUGGUUUUGGGGUUUGUUUUUGCCAAAAGCGACUAGAGUAGGUCUUUACUUUCAAUAUUUUAGCACCAUGUUCUAGUUGAUUAACCAUUCUAGGUAAGCAACUAUACUAAGCAGGCAUAGCUUUUCAAGCAAUUAAUAACAAGUAACAACAUUUAAUCAUCGUCACAUUCCUUUCUUACUCAGUAUAGCAUAGCGAUCAAGUAGUCCCAAACUGUGAGAGGCAGACGAAUCGAUUCGAAUUUCUUAACCAUGCAUGGUGAACCUAAUCUCAUGACAUCCAUGCACCACGAAGGGCCGCUUCACUUGUCAGCCGUCCCCAUCGAUUCCCAGACCUGUGUUGGGCCCACUUCCCUUGGUACAAGGCUUCAUAGACCCGGCCUCUGUCGUUCUAUGACCGCACUUGUCACCACAUGCAGCCACAAGGGAAACUCCGUUCCAGAGACAGUGGGGCGAUCCACUCAUGUCCUGGUUCAAUCAGGUACUAGGCUUCCCAAUCCCAUACUAGGUAUGAGAUUAGUACUUUAAAACACUUGAUCACGAACACUAUCACAUCUCGACCUUAGUCAAUUUCAAGUAGACAGACGGGGCAAUCCACCGACCACCAAAAAUAGUUCACAGAGCCCUGCCCCGCCCAUCGUCCUUACAGUUGCAGCAAAAGAAAAGGGCAUUCAACUCCUAUAACUUGCGAGUGAUAGGCAAUCACUUGACUUUUACCGAGUCCUAUUAAGCACUGCAACUACUCAACUUAAUAUACUAGUGUUCACAACAAGGGUACUGAGUUCAUGCAUCUACGAUUUCAAUCAACUCCUGGAACAUAAAUGCACAAUCAAGCAAUCAAUUGUAUUUCAAUAUUUAAAGAUAGGAAUUCAUGCUCCGGGACUUGCUUUCGCACGGGGAGUUAGCGAACUAGUCCUCGGCUUGCUCUGGUGCAGGCUCAGCUCUGGCGUGGUGCAGAUCUGCUACGGCUUCUUCUUCCGGCGCUGGGUGCAGCUUGUACGUGCCGUCAGCAAGGUUCACUUCUACACGAAAUACAAAUGCAACAAGUUAAAUUUUCCAUGCUUUCACAUGCAGGAUGCAAAACAUGAGUUAUUGCCGGAGUAUAACUUACAUUUUGACCACAUUCACCUAAACAAGGUUCUAAACUUUUAUUAUCUUCAUGAGGUAAGGUGUGUUGUGGCAUAAAACCCGGCGUUGAUUUUAAUGGAGAUUGUGUACACAUAUAUGUGAAACGAGUUGAUUAACUUCAGAUUAGAAAGUUUGUUAAGUUUCUGAAUGUUUUUCUGUACCUCUUUCGAAAAUUACCAGUAUCAUUACUCAAAGUUUCUUUCAUCCAUUUAAUUAGGUCCAUCUUCCAAAUUUUAUGUCAUUAUCCAAACAGCAAGCUAUGAAGCUACAAAUUUAACAGCAACUUAACUUUGUCAUAGAUAAGCUACUGCAUAAAUUUGAGAUCCAUUGGAGGUGUAUAAAAAGAAUUAGAAUUACUUUAUUACCCUAAGGUAGCAUAUACUUAAACAUUUUUAAAACAUAAACCAUAACGAAACUGGUCAUGAAAUUUUAACAGUGAGUUAUAUGGGUGAUACAAAGCCUUUGGAGAAUUUUUCAUGAUUUUUAAUGAAGGACAUCUAUUUCACAUAUUUACCUCAUUUAUCUUUCUCUAAAAAGGAAAGUGAUUUUCUUUCUGCUUCUGACCAGGUUCUAUAACUUUCCAACAAACUACACUACACCACUGACCUAUUCCAAUUUGUUUCACAUUUUUAUCAUCUCUGGUUUAAAAAUUGUGCAAAAGAUUGUAGUUAUACAACUAGAACAGAGACUUCAACUUCUGAGCUAGGCUCCAAAUCAUUUUUCCAAGAUUCUAUUCUCUGAGACAAGCAAUUGAGAGUUGGAUUUACCUUUUUAGCAUUUUUCUGUGAUUUGCUAUGAUUUAAAUAGCUCAAACAAGGAUUAAAACAUAUAACAUUAAUUCUAACAGAGACAUGUGCAAACUUAUUUUUAUAUGAAACGACACACAACACUGAGUCUAACAAAAUUCAUCUUGCAUUUUUAUCAUUUUUACACUUUUCUAUGCCUUUUCAAAGUUUUAGCCUUUUUAGAUCUAGGAAAAAAAAAGAAAACCGAGGCAAACUUGCAAUCUAGCCCUCAAGUCUAUGGUUUAAUCACGUAAAGGUCCCUGGUUUUUGCGCCUACACCCCUGGACAGAUUCCCACCUUAAACAUAACUCCUGAACAUUAUCCCAUAACCCCCUAGACUUCUAUUCUUCUCAAAACUCACUGAUAUCUUCUUCCUUGGAACAGAUCGCACAGGCACAGGAUUGUCACACAUGGGGGCACACGGCCGGCCGGGGAGAGGGUAAAGAAGGUGUGGCGGCGCUAGGGGAGGGGGUGGUGCCAUGCCCAGGACAAGGGGUCUCCUUGGUGCGGCACAGGUAGGGAGGAAAGGGGCGGCACACAACAUCAUGGUUAGGAGCUCACCUAGGUUCCGUUUUAGCUGUUGGUUGUCGAUGAGGAAGGCCGGAAGGGGGCGUUCACGGUGAGGGUCAUGGCUGCAAUUGACAGUUUCUGAUCGGAGGAGAAACUUGGAUUCCCGACCAAGGGAUGGACGGCGGGCGAUGAGGAGAGGCUGAGGGUGGAGCCAAGGGAGUGUAGAAGCUUAGGGCGUGAGGGAUUUGGCGGAGGCGGAGGCGGAGGGAGCUGGCCGGAUUUCGCCGGGGAACAGGAACCUCUCGAGUUGGCUGUUUGGGGCAAAAAUGGAGGAAGGCUUGGUUUGGGGAGGCUCUGGCUUGGAGGAUAAGGCCGGCUCAAGGCCUGGGGGUGGUGCAAGGAUAAGAACGACACGACAAGGCGUCGGGGGCACGCUGGACGGGCAUUGGCGGAGCGGCUGUGACGCGGCAGCCAUGGCGUGGUCAUGUGCAUGCGGCGAGGUGCUGCGGCGAGGCACGGUAGGUGAGGUGCUGCAGCGAGGUGCGGCAGGCGAGGUGGAGCGUCGACUGGUUAGCGCGCGGGCGCGGGUUGGGCGAUGGGGGUGGCGCGGGCGAGCUUGCGCCACGGGGCGGGCGACAUGCAGCACGCUCUGGCGCGUGUGCUCUGGCGCAGGGCGAGAACGCGGGACAGUUGCAGGGCCGGAGUUUUGGGGCAAAAUUGCACGCGAUUUUUGAACUAAACCACGUUGGCUCCCUUUACAAAAAUUGUUUUCCUAACAACCGAGUUCAAACUUUACUAAAGGUUUUUGCCCAGAUUUCAAACGGAUUCAGAGAUAAAAUGCGCCAAAGUUCGUAAAAAUUGAAACUUUCAGACUUAGGCGCUUCAGCCAUUUUUGGAUAGUGUUCACUAUUUUAGCUGUGUUUGACCUUGUUUUUGAAAACCUUUUGUGCAGAUGUUGGCCUAGCUCCAAUAAUCAAAGUGGUUAAGGACUUGUAGCACUAAAAAUUUUAUAAAAAGUCUAUUUUGAGUUUACAUUAAAAAUUGUGAGAUAAAGGGCUUCAAAGUUUGGGUUUUUCAUGUUUUUCACAAUUUGGCACAUAUUUGAAUUUCAAGUUUUUGAAAGCCUUCUGCUCAGAUUCAAACAAAACGCCAAAAACAAAAGUUGUUAGAAAAGAUGAGUUUAACAACUCUUAGUUGGACAAAAUUUCAGGUUCUUAUAUAAAAAUUUAAAUUAUGGCUUAAUCAAUUUUUAAGCUCUUAGGGGUCAAAGUUGACCUUUGACUCGGUUAAUUUGCUGCUAAAAGCUUCACUUAGGCUUAAAGAAGGUUUAGUUAACCUAGGGUUGUUACAGUGCACUAUCGGCAUGUGGCCACGGGUGUGGCACAGGCCUGAUUGGCGGCGACGCAGCGGUGACCGCGCCCACAACGUCGUGGUGUCACGGCGCAGCUGCUGCGCGUGCGCGCGGGCAUGAGGCAGUCCCCGACCGCGGCACGACCACGGCGGCAUGCGGGGUCCCGGUGUCCUAGGCCCGUAGCGGCUGGUAGCAAGGUGAACGGCGGAGCUCCUACCAUGGAUCGAAGGCUGGGCAUACGACAAGCAAACAAGAGGAAAGAGAGGGGCGGCGAGGCUCACUGCGGGAAGAUGGCAAAGGCGGGCGGCGUCGAGCGGCGAUCGACAGCUCCGGCUCCUUCAUUAGAUGCCCCUCUUCUUUUUCUUCUCUUCUACUUCCCCCCUCCUUCCCUUUCCUCCUCUUCUCCUACUCCUCCCUCCUCCUCUACUCCUUCCCUCUUCUCUCAUCAGGUGGUCGAUGGCGCAAGGGCGAAGCCCCAGGUGGAUGGCGAGGAGAGGCCCCGAGCGGCUCUACUUAUAGGGGAGAGACGGCUGGAGUUCCGGAGGGAGGUUGCGGCUUUAGGGUUUGGGGGCACAACGUCGGUGAUGUGGACGGCUAGGAUGUGGCAUCGCACGGUGCGGGUGACGUGAUGGCCAUCCGAGGCUGCUAGCGCAAAAGCAAGGGCGCAGGCGAGGUCACGGGGCGCACGUGAGGUGCGCGUGAGCGGGUCCGGCGCAGUAGCGAGAAAGAAAGAGAGGGAGAGCGGGGCGCGGGUGCCGACUGCGGGCUAGGCCAGCUGGCCGGUUAAGAGGCCUGCUGGGCUGGUCGUCGAGCUGCGCAGGCGACGCGGUAGAGCAGGCCAGGUCGGCUGUCUGGCUGGGCCGGGGCGAAGGUGGGUGAGGGUGAGGCGCGAGCGGGCCAGGGCGGUGGGCUGCGGCUGGCCUGGUUGGUUAGGAGGGUUAGAUAGGUUUUGUUUUUAUUUAGAUUUAGAUUUAGUUUGAGUUUUGAAUUAGAUUAAAAAUUCAAACACACACUCAAACAUGAUAUCCACAUAAAUUCUAAAAAAAUCCAAAUCAUUCCACACAAGUUUUGAAAUGGAAUUUUGGGAUGAGAGGAGAAUUUGACUACCAUUUUCAAAUAAGCACACAAUUCAAAUAAAAGUUUUAAAUUUUUGAAAAUUUCACUCAAAUAAAUAUUACAAAAUUCUGGAAUAUUACAAACAUAACCACUUCACCUCGUACCCCGAGAAAGCUAUACAAAGCUUAACACUCCUCAACAUCUGAGAAAUUCGGUUGGAACGAAACUCUAGAUUUUUCGGACUGUGUGAGUCCUCCUUGAUUUCCUUGGUGGCAAAAAUAAAAAAGGAAGUGGCUGCUUGGGUAGGGGCAGGGCAAAAAACCUAACGGAACUUUUAGCGCAGUAAUUUUUUUGUUACUCUCUACCUAUUAGCCAGCUUGUAACUCUUCUUCUUUAUCAAUAAAAUAGGCACAAUCUUAUACCCAUUAAUUUUAAAAAAAGAGAUAAAAGCUAACAAUGUUUUCCAUGGAUGGAAACAUUAACGUAAGAAGAUAUACAAGUAACAACCUAUUUGAGACUUCAGUAGUGUUCAUACUAUACCAUACUAGUAGUAACAGUAGCAUUAAGCAGCCAGCUUACAUUGAACAGCAGAGCACAAUACUUGUGUCAGUAUAAAAAAAGACUUGUGUAAGGCCAGCUACACAAGUUAGCUCGCAUUUCAUAAUUAAGUUUCAGAUUUCGUGCAAGGCCAGAUACUUUAGCACUGCACUCUUGAUAAGCGGCGGUCCGCGUGUUUGGUUUCCUACAUCGAACCAGAUCCUCCAGAAUACAUUCAUCCAGGUUCCAGAAAUAUGCCGUCCAGAUGGCUGAACCAUCCUGUGCGUCCAAAACUCUCGAACCACGCCGUCUAGGACAGGCCGAGCAUGAUCGAGAGGCGAACUAUUCACUGUCCGCCUUCCCCUCCACUCAUUAGUCUUUUAUGUCAAUUUAUUUAUCUAACAAAUUUUAUUUGUUUUCUCAUUGUAUCAGAGGUAAAGUUACCACCUAUAGUAAGGAGGUUACCAUACCCUGAUUCAAUCACGUAACCAAACAUGAUCUUGUACCAUCCUGUAUCAUCCUAUUCAAGUAACCAAAUAAAACCAUGUACCGUCCCAUUCAGACAACCAAACAUACAACUUGUAUCAUAUCAUUCAGAAUCAUUCUAUCCAGGUGAACCAUCCCAUACAUGUUCCACUUCAUUCAAGUAACCAAACACUACCCAAGAGAUCCAUUAUUCAUCAGGAUAAGCUAGGAUCGCAGGGGCUCGUUGCGGCUGUGGGUGUGGACCACCAUCUCUUCCUAGCUACCCGCCGCUGGCGGCCGGCGAGUGCAAGACUGGUAGGUUUAGGUAGUGUUUAGUUACUCGAAUGAAGUGGAACAUGUAUGGAAUGGUUACAUUAAGUAGCCAGCUUACAUUGAACAACAGAGCACAGUACUUGUGUCAGUAUAAAAAAGACUAGUGUAAGGCCAGCUACACAAGUUAGCUCGCAUUUCAUAAUUAAGUUUCAGAUUUCGUGCAAGGCCAGAUACUUUAGCACUGCACUCUUGAUGUACCGAAAGGAAGAUUAACAUAUAAGUACAAUACCGAAGUAAUGACUAUGGAAAUAGGCUUAGAAAUACAACUGGAAGCUAGGUACAGUGCAAUAAACCUUAGUGCCUCAUCAUAGCUCCGUUAGCUUCCAGGAAAGUAUAAUGCUGUAUUUGCAGAGAAAAAAAAAAUCACCUUCUAGUGGUGAUCAAGUACGCGAGAUUCUUGCAGUUGCAAUAGAAACAUCUGCCAAACCGGUCCCAUUUGACCACAAUAGCAGCUGCAAAGCCAACGCCGAAGCCAAGCCCAACGAAGAGAAACAAAACCACAUCAAUAUGACGAGAAGACUUGUGCCCAUGUGCCACACCUGGAGGGUGAGGUGAACUACCACAAGGAAAUUUUGGCAAUUGCAGCCCACACAAUCCAGCAUUCCCUUCAAAUGAGCUGCUGUCAAAUGUAGAGAACUGACGUGACUGCGGUAUCUUCCCCACCAAGUGAUUGCAUGACAAGUUUAGGGAGCCAAGAAAGGUGAGAUCAGUUAGCUCUUGUGGAAUGUCCCCUGAGAGUUGGUUGCAGGACAGGUCUAGUGACUCCAAAUCAGUCAUUGCUUCGAAGUUGGGCUGGAAUUUUUCCAGUGAAGGCAUUGUGUGACAGAUUCAGUACGCGUAGUGAUACAAGGCUUCCAAAUGUUUCAGGAAUAGUACCCUCCAAACUAUUUUUUGAGAAGUCAAUUGCUGUUACGGUAGUCAUUCCAAAUCGCAUAUCUUCCCCCUUGUACAUGAUCUCAAUAGAAUAUUGAUAGAAACGUUCUUCUCCGUGUAAGGUGUUUAGAGUUUCGAGAGUUUUCCCAGAACUAUUAAACUCUGCCAUCAUUGACUUUAACUGCUUGAACCAUUGUGGCCUCAAAGUACCAGAGAAGUUGUUUGAGGCAAGAUCGAUAAUUUGCAAGCUAGGGAAACAUUCCUCACAUUUUGUGUCCCCAACAAUAUCACCUAUGGUGCCAUACAUUUGGUUUGAUCUCAGGACGAGUACAAAAAGCUUGGGAAGCCCCCUCAACCAAGGAAAAGCAUCAGCUAUUUUGUUGCUUCCAAAGUCUAUAACCUCCAAGUCUGUACAGUUAGAAAGGCCCCUAGGAAGCCUCCCUUCGAUCUUAUUGCCAUGUAAAUCUAUCGUCUGUAAAUGACAUCUUGUUGUUAUAUUGGAAGGCAGCAUCCUUUGCAAGCGAUUCUGCCUCAAAUUUAAAACACGUAAGUGGAUAUUUUCUAUAAAACAAGGUGGAAUCGGGCCAUUAAGGUAGUUAUAUGAUAGAUCAAGGGCAUCCAGCUCUGUGGCAUUGCAAAUUGAGGGAGAUACAUGGCCGUGUAUAGGGCCAGAAAGCUGGUUGAAAGAGAGAUCAAGGUGAGUUAAUAUAGGAAGACUGAAAAUAGAUGGUGGAAUCUCCCCUGGAAGGACAAUAGAAAACAUUAAGUUAGAAAGUGUUUCCCCUUCUACAAAUUGAAAUCAGAAGAUGCUACCUUCUAUUUUGUUCAGAACAUGAAUACUUGACCCUUUCUCAAGAAAAGUAAAAGUUGAUAUCGUACCAUAGAAAUAUAUAUCCCAAGUUUAUUUAUUUUAUUUUGAGAAAAUUGCAUUACUAGUCUCUAAAUAAAUGGCCAAAACUUGUGUGGUAACCUCGCCGACCCUUGCACUUGUUGCAAAUUACUUUCCCAACCCCCUCAUCUUUGUUGUGCCACGUGUUAGGCAAUGGUUCGAUGCUGGUUCAACUCAUUAAUUUGCUAAUAGUGGGGUGGGUGAGAUUAGUGUGCAAGUUUAAGGACUACCGGAAGAAUUUAGUGCACCUACGGACCAUAGAAUUUCAUAAUCGUAGGACCCAUGAAGCUGAAAUGAUCCGGACCCAUCAUGGAUCAUAAUUUUAUGGUAUUAUGAUUUAUGAUACCCAGUGUAUAGUCCUGUACCAUCAAAAUGAAUUGGUAAGAUCACUUAUAUAGGAUCCCCAUCCGAACAUCAAAAUUUGUUAAUAUCUGAAAUUAAGUAAAUCCAUGAGUAAUUAUAUAUGUUUCUUCAGUUUAAUUCAACAUCUUUUACUCUUUGCAUGACAUCUGACCAUUAAUUGUUUUAAAUUAUGAUUAGAUAAUGUUUGGAGUUAAGUUGAAAUGUAGAAUUGACAUUGACAUGAAUAAGUGGACUUGAGUUUACAAGAAUUAAUAAAUUUAUAAAAAAUAGCAUUGUAGAUUUCUUUUCAAGAACUUGUUUAACUUUUUAAUAUAUGCAUUUUUUACUCAUUACGCUGCAAAAUCCUCCCCCAAAGUUCUUGACACAAUGUCAAACUCAUUUGUUGUGUUUAACCUCUUGCAAUGAUCUAUAUAAGCUGCCAGCUUUUGUAUAAGAGGGCCGGGGUUAGAGAAGUAUAUCGUGUCAACUGCACCAAUGAAGUUAUUUUAGAGUAAACUAGAGCAAAUGAGAAGCUUUAUGAGCCCUAAUACCCAUUUAAGAUUUCCAUUGUUAAUUAUUUUAGUAUUCAACAUUGAGUCAACUUUUCUAAAUAAAAGUUGAUUAGGCUUUUACACAUAGUUUGAAUCAUAGUUAAAUGAUUUAGAAUGAUAUCCAACUUGAAUCAUAAAGUAUACAUUUAGAUGUUUCACAUAGUUUGGCUUUUCUAAAAGUUAAAUGUUUAAAUGAUAUCAUUUAUACUUCAAUAUUUACAAUUAAAAUAUGGAUAAAUUAUAACUCGGUUUUCCCUAAUUAUUGAUAAAAUGACCCAUGUCAAUAUGAAUGUGUUUUCUAAAUAAACUUUGUCUAGCCCAACACGACAGAUGUAUUAAUUCGAUAAGAUGUGUUCAUCUUUCUAAAGUUAAGUGUGUAAUGGGUAUAAUUUAUACAUGAACAUUUAUGAAUAAAAUAUGAUAAGGUUUUACCUCAGUUUUUGUAAAUAAAGUAUAAUUUGCAUUAAUUCCAACAUAGGUUAUUUUUCUUUCUAUAGUAUCCUUCACAUAUGUUUUGUUAAUUAAAAUAAACUGGGUGUGACAAGAGCAAUCUUGGUUCAAAUCCUAUAUACUGCACAUGUGCAUAUUUUGUGUGAGAAAUUGUAUGAUGUGUGACAGCUAGAAAUUUGCUAGCUACAUAUACCUAACUUUUUAUGCGCGGGUGCGGCUGACUAGCUUCUCCAGAGCAAGCAGACUCAUGCCCCUCCAGGUGUAGUUUGGUCAAGGAGGGAGCAGAGGCGCCGGCCACCUCAGAAAUCUGUCACGGUUUAACUUGUCACUUGUGGCAUGUCGGGCGUAGGGCUAUGUUUUUUUUAACUAAAUAGCACAGAAUGGAUAAUACAGCAUUUUGCAAUCGCAAAUAUGUGUGCGUUUGUGGGUAGGGGUAUUGUUACGUACCGUUGAGAGAAUUAAAAGAAAGAUCCAGCAUUGUUAGCUGGGUCAAAUUAACUAUUGAGCUUGGUACGCUUCCGGAAAAAUUGCAAACUCGAAGAACCAAAUUUGUGAGUUCACCAAUUGCAGCUGGCAUUGGUCCUGAAAACCCACAUGAUACUAUAUACAUGUUUCUCAAAUUUGUGAGUUGCCAAUUGGAGCCGGCAUUGAACCUGAAAACCCAGAAUGCUCGAUAUACAUGUUUCUCAAAUUUGUGAGCUUGCCAAUUGCAGGCGGCAUUGGUCCUGAAAACCCAACAUCCUCGAUAUACAAGUUUCUCAAAUUUGUGAGUUCACCAAUUGCAGCUGGCAUUGGUCCUGAAAACCCAACAUCCUUGAUAUACAAGUUUCUUAAAUUUGUGAGUCCACCAAUUGCAGCUGGCAUUGGUCCUGAAAACGUAGAUAAUAUAUGCAAGUUUCUCAAAUUUGUGAGGUUGCCGAUAGAAGAUGGCAUGGAGCCAUAUGUUGUGCAAUCAUCCAUUGCAAGUGUUUGCAAGCCCGUGAGGUUUCCAACUGCAUGAAGUACUGGCCUAGGGAGGUUGCAGUCUUGGAUUUUCAAGUUUUUCAAGUUCAUGAAGUUGCUAAGUAAGGUAGGCGGUACCCCAGAGAAGUUACAUCCAAAGAGUCCCAAACUUGUUAGGUUUUUGUGCUGGCCAAUCCAUGAGAAAAUUGGACCUAAGUCGCUUCCUGAGUCCAAAUCGUGGUCCAACUCAUUAUCCAAAAAACAAUCAAGGUCCAACUGGUGUAGAGACUCAAGUCUACCGAAUGCAGAGAGAAAAUCCAUAGAAAUUAAAUUCCUUUUAAGACCCAACUCCUUCAACGAUGUGAAAUUACUAGAAGGCGUUGGUAUGUCAUAUACCAAGUUGGUCCCAUCAAGUCUCAAAGUCUCUAAAGAGCUGGCAUUAGAAAAGUUUGGCACAUGGCCUGAGAGAUUCAUAUUAUAGGACAAAUCAAGGACCCUUAGAUUUUUUGAUUGAAAGGGUCUAGAUGGUAACGGCCCCUCAAGAUCUGUCUGAGAAAGUUGAAGCACGGUUAAAUUGGGAAAAUCCAUGAAGAACUCUGGAAAUGGACGACCACUAGGUUCAUAAAAGUUUUCUUGGAGUUUGAUCACAACAAGAGAAUGGAGUCUCGAGAGCGCUUUAUGAAUAGGACCACUCAGGUGACAAUCAGCUAAACUAAGUACCUGAAGUUGAGGAACAUAUGCAGCAAGAGAUGUGCCCCACUCUUCUCCACUAUUAGACAAAUCCACCGAGUCAAGGUAGAGCUCUCUUAAGUUGCUGAGGUUUACCACAAAGGUAUCAAAACUUGAUUCCCAUAAAUAGUUAUAAUAAUCAUAAUAGUUUGGACCAUAAAAACCGAGAGAAUAAUCAAUAUUGUAUGUUGAAAGAUCCAAUGAGAGAAGGUUCACUAGUUUACUGAUGCUAGGAGGUAUCUGACCAUAUAAUCCUGAAUUGGAAAGGUUUAGGUGGGUUAAAAAAGUGAACCUCUCAAAACCAGCAGAACGGAUGUUGUCUCCACCGAUGUCAUUCAUGCUAAGGUCGAGUCGCCGAAGUGAUAUGAGGCUGAAGAGUGCAGGGUCCAAGCCAUGACUUGACAAGCAACGGUUGUUGAGGUCGAGAAUGGUGACAUGGCCAGACGAAGGGUCACAGCCAACACCCUCCCAGAGACAACAGUCGGUACCAUUUCGCCAUGAUGAAAGCCUGGUGGUGGAUCUGUGAAGGAGAAGGACUUCUUCAGCUGGAGGAGCGCCUUAGCUUGGUUUGGAUGGCACAAAAAUGAGACAGGGAGGUGAGUGAGGUUACCACCAUCAGCACGGUGGGCAAUAGAGGUGGAGAGUAGUGUGUGUAGCUGAGCAAGAAAGAGCAGUAACACCCAGCCGAUGGAAGCCAUAGCAACUCAGUAUGAGCCGAUGAUAGGCUUACAAAGAGGCACAAGGCAGAUACAUAGUAAUGCGUGACAGAUUGUUAUGCAGCUUCCAGCUGCUGUCAAGUCUUCGUCCAUUAAUAAAUUAAUUAAUUUACGAGUACCAUGGCUAAGCUGUACGCAAUUGCGACACCUGAGGAGACUUGACUGUACCAUGGGCUAGCUGUACGCAAUUGCUACACCUGAGGAGACUUGAUUAGCCUUUCGUCAAAUGCUGUUGGUAUCAUCCACUGCUACAACAGUGACCGGUAAUUGGAAGUCUCACUAUAGCAAGACUUCCAAGUCAACUAAGCCGGCCGCUACAUUCUGAGGAAGGUGGAAUUGAAGAUCAAAUCAAGUUGGGCGUUGGGAUGAAUUAGUCCGCACUCCGCAGAUAACAACAUCGAAUAUGCUGAUCUGAUGAUGUGCUUCAUUUUCUUUUUGGUUGGAGUGGAGCGGCAUCAAGAUCCUACUGCUGUGGAAAACACUGACUUGACUCGUUUUAUCUCGCACAAAACGUGGCUGAAGAUGAUAGUGGUGCUUAAAGAAUCAGCGAGAAGGAGCAAGUAAAAAUGCAGUUGAGCUGCAGCUGAAACAUGUCGCGACGUAUUCCAGCCGCGGUAGUUCUCGUCUUCUCGAAGAAGACGUUGCAGUGUUCACGUCUAGAGCUCAUCCAAUCCAUAGCGUUCCUCCGGCCGAACCGUGCGAUACGAAGGAGACGUCGCGUCACAUGCAUGUUCCUCAGGUCGCCUUUGCCUACGACCAAUAAGACGAUGACACCAGAACCUUUUUGUUUUUUUUUCUAAUCAGCAGCUUUCAAAGCGGGUACCCGCGGACAGCGCUGACCGUGUCAAAUUUGGCGAGCAUUAGCCGCAGUUGCACUCGUCCACCACCACUGAUUGCUGAAGCUCCCUACAAUACAGGGUAAGGAACAUCUAAGAUCUGAGCAAGUAAAGUCAGGAUAUUUAACUAUUUGUCAUUCUUACGGAUGGUGCUCCUUCAAAAACAACUCUAACGAAUUCCUACAUAUCUGUCAUUGAAGAAAGAAUUAGUCUAAACUUUUACCAUUUUUGCAGAUGUGGUGAGCCACGUCCUCGUGCUAGCGUGAAUUGAGCUGGCAAUGACCAUAGUGCCCCUGCCUCCCUCACCUUAGCCAUCCCCUUCCCUCUAUCCUGCCACACCUAUUGCUGCAUGGUCUUUCGUUGUUGUGCGGCUCCUCUGUGGUACAUCGCAGGGGAGGAUACCACGACUUGGAGGUGCCGGGGGGGAGGAGGAUACCGUGUUGAUGCGCAAAUCUAGGUGUCCACUCCUUCAUUGAAGGAUAUCCAAACACGGCCUAUUCACAGACAUGGCCACUUAACUUUCAGCUUACAUCUCUUGAUGUGUAAUAUGGCUCUGUUUGGCAUGGCUCCAACUCCAGGUUUUGCUGCUCAACUUCGGCUGGAGCUAGCUUUGCUUGGAGUUGGAGUUGGAGUUGUGUGGAUGGGAUGUUUGGUAGAAGGGUACCCAGCUCCAAAAAAAGAGGAUUUUCAUAGUUAAUUGCCAUUUUUGCCCCCUGGCCCCACAUGUCAUCCUCUGUAAUACCAAUUUUUUUCCUUUUUUGUGAGCUUAUAUUCUUCCUUGGGACUGAAUCAGCUCGUCUGCUCGCCCAUGGCCCGCGAGGCCUGGCUCGAUUCACCCUACCCAAGCUAGUAACCAGAUAGAGUCAGCAGCGCACCGGAUGGGGGCUAGCAGUGGCAAACAGUUCUAGGUCGGCAGCAGGCGGAUCACAGGACGUUGCCGAUGCACGGGAUAGAGCUUGCGGCGUGUAGAAUGGGCGCGGCGUAGGAUGGGGCCAGCUGGCGACGUGCAGGAUGGGGUGCGCGGGGUGGGGCCAGCGGCGUGUAGGAUGGGUGGGCGGUGCGCGGGACGGAGCCACCGCACAGGAUGGUAGUGGUGUUGGAUGGGUUUAGCGGCGCGCAUGAUGAGGUUGACAUGUAGGACAAUGGCGGUGCGCAAGGGGAACGAUGGCUCCAGCCCUCACGCGCGAUGGCGGAGGCGCAAGGUGAUGGUGACGGCGCAUAGUUGGAUGGCGGCAGCGGCAAGGAUCAAGGAGCAGCGGCACGUGGGCUGAGGGUUGGGUCCUGGGCUAGGGGCGGCACAUGGGUUGGUAGUCACGAGGGAGAUGAAGGUUGUGGGAACAGAUGAAGCGGGGGGGGGGGGAUAGAACCGAAACAUUUUCUUGUGUAACCGACGGUAGUGGUGGGUAAGUAUCUUGUAACUCCACGUCUAGAUACGUUUCGCAGUGUUUUGGAUCUGUGAAAGUGGUGUUCUACGAAAAUGAACUAGAACUCCAAUAACUCCAUGAAGUUAGACUGCUUCAUUUUUUUUUGGAGUUGGGGUGUUUGGCUGGCUUUAUUUUUUGGAGUUCGGGUAUUGUUUUAUUUACAUGGCUUUCCUAUAUAUCUACCGAAAGAUAAUUACUUAUAUAUCGCCUGAUGUUUGAGACUGGUGCAGUGCAAAUAGACCAUGAAGACUGUGGGGAGCAAGAAAUGCAUGCACUGACUACAUACGUGACCAUGGAGUUGGACAAUGACACGUGUCAUCAACUGAAAUGUUGGACGUGGUGGGACAAGUGGGUGAGAGUGGCUUGUUUGAAUUUCAAUCUUUAAAAGAACUUUAUCUCUUAAAUCACAAGUUAUUUUUAAAUCUAUUUAAUUUGAACUGUGGCAUUUCUUUGAAUCGAUUCAACAAAUAAGGUCCAAUGAAAUAUUUUAAAUGUUUUUUCAAAAAAUCAAAUAUACUAGCUCAUGUUACAUAUACUAAUUUAAUAUUUUGAAUAUACAAUUUCAACAUUGUAAUUAAAUUGAUUCAUGUUUUAUAUAACAUGUAAACAUUUUGAAAUAAAAAAUUUUGAUCUAGUUUUUCCAAAAUGUUGACUUAUGGUUUGAAAAUUGUUGAAUAUAGUUGUUUCAAAUUGUUGAUCUAGUUUUUGAAAAAUGUGAAAUCUAAUGUUUUUGAAAUGUUGAUAUAUGUAUUGCAAAAUGCUGAACAUCAUUUUUUCAAUGUUGAUCUAGGUUUCAAAAAAAAUGUUCAAUCUAGUAUUUAAAAAAUGUUGAUCUAGGUUUUGCAAAAUGUUGAAUAGAGAUUUUUAAAAUGGGGAUGUAUGUCCGGCACAAUGUUGAAAAAAAAACAGAGUUGGAAAUCAAUAUACAUGUGUGAGACCAGAUACACAGGUUAGCUCACACUUGACAAUAGCGCAGGUUUUGUGCAAGGCCAGAUGCUUGAGCACAACACACUUAUUUACCCAAAAGAAGAUUAACAAGUACAAGAAGUAACAGCAGAAGAAAGACCAAAGUAUACCGCAACACCUCAUCAGAUCACAGAUCCUUCACUUUCACUAGAGCAUAAUUCAUUCCUUCGAAAGUCACACCUUCCAGCAGCGUUCAAGUUCUAGAAACUCUUGCAGUUGCAAUAAACCAUCUGCCAACCCGAUUCCAUCUCACCAGAAUAGCAGCUGCGAAUCCGACACCAAAGCCCAACCCGGCGAAGAGAAACAAGACCACAUCAACAUGAUGAAAUGACUUGUCUACCUGUGCAACACCAGGAGUGUAAGGUGAAGCGCCAUAGGGUAACUUUGACAGCGGUGGCCCGCACAGUCCAGCAUUUCCUUCAAAUGAACUGCUGUCAAAUAUAUGUGCAGAACUGACGCGAUUGCGGUAUCUUCCCCACCAAUUUUUUUUGAAACUGUAGACCCGGCUGAGAUUAUCGGACUUGUAUUAAUUAAUAGAGAAGAGAGUCACAGGGCCUAAGCCAAAAAUAAAGGAAAAAAUAUAUAUUGAAAUUACAAAUUGGCGGUGUGAAACGGCGAUCAUUCGUCGAUUUGGCAGAUAGAGCCUAAGUGCCUUGCUCCCACUAAAAUCCAACAUCGCGCCUCCUCCUUGAUUUUGCCGAGUAGUUGGUCGAGGCUUUUGAAUUUUUGUUGAAAAACUCUAGCAUUGCGCUCCUUCCAGAUUUCUCAAGACACCAGAAUGAUCAGUGAUCUGAAACCCUUCAGCGGGGUGCCACUCAUUGACCCUAGUUGUGUCCACCAUUGGCUCACAGAUGAAAUUGUAGUCCAAUCUCCUCUAGGCGGGAUGUGUGCAGCCGUCCACUCAAAUAUUUUGUCCCAGACUCGUAGAGCAGAUGCAAUAAUAUUUCGUCGUGCGAGUGACAAAGCAUGCAUACUUUUUGAUUGGGCCAUCCUUGCGUAAUCAAGCGAUCUUCCAUCCACAGUCUGUUUUGAUAGGCGAGCCAUGAGGAGAAUUUGCACUUCGGUGGUGCCCAUGUUCUCCAGAUUAGGUGCUCCAUGUCCGAGGGUAUUGAAGAUUGGAACCGCACCAUGUAUGCCGAAGUUGUUGUGUAUUCACCGUGCUUGGUCAGAUUCUAGGUGAUGGAGUUUGGUGUUCCCGGGUUGAGCUAGAUUGAUCUUGUUCCGGCUCAAAGGAGAGUCAAUUCUGAGAGAUGUGUCGUUGAUGAUAUGAUGGCCACAUUGAUGUCCUAAAUCCACCUGUCGUUGGUUAUGGCAUCCUGACCGUUCUUCUCUUGUUUUUUGAAAUUUUAUACACCGACGGCGCAAUAUUUCUUAGCGCUUCCCCCUGCAGCCAUACCGAGUCCCAGAAUUUGGCCUUCUCCCCAUCUCCUAACGUGAUGGUCAUUGCAGACGCGAACAACUUUUUAUCCUUGUCGUUGUACGGUGUUGGCAUACCGACCCACGGUUUGCGUGGUUCCUUCCAUUCGUGCCAUAACCAUCAUAGUCUCAAUGCUCGUGUGAACUUCUUUAGAUGCAGUAUUCCUAGGCCACCAAGUUUAGUCAGUUUGCAUGCUGUGUGCCAUGCCACUUUACACUUGCCGCCGACAAUCUGAUCUGCACCAGUCCAGAGGAAACGCUUCCUUCAUUUGUCUAUUUCUUCCAGUAUCGUUGCUGGGGCGUUUAGGGCAGAGAGGUAGUAGAUCGGUUGUGAUGAGAGGACCGCCUUGACUAGUGUUCUUCUUCCCGCUGGGUGAGCAUCUUGCCAGCCCAGUUGGCUAAUCUUGCGUUCUCUUUGUCGGAUAAUGUCUCAAAGUGAGCCUUUUGUAAUCUGCCUAGUGUAGUCCUAGGUAUUUGACUAGGAAGGUUGCUCUUGCUGCUGGGAAGGGGGCUAGAAUCGAAUCCAGCUCGAGUCUAUUGCAACAUAUGGGUGCUACCGAGCUUUUCUGAUUGUUAGUGAUUAGCCCGUUGACUUUGCCAAAUUUGUCUAACAGCUCUUUGGUGUUCCGAACAUUCGCAGUUGUCAGAUUAAUGAAAAUUACCGCAUCGUCCGCGUAUAACGAUAGGCGUAAGCGGGCACCACCGCAUCUCCUCCACCUCAAACCAAACCCUAGCUCCAAGCCGCACACGCUAACAUCGACACCCGAGCCACCGCAACCCUAGCUAGCCACACGCCGUCGUCGAUCCGUGCCGUCGCUGCAUUUCCGUCGCCAAGAAGACCCCCAGGAGCUUUGCCGCAAGGUGAGGAAGCCCCUGGUGUGGCUCUUGUGCGCUCCCAUGCCUCUCUCCACGCGCACGAGCUCGCCGGAGUUCGGCAAGCUCGGUUGGGCCGCCUCAUCGAGCCUCCGGCCGCCACUAGCGCCCAAUCCUCCUCCUCAACACCCUAGAUCAACUCUUCGUGUCUGUAGCUUUCUCCAGGGCCAGAUCCUAUUGAAAAUUGUACCUGGAAACUCAAUUCUGAGCAAAGUCCAGCAUGUCGCCGCCGCGUGCCGCUCGCCUCCGCCGCCCGCGCACCGUCGAUCUCCUCUCGGUAGCUGCUAGCCGUACGAUCUGCUUUCGACAGCUCAGAUCCAAUCUAAUCCGAGUCAAACCAGCCGCGUACCGGUCAAACCCCAUGCUGCGCUGUUCGUUUUUCUAAAGAGUCCCUGGGUUUCGAGGUUUUUGCACCUGAGGUCCAGCGUAGUUCAAAGAUCAUUAGAUCUAGGUCCUUUUUCUUCUGUUCUAGCCCCUGAGCUUUUGCAAAAUAGUGCCCACCAUCCUAGAUCCUCUCUUUUGCGCGUUAAACCUUUGGUUUAUCCGCGUAUUUAUGUUUUAGCCCUCGGUUUCUCCAAGCUUAGCUUCUGAAAGUUUUAAAUCUUUGCCAACAAGCUCAUGCACCUUGUUUAGUGCAUAUCUUUAGCGUUUUAGGUCCGUUUUCAGUGCUUCCUGUGUCUAUGAGUUUGUCUUUACGCAUAGAUUAGUUUUAUGAUCUUAUUUCUCUCUAUUGUUACUGAUUGAUGUAAUGUUUUCUUAUUUUAUUCCUUUGCUUGCUUGUAUGUGAUCGUGUGAUGGGUCAGAAGGACUGCAACUCGAGGGAUUCGGAGGUCAAGACUUUGAAGACUAUGAGCAGCUGGAGCAAAUCCAAGAAGCCAAGUUGUGCCCCUGUUCACAACUAAACCUAUGAAACUUUUUACUUUCCUGUUCAAUAACAUUUAUGCCAUGCACUUUAAGUUACAAACAUAAUGGAUCCUAACUAAGGAGUGACUAGUUUUAUUCCCAGUAUAUUGAUCAACCCGGGCUUACAUAAUGUUGGGUAGUACAUGCUUAGUUUCUCAACUUGGGUAUGGUGGUAUUAGUGAACUUGAUGGUUAAACUUGUUUUAUUUAUGCUGUGCUUUUCAUUAACACAAGAUCACCAUGCUUAAAAUUGGAACAUGGAGAACCACCCGGGAAAACAAUACAACCACAAGAACUAAAUGGAUCUGGUCUUGGCUAAUUAAUUAGAGACUUUAGUCUGGGGUAAUCUUACCGAAAGGGCAAGAGGGGCGGUGGCAGAUGGGGUAUAACCCGGUCCUCUUGUGAAGUGAGCUUUGCUAAGAUACUAUGCCCACUAGGGAGGUUUAUACUCUGCAACUGAUCUGGAAACCUUAGCGGGUUACCGCUUACUAGGGGAUCUUUGUAAAGACCUCGUAGCGUCCCUAUGCAAUCACACCUCGGUAGUGUGGUAUUGUGCCUAGCCCGCACAGCAUGGUUGGGUCUAAAGUUCUUUUGAACUUUUACGCGACUUGUGGGUAAAGAUGUGCAACCUCUGCAGAGUGUAAAACUGAUCGAUCAGCAAUGCUCACGGUCAAGAGCGGCCUGGACCCUCACAUGAUUAAAUUAUCGGAAGUUGAAUUAAAUUAUUGUUAUUUAUUUCUGUUAUCUUUAUUUAUGUUCAUGCUUAAUGUGGGUGGUAUAAACUUACAUUUAGUAAAUGCUAAUAAAACUUGACCAACCAAUUAAAAUGCUGACUUGCUAAUCAACCUUAGCCUAUCCUUGAACAGCCUUACACUACACAUUCCUCACGCUUGCUGAGUACCAACCAUAAGUGUACCCACCCUUGCUAAAACCGCUACUCAAAAUAAGUCAACGAUGUGGAGCUCUUCCAAGAUUGGGAGGAGUACUAGGCGUACGUGUUUCUCCAAUCAUCUGCCUGUGAAGUCGCCGUUUUCGUUGAAGAUCCGCUACGAUAAUAAUAUUCUUUUUGCUAUUCAGUUUAAAAGACUAUCGGUCAUGUAAUAAUUGUAUACUCUCUCUACGUUAUGACAUUGUCUUUGUUACUCACUGAAGUCGUCGCAUGUGUGUAAUUUGAUCCCGGUGCACAUGUAAUUUAUGCAUUAGUUUUGCAUUUAAAAUUGGGUGUGACAGAGAGAUACAUGGCCUUUUAUAUUGCUUCUGGACAUGCUGAGAUAUCUGGUGUCCCUAAGAUAGGAAGCCCAGUUGGGUGGGACGGAAGAGAAUCUGUUGUUGGAAUAUCCCAAGAAAGAAGCUGAUGCGUUUGGCAUUGGGAUCUGCCCUAAAAGCUUAUUGAAACUAAGAUCAAGCACUAGUAGUGAUUUACUAAAAGGGAGAACAUCCGAAGCAAGUUGCAUGCCCGUAAGCACGUUAUGCGAAAGAUUCAAAUAAUAAAGGCUACUACUGCUCCAUGUCUCCCAGAUCCGAUUUGGUAUAUCCCCACUGAUUUUAUUAGAUGAAAGAUCCAAAUAUUGUAUAUUUUUAAGACGCAUCAAAGAUGUUGGGAAUCGAAUUAUAUUGCAAGACGCGAGCCCUAAAUAGUAAAGUCUGGCCAAAUAGGUAGCCAAAGGAUUAUUACCAUCUGCAUCCGUGACAUGCAACUCAUUGUAGGAAAGAUACAAACUGGUGAGAUCACUUAAUCUCCAAAAAUGGGAGAGGUUCACGGAACCUAUCAACUUGUUCGAGCUAACAUCUAUAUGUACCAAACUUGUUAGUUGAAAGAAGGCCAUGGGAAUAAAACCUGACAGAACAUUGUUGCUCAAGCGCACUUUCGCCAACCGUGAUUCUGCCUUGUCAAAGCCAUAUAUGGGGCCAGAAAGUUGGUUGUAAGAAAGAUCCAGGACACUUAAUGCAGGAAGACUGAAUAUAGAUGCUGGAAUCUCUCGUGCAAAGACAAUAGAAAACAUUAAGUUAGAAAGUCUCCUCUUCUAGAAAUAUCUGAAUUCAGAAAAUGAUGGCUCCUAUUUUGUUCAGAACAUGAUAAGUUAUGCCACUGAUACUGUACCAGCGAAAAAGCUCCCAAGCCUAGUUAUUUUAUCCUUAGAAAAUUGCAUGACAUGGACUCUAAAAGCCAACACUUUAUGUGGUUACACUUAAAGAGUGUUUUGUUUCACCACUCAGUCCAACUGCAGAACGUGCGGCUAGCGGCCUUCACGGAGGAGCAAACUGGAGCGCAAGAGGAGAAAAUCACCAGAAUCAAGAGAGCUGGGGUAGCAAAUCGCCCAUUUGUUCCUGUUUUGUUGGCGUGCUGUUUAUGGGUAGUGUUGUUUAUUUUUAGGUGUAUGCAAAAAGUAUUCUUGAUGAAAUAUGUUGCAUCACAUAUUCUAGAAUAAAAAAGUGAAAAUAUUGGUGCUCUGUUGAAUUUCAAUUAUAUUGCUGGAAUUCCUUCCUCCAUUUUUUUCUUUUUCCUUUUCUUCAAUUUUCAAUUAUGUUUGAUGGAAUUUCUUUGAUUCAAAUUCGACUAUAAUUUAUUGAGCUUCAUGCACCAAUCGGUUGCACCUAAAGUCUUAACCCGAUUUGGAAGGACGAUAGUUCUAUUAUACUUCAACAUAAUUAACACUCAAAUUCCAAGGAAAACCACUUCAAAUCCCAACAGCCAAGUGGAGCCACAUGGGUAUAGUGGGGAUUUAGGACCUCAUGUUAUACUUGUGCAUUUAACAAAGGUUAGCAACUCUAUUAUAUUUUAAGAGUUUAGGAAUCUAGAUGACUUCAAGGAAAAAGUUCAGAGAUCGAUAAUCAUUAGGAAUAGCCAGACUUUUGGUCCUACAUCGAUUCUUUUUUUCUUAAGCGGCUGGCACCAUUACACUGCCCGACAUAUAUUGAUAGGGUAGGAGGUCUUACAUCCAUUCCACUUGUACAGCAACUAGUGUAACUCAAGGGCUAAACAAUGUGCUCCAAAAAUGCUUGAACAAGUAAACACAAGCCUGAGCAUAUAUUGGGGCCGUUCGGUUGAGCUGGCUGCUGCUGUUAAGCAGCACAGCUGAUCAGCCGGCCAUGCAGCUGCUACAGCAGCGCAUCAGCUAGGCAGUGGCGCAUCAGCUGGGCAGCAGCGGCUGCAGGCAGCUACUUUUGUACCCAGCGAUCAAGUCAAGUUUUGAAAACAAACAAUGUUGUAAACUCAGUUGGAACUGGAUUAUAUAAAAGGCAAAAUUCAAUGAGCAAACAAAGGUCACUUUAAACAAUCAUUGAAAGAGCAAGUACAAAUAUUUUUUGAUUGAGGCUUCAGAAUAUAAUUGCAACAAAUUACAGUACAGAACCACAUUGAUAAUAUUCAGAUGACUAACCUAUUAAAAUAAGAUCACAAAUGCAUACCAUAUUUCAUGAUAAUGUGACCAGUGAAUCAUUAAUUCAUCUAAAAGACACAUUUUUUUUCAGCUCCUUCAGAAAAAAGAAAUACCGUGACAAGCAUUGCCGUCUCAGCUCCUUGAUUGUCUUUAAAAGUAACGUAGGCAAGCAGACAAACAGAGAAAUAGGCCCAAUAUAUUGACUAAAUAUAUGAUACAAGCACAACCACAUAUCUGCAGACAGUGAUAUGAACCAAAUCACCAGAAGCGCUAUCCAUAACUCUCAAACACCUCAUUUUAGUUUCCAAGACCUGGGCACCCUGAUAACAGUCUAGUCUAGCACAAAAUAAAUGGCAUGCAUAUUGAACUCAAGAGUACACAGGGCAUACAAUUAGAACAUUUUAGCCCUACCCUACAAUAGUUGAUCAGUGCUUUCUCAAGUCACAACAACAACAAAUUAGAAAGAAAUUGAUAGGUUAUAUUCAUAACAACAAAAUAGCAAAUUGAGAAAAUAUCUCCGUCAUGUCAACCCAUAAAGUCCCGCUGCAAUCCAAUCACGAACUUUACUAAUAUCAUCGUUGGCAGUAGCGGCAAACCAAUCUGAUGCAGGAUCAUUUUCAUCACUUGUCCUACUAAGAUAGGUCCCAUGAGCAAACAUGUCAGCACCAACCAUUCCCGGUUCGUUGUUGUCCAAUGCAAAAUUGUGUAGCGCAAAGCAUGCAACAAUAAUCUUUGAUUGCUUCUCCAUAUUAUAUAACGGUAUACCUCUUAGAAUCUGCCACUUAUUCUUUAGCACUCCAAAAGAUCGUUCCACAACAUUCCGAAGGCACGAAUGAUGGUAGUUAAAAAUUUCAUUCAAAUUCUCAGGACCUUUGGCAUUAAACUCCGAUAAAUGGUACCUGCCCUUGCGAUAUGACGCCAUAUAACCCUCACGCAGUGGGUAACCAGAAUCCACCAAAUAGUACUUUCCUACAUAUCAACAUUGUUAUACAAAUAGCAAUUUAGAUUGGCACUCCCAUAUGUUGCAUACUAUAAAACUUACAAACAACAUAAGAUCACCUUGGGGUGGGUGAGGGAAAUGCUCAGCUUGGUUUAAAGCCUCCCUCAAAAUAGCAGUGUCAUGCACAGCACCCUUCUUCCCCGUAGCGACAAAUGUGAACCUCAUGCCCAUGUCACAAACGGCUAAGACAUUCUGGCUGGUGAACCCCUUUCUAUUGAUAAAAUCAUCAUGUGCGUGCUCAGGGACUGACACCGGAAUGUGGGUUCCAUCUAUAGCUCCUAUGCACCCAUCAAAAUAUGGUGAGAAUUGAUGCAGCUUAGGAUGCACAUACCUGAACAGUGGAUCCAUUGGUCUAAUAAUAGUACGUGCAAAAGAGACCACGGCAUCUAACACUUCACCGAACUUCCGACUCACGGUGUCUAGUGACCUACGAAAUCUAUCCGACAUUUGUCUCUGGCAUUGUCUUGUGCCACAUGCCCAUAGGAACAUCCCUAAUGCCUCAACUGAAUCACAUUGUCGUGUGGAUUUUAGCCCAUGGUUGGACACUAAGAUUGAAUGCAACAACUGGAAUGCAGAUGGAUGGAGACGGAAAUUUUUGUAGCACUUCUUACUGUCAGCAAGGUUAAUAGCAACCCAUUGACGCCCAGUCAACUCCUGCAAGUGCAACGGACCAUCUUGCAUGCCACAUGCACUUGAGGUAGACGAUGCAUACGCAGCUAACACACCAAUGGUUGCACCCAUGUACCACCAUGUAGACCCCUCAUCGUUCAACCUUGCUGGUGAGGUGCUGGUGUUGCUCGAAUUUUCGGAGCUUGACUUUCCUUUCAUUUUCAGACCAUAACAGUGAUCAGUGGUCCCAGCUUCUGUAAUCAGCGAUCUGGAACAAAUCUGAUUCUUUGUUAAGCCUAGAUAUGCUAGUUUCAAGACGACAUAUAAAAAGCAUGCCAUGUUUUCUUAUCUAAGAAUCUCUAAAACAAAAUAAUAGCAUAUUCAGUACCCAUCUUUUAACAUGUUGUGCCCCUUUUCUUUUCUUUCAAAAAUCCUAAGUACUUAAAUAUGGAAAUAUGAUUUCAUUGCAUACCUUUACGAUCCAUUUGACCUUCACUUGUUGAUAGCCACCUCAUUCAUCGUGAAGACCUUCAGGCUGUAAGGUUGUAAACAAGAAUUUCCAAAAUGUUAAAAACAACAGUAGCAGCAUCAUACUCAAGUGGAACGACACAAAUUUAUAUGGAUUAGUAGCAUGAAUAAUCAAGGUCUAACACAACAUAAUUCACAUUACAAACAUGAUGCCACACCAUGCCAUAGUCACAGUACAAAUACACACAUUCCUAGGUAGAUGCAAAUACAUUGUAAUCAUGGACCGGUAUUACUUCCUCUUGACAUUAUCCCAAGUCCAUCGGAGCCAUGCAAUCCGGUUCUCUGAAGCGGUAAUGCUCCUAUAAGAUGCACGUCGGGCUGGUGAUCUAAACAGCUCAGUAGCUAUGAAGUACAACUCAGACCCAUUCGGUACACCAUCUUGUUCGACAAGGUGCAGCAUUUCCGUAACCUCCUCUUCCUCACGGCUGAUUAGAUUUCUUUCAUUCAUAGUCCUUUGAAUCAUGCUCUCAGAUAUACGCUCGACAUAGUACUCCAUGCUCUUAGUUCUCUUGGGUGAUGGGCUAUCAACAACAUGCUCCUUUCCGGACCUUUGCGACACACGACCCACACUAGACCGUCCAACAGUGUCCUCCAACCAGUCAACAUUUUCAUCCACCAUUGGGUCAGGGGUGUCUUCACUUCCACAGCUUGGUGUUCUAUCUUCAAUUCCACCAACACACAACAUUGGACCGCCUUCAAUGUCCGUUGUCCCGAAAAGAGUGGUUAACUCAUCAUAGAAUGGAAAUGUCUUGCCACGGAAAUAUUUGUUUGCCUCGUUCUCCUAGAAGUCAUAAAUAGGAAAUAUGUAAGCAUGAGGGCAAUCCGAGGUCAAAGCCGAAGGUAAAUGAUAGAAAGCCAUAAUUAUUAGGACAAAAAGUAGGUAACUCAAUUCGGGCUGCCCACCAUUCAUCAUCGCAAUCAAUGGUGCGGGUACUGUUGUUCCACCCGGUACCACUCUUGUCCUUUAGUUUCCUCCAAUCCUUGUAUUGCCUCUUAAAGGCAUUAAAUUUGUUCUGAAGCUGUUUGCAGGAAUAUUUCCUGCCCAUCUAUUGUUUGAAAUUUGUAUACAGGUUGUGCCAACCUACCUUGGUUAGGCCCCUUUUGUUGUAGUUGAGCUUGUUCUUCUCAUCAAUGCAAAGGUCUAGGAAUAUUUUUGUAGUGUUAUCAUCCCAAUUGGCACGACCUGCAUCCAUCUGUGUGCUACUUUGAAUUAUAUGCCUUCCUAAGUACAAGGUGCUACUUUGAAUUAUAUGCCUUCCUAAGUACGAGGUUUGUAUGCCACACACGCAGUAGCAAUGACAACAUGCAAGAUACGAAUCAACAUUUAUCACAAAGGGAACAAAAAAGAUGGAACUGAUGCUUGCCUCAUUGUGCUUACGUCUUGCAGGAGUUGUACACAGCAGGAACCGAGGGGCUUCAUGUGGAGACCAUGACGAUGUAGAGGAGUUUGCCAGUGCUGCUGCCUGUGGAAGUUUCUUUUUUUGGCACACAAGGAAUGCUCUCCUUAGCUAGAGUCGUAUUUACUACUGUAAAAAGAAUAUAUAAAGUGAGAAAAAUUUAAAAGUCAGCCUAAACAUUGUCAUAUUUUAAUGCAGGAAGUAAAUAGUAAUGAGCAAAAAAAAAGAAGAAUAAUAUUUACUGUCAAAAGGGAGGAGAGAAUUUACAGUCACCUAAUUUUUGCAGGCACUUCCCAAUUCCCACCCACUGAAUGUUACUGAGUGGAUUUAGUGGUUUCUAUCACUAAAACUAGCCACUAACAAGAUGAAAGCAGCAGCAGUGCAGAUGCAAAAUAGCAAUGCCCGUGGUGGUGAUGGCCGCAUUUGUGGCACUCCAGAGUAGCAGCAGUGCAGGUGCACCGUCCAGUUCAGUCAGAUAGAUGAGCGUCAGUUGAUUUCCGAGGGCAAGGCAGAUCAAGCUGGCAAUGCAACAUGCAGGCAGAGGUAGCCAACAAUGCAGCCCUUUCAAUUAGAGGUACUGGUCAGUGCAGCUGACAAAAGCACACCAGUAGUAUGCAAGUUCAGAGGUGGUCACUUGAGUUUCAGAUUUGGAACACUUUUGCCUCUUUCUAAAAAUGAGCAGUAAGUAAAAUUGGUGCAAUGGAUUGUUUGCCUGGCGUCUUACUGCCUAUUCUAGCAUAAUUGACCUGAACGCCCCUAAGGUUGAGCAUAGCUCAUGUUUGUUCUGAAUACAGGGAGUCAAUAAGUCUUAUAUAUUUUGUGUUUGCUAAAUAAAAAUUAUAUUACAAUACUACCAAAUGCAUAUAAAUAGAAAGAUAAUAAAUUAACCAAAUGAUAGAUCGGUCUAGUCCGAAACAUCUGUUGGAAACACGCCGGAGUAACUCCGAAACGUCUGUUGGAAACAUGCCGGAGUAACGACUCCCAGGUCGCCGGCGAGUCUCCUGGCCAAAGCACAGGGACACACACGCACACACAGGUAGACACUGAAUUGGUGCUUGCUAACUUGGCCCUCUUCCUUGGCCUUUAUGCCUUGUAUUUAUAGACUAUUACAAGGAAAGUAAUCAGGGCUUCAAUCAGCCCGAUGCACACAGCCACACAAUUGCUAACUGUCUAUUUGCCAGGGCUGUCAUGGAACAUUACAUUUCUGUAGAUGAUCAACAACCAUUACCAUGAGUUACCAUUACAACAAUAUGCUCCUGUCGUCCAACAUACACAAGAUGCACUUACAGUACAGAGCAGAAUAAUGGGAAGCCUUCACACUUCACACUAGUGUAGCUAACAAAAUUGAAGGCACAUGAGAUCUUACUGCCUACUCUACCAAAAUUGACUCAAUUACGCACGAUAUAAGAGGUUACUGCCUAAUGUAAGGCAAAAGAGAUCUUACCCCCAGGUUCUCUGUUGAGAUGCACAAAAUCUAGCAGCAUACAAAUGUAGAUCGAGAAUGGAGAGGAUUGGCGGAGCUGGGUGGACCGGCGAUGGUGGGACGGAGCGGCGGGGCGGAGGUCGGCGGGGGCGUGGCUGGCCGGCGCCGGGUGAGGGGCGGAGCUGGAUCGGGCGCGGACGGUGGGGCGGAGAGGAGGGGCAGAGAGGAGGGGCCGCGACGGCGGGGCGGAGGCCGGCGGGGGCGGGGCUGGCCGGCGGCAGGGGAGGGGCGGAUGUAGGUGGGGCGUCGACGGCGGGGCGAAGAGGGGCGGCGACGAUGGGGCGGAGUCUGGCGGGGGUGGAGCUNNNNNNNNNNNNNNNNNNNNNNNNNNNNNNNNNNNNNNNNNNNNNNNNNNNNNNNNNNNNNNNNNNNNNNNNNNNNNNNNNNNNNNNNNNNNNNNNNNNNCGGCAGGAGGCCCGAAAUUCAAUCUUCCCAUCGGAAUCUGGGAAAUGUAAGGCCGCGGAAAUGGGCCAGAGUCUGGCGGGGGUGGAUCUGUUUUGCGGCGGGGGAGGAUUGGAGCUGGGUGGGGCUUCGAUGGUGGGGCCGUGCCGGCGGGGGCGGGGGCGGCCGGAGGCGGACUGGGCGGCGGGCGCUGUUCGGGAGAUGCAGGACCUGGACAGGGAUUAAGUGCAGCUGUUCGGCUGCCUUGCUGGGCUGUUGCUGUUGGGCCGCAGCCGAACGGCUAGGCUGCACAGCAACAGCUGCAGCCGCCCAAGUAGCUUAAGCGAACGGGCCCAAAAAAAGACACGGGAGACAAUAUUCACUAGUAGAGAAUUCACCUUCUAUACGUCCCAUUUUGUCCCGGUUUAAAGUUGGCCCGGGACAAAAGGUUCACCAACCGGGACUAAAGCUCGAUCACUGGUGGGGGGCUCACCAACCAGGACCUUUUAUCCCAGUUGGAAAGGCUAGUGGAAAAAAAAACCCUGAGAGGCCUUUUAUCCCGGUUUGAAACAUCAACCGGGAUAAAAGGGUCCCCACGAGUUAAUACAAAAAGAUUGCAUCCCCUAUAUAGUCAGAUGUGCUGUGUAGGUGGGAUGGCAAGGAAGCUACGCGCGAGGGUGGAGGUUGCGGGUUCGAAUCCCACGCAGUGCGCACGCGCAUAUUUUGCGUGAAAAAUCGCGUGACUUGUGACUUGCGACGUGUGGGGGGCCCUCCCGGGAUUUCUUUUUUCUUUUUUGCAGCGGGGAUAAAAGGGGACCCGGGACAAAAGACCCCCCCCCUGUCUCGGUUGGUUUAUCUCCGGAUGGAUUUUCGGAAGAUUUGCAUCCUAGCAACCGGGACUAAAGGCCAAUUCUCUACCGGUGAUUAUUGUUACCUUGGAGAGAAUUAAAUGAAAGUUCCAGCAAUGUUAACCUAGUCAGAUUAGCUAUUGAACUUGGUAUGCUUCCAUAAAAAUUGCAACCUUGAAGAACUAACCAUUCCAACUCACUAAGCUGGCCGAUUGCAUAAGGUAUCAACGACCCAAAAUUCUGAUGGCCUAUUGGGCAAGGUGUCGGAGACAGAGAAUUAUAACCAAGAAUACGCAUGGAUUUCAAAUUAGUGAGGUUACCAAUUGCAUCCGGUAUUGGUCCUGAGAACCCACAAUUAUUUAUAUACAUGUUUCUCAAAUUUGUGAGUCCGCCAAUUGCAGCCGGCAUAGGCCCUGAAAACCAACAAUCAAUUAUCCACAUGAUUUUCAAUUUUUUUAGUUUGCUGAUUGCGGUCGGCAUUGGCCCUGAAAACCCAGAAUCAAUUAUACCCAUUUUCCUCAAAUUUGUGAGGUUGCCGAUAGAAGAUGGCAUGGAACCAUAUGUUGUGCAGCGAUCCAUUUCCAGUGUUUGCAAGUCCACGAGAUUCCCAAUUGCACAAAAUACUUCCCUAGGGAGGUUACAAUCAACCAUUUCCAAGCUUCUCAAGUUCUUGAAGUUGCUAACCAAGGUAGGCGUUAUCUCAGAGAAGUUACAUCCAUAGAGUGCCAAAUUCAAACUCAUUAGGUUCUUUUGCUGUCCAAUCCAUGAGAUAAUUGAUCCUAACUCAUUGAGUCCAGCGUGAGGUCCAACUGGCACAGGGACCUAAGUCUACCAAAUGAAGAGAGAAAAUCCACCGAUAAAUUCCCUCCGAGACUCAAAUGCUUCAAGGACUUGAAAUUAUUAGAAGGCAUUGAUCUGGCAUAAGAAAAGUUGGUCCAGUCUAGCCUCAAAGUCUCUAAAGAAUUUGGAUAAGAAAAGUUUGGCAAAUGCCCUCCGGAUUAUUGGACAAAUCGACAACUCUUAAUUUUUUUUUAUUGGAAGGGUUUGAUGGGGAACCGCCCCUCAAGAUAAAUACUAGAAAGUUGAAGCACAGUUAAAUUGAUAAAAUCCAUGAAGAUUUCUGGAAAUGGACCGGCAGUUAUAUCACCAUUUCUUUGGAGGUUGAUCACAACGAGAGAACGGAACCGCGAGAGAGACUCAUGAAUAGGACCACUCAGGCUGCAAGUGGCCAAGCUGAGUAUCUGAUGUCGAGGAACAUGUGUAGCAAGAGAUGUGCACCACUCUUCUCCACUGGUAGACAAAUCCACACUGUCAAGAUAGAGCUCUCUUAGAUUACUGAGGUUUGCCACUAGGGCAUCAAAAUCGGGUCCCCACAGAGAGUUAGAAGUGACAAUAUAGUAGGAGCUGUCGGAUGUGUCAUAAGCAUCAUCAUCAUCAUCUUCAAAGGACUGGAAAGAUCCAACGACACAAGGUUCACGAGUUUACCGAUGCCAAUAGGUAUCUUGCCACACAAGCCCAAAUUGGAGAGGUUAAGGUGAGUUUGUUGGAAAAAUAACGUGGUGGUCAAAAGACCGAGAGGAAAAUGGGAAGGAUAAGAUUGACGCCCGACUCCGACUCCCUCGCGCACGUCCACCCCGCGCCUCGAUCGGAGGUGCAACCGAACAAUUGGUUGCGGCCCCGAGCGACCCGGCCCCGAGCGACCCAACUCUAUAAGAGAAGGGGGCCGGUGGGUUUGGAACAUGCCAACGCACCAAACCCUACUCACACCCCCUACAUGCCUCCCGAUCACAGUGGCGUUGGAGUUGCUCGAAGGCCGUCGCCACACCACCAUUGCCGUCUGUGGACAGAAGAGGUGGAGACCUGAAGGGAGACGCAAUCUACUCCGAGCUAGUACACCUAUGGCACCCGUCAUCCCGGCCUCGUCCACGACCCUAAUGGCCGGAUCGUCACAAGCAGUGGCAGCUGGUUGUACUCUAACAUCUUCAUUGAGUGGUGUUCAUGUUCUAGAUGUGCAAAGAUCCUGUUUUAGUUAAGAUUAAGUAAUGUAGAUUCUUACAUUUGGUAUCAGUUAGUCAAUCCCAUCUAGACUUGGAUCCUAAGGCUGUGUAGAUUGAAUCUUAGUGUGCAAUUGAGUUGAAUUGUACUGGUUUUCUAUGUUCUUGAUCUACACAGUAGCUUUCUAGUACGAAUUGCUAUGCUAUUAGGCUUAAUCUUCUUCAGCUACAUGUCAAUGUUCAAGUUUUAGUUCACUGACUUGAUCUGUUAAGUCAGAUUAGACCAAAUUAGUUCUCAGUUAGCCUAAUUCCAUGCCUAAGCUACUAGAUCAGUUCUUAAUUAAGUCUAAAAUCAAGGUUAAUUAAGUCAAUUAAGUUAGUCUCUAUGUUUAAGUUCAGUUAUUUAGGUCGAGGUCUACUGUUUUCCCCAAACCCCACUGUCUAGCUCCAAUCUGUGCAAUUAAGUCCUCAAUCAGUAAAAUUGGACACGCAAAAGCAUGUAGAAGGAGAGGAAUUGGGCGAAUUUCAGGUCGAAUUAAGGAAAACCCAAAGAAAAUCCCCAUCAGAAAUCCUAACCCUAACUCAAGGAUAAGAACUUACCUCGAAUCACGACGGCCGCAUAGGGCAUGAUGGCCGCUGCGUGUGGAUGCCGGCGUGCACCUCCGCUGAGCCACACCGGCCAUAAGCACGCACAUGAACAAGUCAAGCCGCGGGCCCGGAUGCGCCUCGGUCUCCUUCCCGUGACCCAACCCGCGGCAUCAGAUCCUCCACGCACGAACCUGUCGACGCCGCGGCAAGCUUCAGGUUAGCUCGCCAUCACCGGUCUUGCGGCCGACCGCGCCUUCUGCUCAGUCACCCCCUACCAUGGAAAAGUGCUCCAGUGGAGCCCCCUGACGGCGCGCCGCGCGACUUGGUCGCAUGCACGCGCCGGUGGGAGGGCCCGCAGAGGCAUGGGCGCAGGGUGGCGGCGCAGCUCAUCGGCGGCUGCUGCUCGGGGUUGGGGCAGAAGCAGGCAGAGAAGAGGGGAGGGUUGCAGUGGAGACAGGCAAAAAUGGCCUAGGGUUCGGGAGAGGCGCAGCGCUCGCCGGUUUUGUCCCACCGAAACUCGCGCUCCGCCGUCGGAUGCAACGGAUGGCUUAGAAGAGCGCGGACAAGCGCAGCGCGCUGUUGGGCCAGAUUGGCGGCCCACCCAUUGGCUGCUGGGCUUAGAGUCUAGGCCGGCGCGAGGAACCCGGCAUGGGCUGUUAGCUGGGCUUACUCGGACCAUGAGAAGGCGCGGGCCCACUUAAACUCUGUGUGGCACGUGCUCUUUAGGGCCAUGAGGAAGGAACGCCGUGCGCCAUCGUUCUUGCACGAUUGGGCUGCCUGCGAGCAGGGCUUGCGAAGGUCGUUAGCUAGGCGCGGACUGGUUGUUUUGCGCUGGGCCGAUUUCGGCCACUAGCGGGCUGCUGCUUUUUUGGCUCGCACGGGCCGUCAGAUCGCUGGCAGGCCAGCGGGCCAUUUUGCGCUUGCAUCAGUUGGGCCGUCAGUUGAUAAGUGCGCACUUGGGCUAUUUCGGGCCAAUAAGGGGAGGUAGCUACGGGCCAAAAGUUGAGUUUGCGCUGGUUUUAAGAUUGAGCACGGUCCACUGUUUCUCCCAUUUGUUAUGCUAAUAAGUGUCUAAGUUGCACAUAGUUAAAUAAAAUAAUAUUCUGAUUAAAUUGAACCAACACGAAAUUUAUUUCACAAUUAUUUAUUAAGGCAUGCAAUUAAUUUCUGACCAAUGUUGAUAUUAAUUUGAUAUGCAUAAGUGUUUUAUUUAAGUUUUAAGUUAUUUUGCUUCCGCCCAACAGUGAUGCGAAAUUAAUUCAUGUUAUUUUAUUUAAGUUUUAAGUAUUUUGCUUCUUCCCAACGGUGAUGCAAAAUUAUUUCAUAUCAUUUUAAUUAUGUCUUUGCUUCUACCGAAUGGUGAUGCAAAGUUGUUUAUGUUUUUAAUCGAGCCAACGCAGAUUAAAUUUAUUACUUAUUAUUGUUAUCAUUACUAAUUGAAAUUCUCUCAUUUACUCAGACUUGACUCCAUCAAGCAUCAUAAGCUAUGUCAACAGUACAGAGAAGCUUGGAGGAGACAACUUCACUAAUUGGAAGAACCAGAUUGGAUUGGUCCUAUGCAUUAUGGAUCGGGACCACUUCAUGAGGGAGAAUCAUCCUGUUGCUCCGACUGCUCAAGGGGAUAAUGAUAGUACCCUUCCUGAGCGCACUGCUGCCUAUGAGAAGGAAAAAGAGCGGUAGGAGCGAUCAAACAGGGUGGCCCUAAUGAUCAUGGAGCGGACCAUAAACCUUGCAAUAAGGGAAGCUAUUGAGAAAAAUCCCAAAAGUGUCAAACAUUUUAUGGAGAAGGUUGAGGAGUACUUCAAAAGCUUCAGUAAGGCUAAUGCUAGCACCCUCCUGACUAAGUUAAUGAACACUAAGUAUGAUGGGCAAGGCAAUGAAAGGGAGCACAUCAUGAGCCCCGUUGACCUAAGGGAUAUGCUCAACGACUUGAAUUGCCCUCUUAAUGAUGAGACACUGCUUCACCACAUCAUGCUUUCGCUGCCCUCAGUGUUUGAACCCUUUAAGAUAAACUAUAAUGGCAGCAACAUGAAGUGGGAUAUUCCCACACUCAUCAUGAAGUGUUCUCGGGAGGAAGAAAGGCUCAGAUCAGAGAAAGGCAAUUUUGCCAACCUCAUCAGGCAUGAGGUAAAUAAGGGAAAAAAAUAAGCAAAUUGUCCCUUUUAAGAAAAUUAAGAAGCCUCAUCAACCUUCUCGUAAGAAUGAUGGGUCAUCCUCGUCUAAGGGUCCAAAAUGCCAUCAAUGCGUGGCCUAUGGGCACAUCAAGAAGCACUGUGAAAAGUUAAAGGAAUGGUGCAUAAAAAAUGGUAAUGAUGACUUUAUUUCUACAGUCGAUGAGUCCCUUUAUGUUGAUUUUUCAUUAAGUACAUGGUGGAUUGAUUCUAGGGCAACCAUUCAUAUUACUGAUUCCUCACGGGGAUUACAUGGCGCACAGACUAUAAGAAAGGGGACUCGCGCCGUUAAAGUUGCCAAUGGAGUUGAAGCUGAAGUUGAGGCUGUUGGAGAUCUCACUUUAGAACUUAGUAGUAUCUUUAGGCUUCAUUUAAGUAAUGUUCUUUAUGUACCAUCACUUAAGAGAAACUUGAUUUCUAUUUCAUCAUUAGAUUGUGAAGGUUAUUCCUGCAACUUUGGGAACAACAAGUAUGUAAUAAGUUUUGACAAUAAGAUUAUUGGUCAUGCCCCUUUACAUGAUAAGCUUUACUUGUUGCCUCUAAGUAUUAAUUCCUCUGUGACGAAUGUAAGCGAUGCCAACCAUAAGCGAAAGAGAAACAUUGAGACUUCGUCAAAAUUGUGGCACUUCCGCUUAGGCCACAUCACAUUUCGAAGGGGAGAAUGGAGCGUCUCAUUAGAGAAGAGAUACUUCCAAAAUUAGAUUUCUCUGACUUAGAUCAAUGCGUUGACUGUAUUAAGGGAAAAUUUGCAAAACAAAUUAAAAAGGAUGGAGCUAAGCAGAGUUCAGGAUUAUUAGAAAUAAUUCAUACUGAUAUAUGUGGUCCAUUUAAUGUAAGAUCAGUGGAUGGUUAUAAUUAUUUAAUUACCUUCACUGAUAAUUUCUCCCGCUAUGAAUACAUCUAUCCCAUACUCGAAAAGUCUGAAGCACUUGAUAAGUUUAAAAUCUUUAAAGCUGAAGUAGAAAAUCAGCAUGACUAAAAGAUCAAAGUGGUAAGAUCAGAUAGGGAAGGGGAGUAUUAUGGGAAACACUCCACAUAUGGACAAAUUUUGGGACCCUUUGUCAGAUUUCUCCGAGGUAAUGGUAUAGCAGCUCAGUAUUCCAUUCCUGGUGAGCCUCAGCAAAAUGGUGUUGCUGAGAGAAGAAAUCGCACCGUUAUGAACAUGGUGCAUAUUAUGCUAUGUAACUCUACGCUGCCAGUGAGUUUGUGCAUGCAAGCUUUAAAGACUGCCGCACACAUUAAUAAUUGUGUUCCUAGUAAGUCAGUCCCUAAGACUCCUUAUGAGCUUUGGACUAGUAGGAAGCCUAUAUGAAUUAUUUACAUGUAUGGGGCUGCGCAGCUGAAGUAAAGAUUUUUAAUCCACAACUUGGGAAAUUAGAUCCAAGACUGAAAGCUGUUAUUUUAUUAGAUAUCCAGAAAAGUCAAAGGGGUACCUCUUUUAUUGUCCUAAGCAUACCACUAAGUUUGUGGAGACAAGGCAUGUUGUUUUCUUAGAGGAAACUGGAUGCACUGAGGCUAGGAAAAUUGAUCUUGAGGAGAUUCGAACUUAUGAGCCGUUACCCAUAAGAUAGGAUUAUCAUACUCCUAUGCCAUAUACCACAGUUACAUCUCAGGUGGUGGAACUUCUAGUAGAAAAUGUGGGAGUAACAUCUACCUUAAGUGAUAAUGUAGAUGCACCUUUGAUAAGUGAGCAUCAAGGUGAGGAUGUGGUAGAACCUGCUGGUGGAUUGCAAGGGGAGGCAACUGAUGAGCCCGAGGUGAUUCAGCAGGAACCUGCUCAAGUAGAAGCACCACAGGAAGUAACACCACAACAUCUGAGAAGGUCAACAUGUGAGAGGAAGUACACCCGUUUCGAUGAGUAUGUGUACAUAAGUGAAGAAGGGCACAACAUGGGGAAGGUGGAUGGUCCAAACUCAUUUAAGGAGGCUAUAAUUAGUGAACACUUGCAUAAGUGGAGCGAGGACAUGGAAGAAGAGUUGAAGUCCAUGGAAGCAAAUAGAGUAUGGGACUUAGUAGAAAUUCCUGAAGGAGCCAAAACAAUAGGCUGUAAAUGGGUCUACAAAAUGAAAUAUGACUCUAAAGGGAAGAUCAAAAGGUUCAAAGCAAGACUCGUGGCUAAGGGCUUCACUCAAGUAGAAGGAGUCGAUUAUAAUAAAACCUUAUCGGCUAUCUCAAAGAAAGAUUCAUUUAGAAUCGUUAUGUCUUUAGUAGCUCAUUAUGAUCUUGAGCUACAUCAAAUCGAUGUUAAGAGUGCGUUCCCUAAUGGUGACUUGCAUGAGAAUGUAUACAUGAAGCAACCUGAAGGUUUUGUCGUGGAAGGCAAGGAAUAUUUGGGAUGCAAACUAUGAAAAUCCAUUUAUGGAUUGAAACAAGCAUGCAAAAAAUGGUACCUUAAGUUUGAUGAAGUAAUUAAGAGAAUUGGCUUCAUUGAAAAUAAGAAAGACAACUGCAUAUAUGUUAAGACUAAGGGGAGCUCUAUAAUCAUCCUAGUGCUUUAUGUGGAUGACAUCCUAUUAGCAAGCAGCGAUAAGAACUUGCUGCAUGAGACAAAGGGCUUUCUCUCAUUGAACUUUGAUAUGAAGCACCUUGGUGAUGCCGCUUAUGUCUUAGGCAUUGAGAUUCACUGAGAUAGGUCCAAGGGUGUAUUAGGACUCUCUCAAAGAGCUUACAUAGAGAAGGUCCUUGAAAGAUAUAAUAUGCACCAAUGUUUAGGCACAACUGCUCCAAUUGUCAAGGGCGAUAAGUUUGGGUCAUUCCGAAGUCCUAGGAAUCAAUUAGAAAUUGAUCAAACAAGAACGAUUCCUUAUGGUUCAGAUGUCGGAAAUAUAAUGUAUGCACAAGUGUGUACACGCCCUAACUUGGCCUUUAUAAGCAGGAUGCUUUGAAGCUAUCAGUCUAAUCCAGGAAUAGGCCAUUGGGAAGGAGUUAAGAAAGCUUUGCGUUACAUGCAAGCACUAAGAAUUACAUGCUAACGUAUAGGAGAACUGAGAAAUUAGAGAUAAUCAGCUAUUUCAGAUACUGAUUUUGAGGGUUGUGUUGGCACAAAGAGAUCCACAUCAGGUUAUGUCUUCACACUUGCAAAUGGCGUUAUAUCGUGGAAAAGCUCCAAACAAACAUUAACAGCUGCAUCGAUGAUGCAAGCUGAGUUUGUGGCAUGUUAUGAAGCUAUGGGACAAGCUGUAUGGCUUAAGAGUUUCAUCCUAGAAUUAAGAGUGGUAGACAGCAUAAGUAGGCCACUAAAAUUAUACUGCAAUAAUAAGUCAGUAGUUUUCUAUUCGAAUAACAACAAGUCAAGUGAUGCUGCAAAGCACAUUGAGAUUAAGUAUCUUGAUGUGAAAGAUAGAAUCCAAGAUCACACCAUUGAGUUAGAGCAUAUAAGUACUAAGAAGAUGCUUGUGGAUCCAUUAACAAAAGGCUUAUCUCCCAUUAUAUUCAGUGAACAUGUUGCCAGCAUGGGAUUAUCGGAUAGCUUGUGAUCUUGGAGGGUCAUAAGACAACUGCCUCCCAUCAUGAUAGGUAGUUUUAUACAUUGUGGACAACUGUGUCAUAGUGGGAUUUUAAUCAUCAUUGUCACACAUUAUCUCCCUGCAUAAUGCUGCUUUAAGAAUGGCAUAAAUUAUAGGCCUUUAGACCAAAGGGGAGAACGUUGGAAAAAUAACGUGGUGGUCAAAAGGCUGAGACGAAAACGGGAAGGAUAAGAUUGACGCCUCCCGAUCACGGUGGCAUUGGAGUUGGCCAAAGGCCGUCGCCGCACCACCAUCACUAUCCAUGGACAGACGAGGUGGAGACCUAAAGGGAGAUGCGAUCUACUCCGAGCUAGUACACCUACAACAUCUGUCAUCCCGGCCUCGUCCACAACCCUAAUGGCCGGAUCUUCACAAGCCGUGGCAGCUGGUUGUACUCUAACAUCUUCAUUGAGUGGUGUUCACAUUCUAGAUGUGCAAAGAUCCUGUUUUAGUUAAGAUUAAGUAAUGUAGAUUCCUACAGAGUUAACGAAGCCAACCUCUCGAUUCCAGUAGUAGGGAUGUUUUCUUAUGGCAUAUCUUGUGCCCCACUAACAUCACUCAUGCUAAGGUCAAGGCUAUUAGGCAAUGUAUAGCCGUAUAUAGCUGAUUUAUAGCUUUCCAUGUAUACUGAUUGUAUUCCUUGUAUACCAAACCAUAUUGGCUAUAUAAUAGAGGUCACCCCCCUCAUUAGGGUUCGUGGUGUUUUCCCAAACUCUAUCUAUCUACAUGGUAUCACAAGACCAGGAUCAAUCUGACAGGGACUUUCCUUCCGCUCCACCUCUCCCUGACGCGCCUAACCCUAGGUGCAGCUCCUGUGCGGUGGCGCUUCUCCCCUAGGCUGGCGCCCCUCCCCACCUCCCUUCCUCCCAUGGCCAAUGAUUCCUCUAUCGAGUCCUCCCUGUCCGGUGGUGGCCUUCUGUCCACUGGUGGCCCCAGGCCGGUGCCUGGCGAUGGCUCCCUGCCCAUCUCCGGUGACACCCCCCCCACUGGACUUGAACCACUGGGCGGCUAUGGCACCCUCCUUGGCACCGACGAUGGCCCUGCGUUGCCCCUUGGUGGCGGUCUUCUCCUCCACCAGGCGCCGUCGGCCAUCAUCCACCUGUGGCGGAACCGCCCAGAUUUACUUAGCUAAAGCACCAUUAAGUCACCUGACAUGCGAUCUUAUGCUUUAACCAAGAUAACUCGGCAGUCCGUUUAAUUUCGUCCGAUAAACCACUACACAGGACCGAGAAGCAGAGCUCACACGAAGGUGAGUGGUUCCAGAGAUUUCAAUAGAUCACCCAACUUAAACAAGUACCUUAAUUUUACAAACUCGGGUUCGAAAUUCCACAAAGUUUUACGGAGUUCUCAAGCAGCGGGAAAAUAUAAACCAACGGAAGCUAGCGUCAGGGGUCGGAUGUCACGAUGAGGCCGACCAUGACAUCAAUGGUCCCUAUCCUCACCGUCCGAGAAGGGAUCCCACUCGAUCGUCCACUCAGGAGGAAGCUGGGGAGGCCAAGUGCCAACAGCAGCAAACUCAGGAGCUUCAACAUCACCUGAAAAGAUUGUCACAACAAGGCUGAGCGACUACGCUCAACAAGACUUAACCGACCGUUGGGAACUACUCCACCAACUUCUAGACAUGCACGGCUCUUUGGCUGAGGGGUUGGUUUUGCCAACGCGACUAUAGUAGGUCCUUACUUUCAAGAUUUUAGACACAGGUUCUACUGUUGUUUAUCAUUCUAAGUUAGUAGCUAUACUAAUCAGGCAAAAGUUUCCAAGCAAUUUAUGACAAGCAUACAGGUUAACAUCACCAUCAAGUUCCAUUCUUACUUAGUGUAGCAUAGUGAUCAAGCAGUCCCAAACUGUGAGAGGCAGACGAAUUGAUUCGAAUAUCUUAACCAUGCAUGGUGAACCUAAUCUCACGAUAUCCGCACACCACAAAGGGUCGCUUCCUCUGUCGGUCGCACCCAUCAAUCCCUUGACCCGUGUCGAGCCCACUUCUCUUGGUACAAGGCUCCACAGACCCGGCCUCUGCCGUUCUGUGACCGCACUUGUCACCACAUGCGGCCGGAAGGGAAACUCUAUUCCAGAGACAGUGGAUCGAACCGCUCAUGUCCUGGUUCAAUCAGGUACUAGGCUUCCCCAUCCCAUACUAGAUAUGAGAUUAGUACUUUCAAACACUUGAUCGCGAACACCAUCACCUUUCGACCUUAAACCAAUUUCAUGUAGACAGACGGGGCAAUCCACCAACCACCAAAAUAGUUCACAGAGCCCUGCCCCCUCCAUCGUCCUUAUAGUUGUAACAAAAAGGAGAGCAAGCAACUCCUAUAACUCGCGAGUGACAGGGAAUCACUCGACUUUUACCGAGUCAUGUUAAGCAUUGCAACUACUCGGCCUAUCAUACUAGUGUUCAUAUCAAAGGGAACUAAGUCAUGCAUCUAUGGUUUCAAACAACUCCUGAAACGUAAAUGCACUUACAUACAACAGAAGGCAUGCGCAAGUUUAGAAAGACUGGGUGAUGCUCGGGGGCUUGCCUUCAAGUGGGGCGGAAGCAAACUAAUCUUCAACACUCUCGGGCUCAGCUCCUGCAGGCAGCUUAGCUACAACUUCAUCUUCGGGCACCGGGUGCAGCUCGUACGUGCCGUCGGCGAGGUUCAGCUCUACACGGAAUGCAAUGCAAGGGUGAGACACAGACGGUGAUUUCAACAACACUUGCAAAGAUUUAGCCCAAAAACUGUAGCAAAACUACAGGAAAAGUGUGAAACCCACGUCAUUGGAUUUUACUCAGAAAGAGGAUUCCAACCCAAGUGAUCUCACAUUUUUCUGAUUGUUCCCCGAUUUAAGAUGGAAUUUCCAAGCCUCUGCCGAUUUAGAACAAGAUAAAAGAGUCGGGUCAGGAAAAACUUGCAAUCUGACCCUUAGACCUAAGGAAUAACUGUACCGGGAUCCUUAGAUUUAACACAGAGAAGUCCUCAAAAUUUUACACAGAUGCCCUUGGUCAAAAGAAAAAGACAUAGCCGAGCCCUCGGGCGAGGCAGACAGGGGUCGGGCGAGACGGACAGGGGUUGGCAGCUCACCUUUGGUCCUACUGAUGAAGUCUUAGGGUUGGCAAGAAGCAAGCUCAGGCGGAACGACAAAAGGCGUUAAGUUUCGGGCGGCGGCGACGUCUGGCGGUGCUCCGGCAGUGGUGGUGCUUCUUGCGGACAACAAGCAAGUUUUAGCGCUGCACGAAGGAAAGCGAAGCGGUUGGCGGGGUCGGCAAGGCAGGGUGUUGGACGGAAGGGGGAGCUCCACAGAGAGCUCAGGCGGCGGUGCGUGAGCACGAAACAGAGGAGUGUGUGGUGGAGAGUGCGCUAGAGGAGAAACCAAGCAAGCAGUGCGGCAAGGGCAAUGGUGGCGAAGAGAACUCCCGUAAGAGGCUCUGGUACCCAUUUUAUAGCUGUGCGGAAGUGAACGAGAUCGAGCAGUGUGAGGAUAAGAUCGAGGGAGAAGAGGAGUGCUCUACCGUGGCGGCGAUUGGUCGGUGUCUCCAUUGGCCGGAGAAGCGGAGCUCCAGGGAUAGGAUCCUAUGGCAUUGGGCAAGGAAGACAGUGCUAGGCAAGCGCGGUUUUGCUGAGCAGAAGGAUUGGUGAGGUCGAGCGCGUGCUUGGUCGCGUGAAGCGCCGGAUUGGGUGCGGCGACUCGGUAUUGGCGGACAGGAGAGAGCGAGGUGCACUUCAGGCAAGGGCGCCGUAGGCGAGGUGACAGGGCGAGCGAUGCGAUGCGAGCAUGCGUGGAUUAGCGACUCUGCCGGGGCACACUACUGGCGAGGCGGGGGAAAGGAGUUGUCACUGCCUGCGCGGCGAUUGGCGAAGACGGCAGCGUCGCGGGGCGCACGUGGGCAGCGCGAUUGAGGUUGACGGGAGGGCCGGAAGGUGUUGGGGCGCGCGGCUGGGGGUCCAGGUGAGGCGAUGCGCACGGGAGGCGAGGCGGUACUGGCGCGGCAGCGGCCAAUCUUUGGUCACAGCGGCGGGUAGUGUGCCUGGCGCGACUGGCGAGGUCUCAGGCGAGACGAGACGGGGCGGAGAGGUCUGCAGGGUGCUUCUGCGCGCGAUUGGGAAGGAGGUGCUGAUCCAUCUUGUCGCGGCCGGCGACUGGGUGAGGCGGCGCUUGCCGGUGAGGUCACGCCAUGCGGCGGCAGUGCUCCGAAACAGGGCGCACGCGCGCUCUGGCGCUCUUUGUCCGAUGGAUCCGCGGGAUUCCUUGCCGGGCCCAUCUUCCAGCCUCUUGAUCUUCCGAUUUCCAAACUGCACCACAUUGACUCCCUUCACAAGGGUUGUAGAACACAGGCUAAGGUCCAACUUUUGUAAUUGGACUGAGUUAAAAAACGCGGUGGAUUUGGAGAUCCAAAGCUCCAAAGUUUGGAGGAACAUUGGUUUCAGGACUUAGAGAAAAGCGGCGGUUUGGCUGGUUUUCAAGGGUCAGGACUGAUUUGAGCUGCAGAUUUGGGAAUCUUCUGAGGCGAAUUGGACCAAUGUCCAAUUAACAAAGUUGUGGUAGGAACUUUGUUCUCCAACUUCUAUAAAGGGUUUUCUUGAUGUUCAGUUCAACUUUCCAAAGAUAAACCUUCCUUAAGGCGCUAGGUCAGGCUGAUUUUCCAGACUUAGCCAGAAUGGCUGAAGGAAGUCUGAGUUGACCAGACUAGGGGGCUUGUCUUAAGAUUAAACUCGGCUGAUUUAAAUCUAGGUCGUUACACCACCCCUACGCCACGAUCUCCGUCAAGGCUCACAUCCCCAUGAUGUUGACGAUGAAGACCUCCAGCUACUCCAAGUGGGUUUCCUUCUUCAAAUCCAUGUGUGGCAAGUUCGGCCUCAAGUCGCACAUCGACAGCACCGUGACGCCCCGUCCUGAUGACCCCGAUUGGGAUCAAGCGGAUUGCUGCGUCCUCUUCUGGAUCUUUGGCUCUAUCGUGGACCUCGCCAUGGAGGAUGAUGAGCAGACCGCCAGGGCCCUCUGGCUCACCAUUUAAGGCCUCUUCCAUGCCAACAAGCAAUCCCGGGCGAUCUUCCUCAGCUACGACUUCCACUCCAUGACCCAGGAGGACUCCUCCAUCUCGUAGUACUGCCAGCGCAUGAAGAACCUCGCUGACACCCUCCGUGACAUUGGGCAUCCCAUUCAAAACUCCCAGUUGGUCCUGAAUCUUCUCCACGGCCUCAACCCGCACUACUCCAACACCACCGACGACAUCGGCAACUCCCCCGCCGGCUUCCAGUCCUUUGCCCAGGCUCGUGACAUGCUCACCUUGAAGGAGCUUCGCCUCGUCAACUUGCUGCUCUACGUCGAUGACAUCAUCCUCACCGCCUCAUGUUCGACGCUCCUCCACCACAUCAUGGCUAGUUUUCAGUCCGAGUUCGCCAUGACGGAUCUUGGUGAUCUUCAUCACUUUCUUGGCAUCUCCGUGACGCGCUCCCCUGAUGGCUUGUUCCUGUCCUAAUGACAGUACACCCUGGACCUCCUCCAGCAUGCCAGCAUGGCUGAGUGUCACUCUACGACGAGUCCUGCUGACACUCAUGCCAAGCUCUCGGCGACCGACGGCAACAAGCUCAAGGAUGGCUCUAAGAAACCGCUGGAAGUUAAAUUCAACAAAAGUUCAAUUCGAGAAAAGUUCAAUUCAAGAAAAGUUAAAUUGUAUCACCUCCCCAGGACUUUGUUCUUUUGUUUUUGGUUCCCAAAGCACAAUUUCAUUAUCAGCACUCUGCAAAUCCAAGCUAGCAUAGAUCAGAUUCCUCAUUAUACAGGAACCAAAACUGGCACUGGGAAAAAAAAGGUUGAAAGACUGAACCCAUGCACAGUACAAGAAUACAGGAUCCAGAUACAGUGGUAUUUUGAAGCAUCAAAAGAAUGACGACUGUACUACUACUAUAGCAGCAAUUUGUAUCCAUUUAAGGGAAGGAAUUUCACCUCUGACAGGAUGAAGUCACCAAGCCAUCUUGUACAAUCAACAUAGUUAGAGUGUACUGCAGCAAUCAACACCUGCAAGGAAAGAAACAGGUUGGUUUGAUGGCAUGAGGAUUAAACACCAACAGUAGUUUGCAAAGGAAUAGAUCUAAGAUGAUUAUAGAUGCUAAACAUACCGGAAACUGGACAUAUUUUGUUGGAAACUUUGAUGGAAGGUCAGUCCAGGAAUAUGAUUUGUCAACAUAUUGCCAAAAUUCUGUGACAACAUUGGGAAACUCUAUCAAUGAUAUGCAGCAUGCAAAUGUAAACAUGAUGCUACUUUGAAGUAGUUUUCCAACCUUUCAUUGACCAGAUUUUCACAGUGUUGUCCAUGCCACAACUUGCAAAACGCUCAAUAUCACUAGGGUGGAAGUCCUUCAGCCAAAAUAAUGUAUUUUGGUCAGUACAUUUAUGCCUAACGUAAUGGAAGUACAAAAGCCGUAGUAGUCACCAGGACUAUAUUUAUCCCUGAUGUAAUGCUCAAUAACAAAUAGUAACAUCAGAAGCUGAAAGAGUGGUAGCUUCAGGGCACUUUGAGCAAGUAAUAUUCUGAAACAAUACCAUAAGAGGAGGCAGGAGCUACUUACAACACUCAACACUUCAUUGCGAUGACCUCAAGCUCCAGCAAAUACCAAGAUGCAGAUCCCUGUAUGGACAUUCCAUAGCCUAACAGAUUCAUCCUAUUCAAUAAUGAAUAAUGCCAUAUGAAACAGUGUCAGAACAAUUAUAACAAAGUACAUUCAGCCUAAGAACAGGUUAUCUGCUAACCUUGCUUGCAGAAAUGAUGAGCGAAGGCUUCAACGCUUGAGUCCUUAUCUCAUUUAUUGAGUCACCAUGGCCAGCAAAGCUCUGUAGAAUUCCAUAAACAGAAAUAACAAAUAAACACGUGCACAGUCUAAUUCAUAGGAUAGGAUAGUAUUUAUUGGCAUGCCCUGUCUCGUGACUAUAUGUAUAACGCCAAAAUAGAUACACUAGGUUGAACGUGUCUUGACUAUAACGGACAUGCUGAAGUAUCCAAAAACCAGAAUCUUCUGUGAGCAAAAGUUACAGUUUGCUAGUGGUAUUAAUGCAUAGCAAACAGACAAUUCCUUAAUCAAACCAAAUUCAAAUGACCUUCUGGAUCGGAUAUCAUAGAUGGUAUCUGUCAGGUAAGCAACUGAUGUACAGAUUUGUGCAAAUGAAGCUUCAUUCAAGUUUGACGUAGUAACAAAGACAAGGCUAGGGGUACUAUACCUUAGCUAACUUCUCCGUAGCACAGUUGAUGACCCGAAUGAUCCCAUUGCCUCCUGCUGCUCAAUGACUCCAUUCUUGGUGACCAGUGUGGCAUCCAAUGUAUCAAUCAGCUCUUCCUUCUUCUUGAGCAAGGCGUUCUUCUCCUCUAUCACCCUGUCCCUAGCCUUCAGUGCCUCCUCCAUCCGAACAACUCUCACCUCCAGCGUGACAAUCCUCAGCGAGUCCCUCUUGUCGUAGGUGUCCGGUGCAGUGUCCACCUCGUGCUACAGGCGACGGUUCAUCCGGUCCAGGUCAGUCAAAUAGUGCUCAAGUCCCAUUAUCUUGCCCUCAAGUAUGGCGUUGGUACCGAUGCAGUUGUCCCAACCAUUGUGAAGUACCUCCACCUCUCUGUCAUUCCAGAACAGCGCCAAGUCCUGAGCGUGAAUACAGCGGGAGGCCACGCAAAACUUCUCGUUGGGCUCUGCAUAUGCGUCCUCGUAGUACUGAUGGACUAAACUCUCGAAAUCCCUCAGCCCACGGCAAGCCCUGGUUAGGCAACGGUAGGGAGUCUGAGCCAACCUGUCACGGAGCUGCGCAUGCACCUCACACACAGCCCUUCUGGCGGCAGUCCGGUGAGCCGUUGACACUGACAGCUCAAACCCAAGUAGAAGAAUAAGCAAAGUCUAGUCAGAAAUAGCGGUAGUCAACAGAACUGUCCAUAACCAGUGGACACGGAUUAUAGCUACAGCUUUAUACACUCUGCAGAGGAUGUACAACUAUACCCACACGGAUGGAGUCUAAACGGUGGCGAUCCGUCGAAACCCCACCUAACAGCCGGAGCCCUAGUAGGUGGAUAGCUCUGUCAUAUUUCCUCGAGUCUGGAAUCAUCCUUAGCUGCAGGGCACGCCGUCACCAGUGAGCACCUCGAAGCUAUGAAACCUACCCAUGCCGGGGUGUAGUCUGGUCAAAGCAAGCCAACGCCUUGAACUCAUUACAUGAUCCUCCAAUCUGCCUAGAGGCUGAGCACUAUCCACCACUAGUCUCGAACCGAACUCUGCCCAUAACGUAAGCGAGCGGUAUCUACGUAAAAUAGUUGCUGUGACUAGUGGUAAACUGACUCAGUGCUUAAGCGGCUGAGAGCGAGCACUCUACUCCACAAGUAUGUGCCGAAACACAUGCAACAUAUAAGUACGCUACCUGCUCCUCAGUAACAAACAAGGUACCCACCACAGGUACGGGGUAUAGAGAGAGUCCAGAAUGCUCUCUCCUAGCAAGGCACUCCUUAGUACCAACCAUGGCGCUCCCGCCAAAACAUAUCAAGGAGUCACACUCACCCAAAACUCAAGCGAGAGUGUUCAAUGAAUCCUAUCACCGAAACUGUGGCAUAUGCCCAUCCAUAACUCAAAAGCAUGUAUAUGGAUAUAUGAGCGGUGGACUAGCUAGGGGUCUGUAGCUAGUCCACAAAAGUAGGUAACAAGGAAAACAGAAUACAAAAUUAUCAAGGCAUGGCUAAAAAUAUUGGCUAUGCAAUCCAACAUCAUCAAGCAUCAUAAAUAAAGCACCAGCAACUAAGCAUGCAUAUGAUCUAUGUGAUUGGGAGUGGCAUGACACCUUGUCCGUAGUUGUUUGGAUCUUCCUCGGCAUAGUCGGAGUCUUGAGGGUCUUCUGGGUCGUAGCUCGAGUCUGAACAGACCAAGAUAUGACAUAAAGUAAAUUAAAUGGCAUUACAACUAGGAAGAAACUCCAAGAAAGCCAAAUUUAGUAGAUCCAAAUAACACCAAACUAGUUACAAACAACACGGGCUCCAUUUUACGAAUUUAAUGCAACUGGUUCCAUAUUUUUCGCAGUUAAAAUGAAUUAGUUAUGAAUUUUUUAAGAUUAAAGGAUUCAUUUAAUUAUUUAAAUAAUUUUAGAAAAUAUUUAUUAUUACAGUGACAUGUGCCAGCGCUUGGUUGUGCCAUGUGGGAGCAUAAGAGUGCGCCACGUGUCUCCUAACGCCAAGCUAACGUCAGCGUUGACCGGUCAACAGGGCCCCACCAGUGGGCCCGAGCCUCGGACAUGUCAACGCCUCGUGGCUCCACGUGGCAGCCACGUGGCACUGCCACAUGGCGCACACGUGGUCGUCCCCAGCUGGCCGGGAUCCGCGCGCCACCCGCGUGUGGCCAUGGGUGUGGUGCAGGCCUGAUUGGCUGCGACACAGCGGUGACUGUGCCCACGACGUCAUGGUGUGGCGCGACGUCACGGCGCGGCUGCUGCACGUGUGCGCGGGCAGGAGGUAGUCCCGGCCGCGGCACGACCGCGGCGGCGUGCGGGGUCCCGGGCCCGCGGUGGCUGGCAGCGAGGCGAGCGGCGGCACUACAACCGUGGCUCGAAGGCUGGGCAUACGACAAGCAAACAAGAGGAAAGAGAGGGGCAACGAGGUUCACUGCAGGGAGACGGUGAAAUUGGGCGGCGUCGGGCGGUGGUCGACAGCUCAGGCUCCUCCCUCAGACGGCCCCUCUUCUUCUUCUUCUCUUCUACUUCCCCUCCUUCUCUUUCCUCCUCAUCUCCUACUCCUCCCUCCUCCUCUACUCCUUCCCCCUUCUCUCACUCGGGUGGUCGAUGGCGCAAGGGCGAAGCCCCGAGUGGAUGGCGAAGAGAGGCCCCGAGCGGCUCUACUUAUAGCGGAGAGGCGGCUGUGUUCCAGAGGGAGGUUGCGGCAGCACUUUAGGGUUUGGGGGCGUGGCGUCGGUGAUGUGGAUGGCUAGGAUGUGGUGUUGCAUGGUGCGGGUGACGUGGCGGCCAUCCGAGGCUCCCAGCACAAAAGCAAGGGUGCGGGCGAGGUCAUGGGUGCGCACGCGAGGCGCGCGUGAGCGGUACGGCCGGAGGAAGAAGGAAGAGGAACAGGGGCACCUCACAGGUGGGUCCGGUGCAGCAGCAAGAGAGAAAGAGAGGGAGAGCGGGGCGCGGGUGGCGACUGCGGGCUGGGCCAGCUGGCCGGUUAUGAGGCCUGCUGGGCUGGUCACUGAGCUGCGCGGGCGAGGCAGCUGAGCGGCGCGGGCGAGGUGGCUGAGCAGGCCAGGCCGGCUGUCUGGCUAGGCCGGGGUGAAGGUAGGUGAGGGUGAGGCGCGAGCGGGCCAGGCCGGUGGGCUGCGGCUAGCCUGGUUGGUUAGGAGGGUUAGAUAGGUUUUGUUUUUAUUUAGAUUUAGAUUUAGUUGGAGUGUUGAAUCAAAUUCAAAAUUCAAACACACACUCAAACAUGAGAUCCAAAUAAAAUCUAAAAAGAUCCAAAUCAUUCCACACAAGUUUUGAAAUGGAAUUUUGGGACGAGAAGAGAAUUUGACUACCAUUUUCAAACAAGCACACAAUUCAAACAAAAGUUUUAAAUUUUUGGAAAUUUUACUUAAAUAAAUAUUACAAAAUUCUGGAAUAUUACAAACAUAACCACUUCACCUCGUACCCCGAGAAAAGCGAUACGAAGCUUAACACUCCUCGACAUCUGGGAAAUUUGGUCAGAACGAAACUCUAGAUUUUUCGGACUGUGUGAGUCAUCCUUGAUUUCCUUGGUGGCAAAAAUUAAAAAGGAAGCUUAAGUUUUGUAGGUCUUUUGGAUUAAACCAACUUGGUAAGCUAUCACCCCAAAAGCCAUGGACAUUCAAUUCUCUCAUGAGGGCACAAGCCAUCGAUCACUUCAUUCUCACGUGGUGUCGGCUCGAAAACUCUGGGAUUAGUUCGCCAGUUCAGCUCUAUUUCCUUGAGGUAUUUCUUGUCAACGAGUCUAGCCUCAGCAGCCUGUUCCUUGCUCCUCACAGUAUGAAUAGAAUUAAUGCAUAGCAUUCCGCUAAGCUGAUUCAUGCCCUUCAGCUCACCAAUUGCCCCCCUCCGUGCUUCGACUGUGAAAUAUCUCAAGUUCCUUUAAUAAGUCAAUAGAGGCUUUUACUGGAAGUGCUAGUUGACGCAAGUUGAUUAGCUUUGUUACAUCCUGACGAAUUGUUCUCAGACAUGAACCAAAUGCAACAACAACUUGUAGGCUGUUAAGGCACCAGAAUUUCGAUGGCACUUCAUUUAUAUUGCUGUAGGAUAUAUCAAGAUAUCGGAGGCUAUUCAACCCACAUAUGCUUUGGGGUAGACUUUUCAGCUUGCAACCUUUUAGGCUCAAAAACAGGAUGUUAGAAAGCUGACUGAACCAGGUGAUCUCAACAUCCAAUUCGGUACCAAACCUAAGUGAACGCAGUUUGUUCAAAUUUUGAAUGUUUGUCAUUGUGCCCAAGGACUUACGUACCAUCCACCUCGAUUGACAUGUGGCGAGGUUUAUUUGUCAUUCCGCUCAAAUCUUUCAUCGAGAAACAUUCAUGGAUAGAAACAUACUGCGCAGUAUCAUGGAUCAGGUCAUGCAUUACGUAUUUAUCUUGAUUAGGGAACUUUGGAUCAGUUUGGAAAAGACACCUGCCUCUCAAAUCAUCCAAAUACUUCAUCCCGACAUCUUCAAGACGCUUGCUCACUUGUGGUGAAACAAAGCCCUCUGCCACCCAAAUGUCAACGAUCUCAUGUCUUUUGAAGCUAUAAUCUUUCGGAAAUAUGGAGCAAAAUGCAAAGCAUCUCCUAAGUUCAGUUGGGAGGUACAAGUAGCUCAGUCGAAGUGCUGGUAAUAUGUCGCUAUGUUUUUGUUCUUGCUCCCAUAAUUCACUGUCCUUGAUAGUCCUCCAAUGUUGCUCAGUCAGAUUACUAUUCAACAAGCGUCCGAGAGUUUUGGCAGCCAAAGGAGUACCAUGCAACUUAGAGGAAAUGCUCUGACCAAUCUCUUGUAAGCGAGGAUAUGACUCUGGGCACUCUUUACCAAACGCACAUUUCUUGAAAAAUUCCCAAAAUACACCAGCGGGCAAUCCUUCGAGCUGGAGAGGCUUACAACUGCAUUUGGACCAUGCGGUGACAUUCUGAGCAAUGUUUUUGUGUCUUGUAGUCACUAAGAUCAUGCUACCUUCAAGUCCAUUCUUCAACGGUGCAUAAAAAGACUCCCAUUGUGGUAAUUUCCCAAAUAUCAUCCAGCACCAAAAGGAACUUUUGGAUCUUCAGCAUGUGCCACAGAUCUGCUUCAAGAACACCCAAACCACAAGACAAGUCGAAGUUUGGCUGGAUGAUGAUCUCCUUUUUCAUCCUUUCAAUGUCAAACAGGUCCGAAACACAGACCCGUAUCCUUACAGUAAAGUGGCCUUCACUCUUUCAUCACUGUCGAUGAGCUGAGCCAGGGUGGUCUUCCCCAUCCCGCCAAUGCCAAAAAUUGGCAAGACAGAAACAUUGCCACAGUUAGCAGUCUCAGCAAGCCCUGCACUGCUGUUACUGUCAAAGUUAAGUCGCUUGGCUUUGGAUGUAGAUGCGAUGGCGUCAUGACUUGCUGCUUCUGUGCCUUUUCCUUUAGACCCUGCAGAUGUACUGCCCAUAGUGAGUGGCAUGCCCAUUUGUGAGAUCACCUGAUUAAUUUCGGCAGCACGAUCAAUCGUCAGAGUCACACCCAGCAUCUCCAUCACUUGAUCCCUUUCCGUGUCACGCGGUGAUGAGUUCAUUCGUUGUUGGCAUGCAUGACCUGCACUGGCUGAACACGAUCAAGACCAAUCAAGCAUAGCACUUCUUUAACUUCAGCCAUAACCUUGUGGAGCUGAUCUUUGGUGUCCCUUAUCCUUUUUACUGCUAGCAUGGACGAGAUGUUUGGCAAUAUUCAGAGAGGAUGAUGACACGAGUUGACCUGCCCUGCUCCGGCUGGCGUCCUCAAUCUUGUGCCGCAGCGCCUGGUCCUCGAACUCUCGGUGGAGGUCCUCGGCGUCGUAGGUGGUGUACUUGUGCUGCAAGAGAUGGGCCUCCACCAUGCCCCACUCGCUGCGACUGAUGAGCAGCUUGGUCUUGAGUUGGUCCAGCUCGUUUUCCAGCUGGGUCGGCGCUUGGCUCAUGCUCAUCCCGAAUGACAGGAUGCCUUGCACGGUGUCCAUGGUCGCGCGCGCUCCUAGAUCUUGGUGCGUUGGUGGAGCUGCUCGUGAAGUCGUGAUGAUGGUGCUCCUCCUCCUCUUCCUCCUGCUUGGCACAGGGGCAGAAGGGAGCGAUUACCUGAUGAUGGUGCCACCGAUUACUGGCCUUCGCCCUCCCAACACCGGACUGGUGAUUUUCACCGGAGGGAUCGUAAGAGAGAUCGGGCAGAGAGGUGUAGGAUCAAAUUGCGUGUGCACCCAACGUGGAAUGGCGCUGGAUAUAUCUAGCUACAUGGUUGCAUGCCCUGCCGAUCUGGGCAAUCGGUAUUGCAUUUGCAGAUUUGCUUCGGUUUCAUCGAUGAUCCCUCCGGCGUUGGUUUCUUCGAUCGGUCCUGUCUUGGGUUCCAUCGAACUUGAUCGAGCUGUCUUGAGGCCGGCGGAGUAACUAAGAGAUCCAUUAUUCAUCGGGAUAAGCUAGGAUCGCAGGGGCUCGUUGCGGCUGCGGGCGUGGACCACCAUCUCUUCCUGCCUGCCGCCGGCGGCCGGCGAGUGCAAGACUGGUAGGUUUAGGAGAGGAAAGGCCAAAAGGCGUGAGCUGUGAAGGAAUGGACCUGGCAACCGGGUGCGGCUUGUGUUGUAUCUUGGGCCGGUUGGGCCGAGUGCAAGUUCCGGGGCCUCCUCGGUGGUGGUUUUGUUGGCUGCAAACUGAUGAGGCCUCGUGCCUUGGCUGCGAAGAAGACGGCUACUCAAAAGCAUUUCUCCCCCAGCAGCUUGAAACGGUCGCCCGCGGACAGCAAGCAAGCGUUCGCGAGCCUGACCGUGCACUGUACAGCACAGGACAGGGAUCCAUGCUUUCCGGCAACACCCAUCGGCGCCAGGCUUACCCACCAGUACACCUGGCACCUGCUGGCUGUCCAGCUCCAAACCUCUCCAUCACAAGACAGAGGUCGUCAAUGGCUUCUUCGGUUUGCAACAGCACAGUGGACAAGAAAAGCAGGGGCAAAGCUACAUUGGGCUAGCCGAGUGAUUAGUAACUAAUUUUUACCACUUGUGCACUCCCUAACCUCCAAUUUCGUGCACCACUGUCUGGCCCACCAACAACCUGCAGCCCAGCAGUUAGCAUAGGCCAGCUUUCAGCAACCCAUCAAGCCCACGAUGCACUAUAGGUGCAUGCAGCUGCGGGCCUGCCGCAUCCGCCCGCGUGCGUUGCACGUGACAAGUCCUCACGGAGAACACGAAACAAUCGUCCGCGAAGCCCGCUCGCUCGCCCAAACGUGAGAACUCAUCGUAGAAAGGCGGCGGAAGAGAGGGAGGCGGCACUCGCGCGUCGCCGUGUCGCACCAUCUCCAGUCGCUGCGGUACGUCUCCUCGCCGGAAUCAGCACCCCCAACCUUAAGCGAUCAUCAUCAACUCCUAUUUUUUUGUUUCUCUCCAUUGUUGCACUGCACAUUCUUCUAGCCUCCCCUUUUGCUCAAGCCCACUCCACUCGAAUGGUACACAAUUAUUUUUCUCACAUGUGCUUUUGUGCCAAUCAGCUUCUUUGAAGUAAUCCGUUAGUGUUUCAAUUUCAUGGUUACUUAUUCUCCUAUAUUCAAUUGAAUUGUAGGGUUAGGGUUUGCAAUUGGGGUUUUACUUCUACAAAUUGCAAUGAAAGGGCAAAGGAGAAGGAACUUAGGAAGGAUUCAUUGAGAUUUGAGACUCAAGAAAUAAACAAAAAUCAUGUCAAGUAAGUUUAUGGGUGUUUGGUCAAUUAAUCAUUUAUUUUUCUUCCCUUGAUUCUUGAACAGAUGAACAUGAGAAGCAUUAAUGUAACUGACAUUUUAAAAAAAUGUGUUAUAUGUGUGUUUAUGGAAAGAUGGUUAAAAAGAAAAGCGCCAGAUGAUGCUAACAAUUUUUGGUAAUUCUCAUCAGCAAAACAACAAUAUUAAUGUUAAUCCAAUACCACCAGCUCCAGAAGAUAUCGAUUGGGAGGAGGAGAUCCAACUUCAUCCUGGUAAAAGAGAAGAAAUACGUUCUUGUCACCCUAAUCUUAGAGAAUCGGUAAGAAGAAUGUACUUGGCAAAUGAGCCUUGUCAGCUCGCACUCUUAAUUUUUCAUCUACUCGGAUUGGGGAUAAAAAUUGAAGGUUUAAUCUUGAAUGGUUUGAUGAAUUUGGAAACUGGCUUGAGUACAGUGAGUCUACCGAUAGAGCCUACUGUUUUACCUGUUUCUUGUUUAGAGACCCCACUAAGAAGGAGGCUGGGUACAAGUCAUUUAUUUUAGAUGGUUGGAAUAAUUGGUAUAAUAAAGAAAGAUUAAAGGAGCAUGUUGGCAGUGUUGACAGCUAUCACAAUGUAGCAACGAAAAAAAUGUGAUGAUAUGUUGAAAAGAGAAUAGCACAUUGAUGUUAAGUUACAUGAACAGCUUGAGAGUUCUAAGAAUGCAUAUUUUGUUCGACUUAAUGAUGCAAUUGAUACUAUCAGAUUGCUACUCAAGCAAGGACUACCUUUCCGGGGGCAUGAUGAAUCAAAGACAUCCUUAAACAAAGGGAACUACAGGGAAGUUUAUGAUUGCUUAGCUCAACAUGAUGCAGCUUUAGCCAAGGCAUUGACAAUUGAUGCUGCAUAUAAUAGUAUUUUGGUAUCUGCUGACAUACGGAAAGACAUCAUCAACUGUUUUGCAGAUGAUAUUUUACAUUCUAUCCUUGGAGACAUUGGGAAAGAUGUAUUUUGCUUGCUAGUUGAUGAGUCUAGAGAUGUCUCUUUCAAAGAGCAAUUGGCAGUGGUGUUAAGAUAUGUUGAUAAAUGUGGAUUUGUGAACGAGAGCUUUGUUGGUGCUAGCAAUACGCAAGGUGAGUUCAAUGGCUUAAAAUCUUUGAUCAUGAGAGAAAAUAGUAGUGCAUAUUAUCUCCGUUGCUUUGCCCAUUAACUUCAAUUAGUGGUUGUAGCUGUUGCUAGAAAGCAUACAGGCAUUGCUGAAUUUUUUAACAAUAUCUCUAUCUUAUUGAAUGUGGUUGGUGGAUCUUCAAAGAGAAGGGACAUGAUUUGAGAUAUCAAUCUCAAAGAAGUUAGUAAGGCCUUAGGCUGUGGGUUACUUAGUAUCGGGACAGGAUUGAAUCAAGAACAAUGUCUUCAAAGACCUAGAGUCUCACUAUAAAUCUCUUAGAAGUUUAGUUAAAUUCCAAAUAAUUAUCAAAGUGCUUGAAUUUGUGGAAAAGGAAGGCAGGGAGGGAAAGGCAAGGGUGUUCUUAGAAAAGUACACUCAUGAACGGGAUGAAUGAUACACGAGUUCAGCGUCACCUAGUCAAGCCGGAUUCCAGAUUCCAUCGUACUGACACUUGCUGCGCUGCUUUGCUAUCUAUUAAUUCUCCUCAAUCUAUAGUAACAGAUAACAACUCUGUCCGCAGCAUGAUAUGGAAAUUUUCUCACACUGGCGGGUACACGAUGGCUUCAGCCUAUAGAGUGCAAUUCAUUAACUUCACCAAAAAAACACAAAUCUGCGCAAUCUGGACUUCUUGCCCCUCUCCUAAAUGCAAAUUCUUCGUGUGAUUAAUCCUUCAUAACCAUGCUUGGACUUUGGAUCGGCUUGCUCAAAGAGGAUGGCCUCAUAGCCCAGCUUGCCCCCUCUAUAAACAGAUAAUGGAAUUCUCUCUUCACCUGCUGGCCAAGUGCAGAUUCACUAGGAAAAUUUGGAGUCCUCGUGGCUAUUUAGACAAAGCAGCCAGUACUACACCCACUGGAAUGGGAACAAAGCUACAAUACCUUGGAAUGGUGGACCAACAUUGAAAUGGACCUGAAUUUUCAUUUCUGAGAAUUCAAGCCUACGCACCUCCGUGAUAGUUCUAGGAGGCUAUCACGUGCGAAUCCAUGUCUCAGAUAGUACAAAUUCAUACCAACAUAGAAAUAUAAAGCAACAACAUAGUACCAUAUCAUAAAUAUCAUAAGUAACAAGUACAUCUCUUCGGUACAUGCCAGAACAUGUCCAUCAGGAUUGAAUCAGAAAGGUAAAAUAUCUAUGCAGCGAAAGCGUAAGCUACGGCGAACUCCAUCUCCAGAGGCGACUCGAGCGAAGGACCAUCCCUAGUCUUCCUAUCCAUCAUUGUCGAAGUCGUAGUCGGGCUCCGACCCUAAAAAGCCACCAUCUACUCGAGAAGCGGGUAGGCCAUGUCAACUCCCAAAAGGAGCAAGCUAAGGAAAUGGGGGAAUUAUACUAUAUGCAUGAGUAAAACCUAUAUAUGGUUGUAGAGGUGUAUGCAACAGCAGCAUCAAUCAAGGAAGCAGCAAAGCAUUACCAUCUUCGAGGUCAACACCUCAAAUAAGGAAGUUGGCACAAAUCACCAGAUCCUUCGCCCAUGGGUCCAGCAUCCAACACACUAGUCGAUGUGAGAGCUCCCUUCCCUCACAUCUCAAUGGCAAACUCCAGCCUAUCUCAAAAAGGGGAGGUAGAAGAAUAAGCAAAGUCUAGUCAGAGGUAGCGGUAGUCAAUAGCACUGUCCAUAACUAGUGGAUAUGGACUUUAGCUAUAGCUUUAUACACUCUGCAGAGGUUGUACAACUGUACCUGCAUGGAUGGAGCUUGAACGGUAGUGAUCCGUCCAAACCCCACCUAACAGCCGGAGCUCUAGUAGGUGGAUAGCUCUCUCUUGUUUCCUCAAGUCUGGAACCUUCCUCAGCUGCAGGGCAUGCCGUCACCAGUGAGGACCUCGAAGCUGUGAAAUCUACCCACGCCGGGGUGCAGUCUGGUCAGAGCAGGCCAACACCUCGAACUCCUUACACGAUCCUCCAAUCCGCCUACAGGCUAAGCACUAUCCACCAAUAGUCUCAGACCGAACCUCGCCCAUAACGUAAGUGAGCGGUAUGUACGUAAAAUAGCAGUUGUGGCUGGUGGUAAAUGACUCGAUCCUUAAGCGGCUGAGAGCGAGCACUCUACUCCACAAGUAUGUGCUGAAGCACCUGCAACGUACAAGUAUGCCACCUGCUCCUCAGUAACAAACAAGGUACCCGCCACAAGUAUGGGGUAGAGAGAGAGUCCAUAAUGCUCUCUCUCGGCAAGGCACUCCUCAGUACCAACCAUGGCUCGCUCCUACCAAAAUACAUCAAGGAGUCACACUUACCCAAAACUCACAUGAGAGUGUUUAAGAAAUCCUAUCACCAAAACCAUGGCACGCCCAUCCAUAACUCAAAAGCAUGUAUAUGGAUAUAUGAGCGGUGGACUAGCUAGGGGUCUGUAGCUAGUCCACAAAAGUAGGUAAGAAGGAAAACAUGAUAAAAAAUUAUCAAGGCAUGGCUAAAAACAUUAGCUAUACAAUCCAACAUCAUUAAGCAUCAUAAAUAAAGCGCUAACAACUAAGCAUGCACAGGAUCUAUAUGAUUGGAAGUGAUAUAAAGCACUAGCAACUAUACAUUGGCUUGCCCGUAGUCGUUUGGAUCUUCCUCAACGUAGUCGGAGUCUUGAGGGUCUUUCGGGUCGUAGCUCGGGUCUGAACAGAACGAGAUACGAUGUAAAGUAAAUUAAACGGCAUUACAUCUAGGCAAAAAUUCCAAGAAUGCUAAAUUUAGAAGAUCCAAAUAAUACCAAACUAGUUACAAACAACACGGGCUUGAUUUUAUGAAUUUAAUGCAAAUGGUUUCAUAUUUUUCAGAGUAAAAAUGAAUUAGUUAUGAAUUCUUAAAUAUUAAAGGAUUUAUUUAAUCGUUUAAAUAAUUUCAGAAAAAAAUUAUUAUUAUGGUGACACGUGUCAGUGCCUGGUUUUGCCACAUGGCAGCACGAGAGUGUGCCACAUGUCUGCUAAUGUCAGACCGGUAACGGUCAACGUUGACCCGGUCAGUCAACGAUGACCUGGUCAACGUUGACUGUCAACUGGGUCCCACCGAUCAGCAGUGGCCCCACAGGUCAGUGGGCCCUGCCAAUGGGCCACCAGUGGGCUUGGGCCUCGGACACGUCAUCGCCUCGUGACUCCACGUGGCAGCCACGUGGCCAUCUAGUCGACAUGGCACUGCCACGUGGCCGUCCCCAGCUGGUCAGGAUCCGGUGUGUCAACUGGAUCCUGUGUGCCACCCGCAUGUGGCCACGGGUGUGGCGUAGGCCUGAUUUGUGGCGACGUGGCGUGGCGGGGCGUGGCGGUGACUGCGCCUAUGACGUCGUGGUGCAGCGCGCCAGCUGUGCGUGCGCAUGGGCAUGGGGCAGUCCCCGACCACGGCACGACCGCGGUGACAUGCAGGGUCCCGGUGUCCUAGGCCCACAGUGGCUAGCGGCGAGGUGAGCAGUGGCGCUCCUAUGGCGGCUCGAAGGUCAUAUGACAAGGAAACAAGAGGAAAGAGAGGGGUAGCGAGGCUCACUGCGGGGAGAUGGCGAAGGCGGGCACUGUCGGGCGGCGGUCGACAGCUCUGGCUCCUCCCUCAGAUGGCCCCUCUUCUUCUUCUUCUCCUCUACUUCACCUCCUUCUUCCCUUUCCUCCUCUUCUCCUCCUCCUCCCUCCUCUUCUGCUCCUUCCCCCUUCUCUCACUCGGGUGGCUGGCGGCGCAAGGGUGAAGCCCUGGGUGGAUGGCAACAAGAGGCCCCGGGUGCCUCUACUUAUAGCGGAGAGGCGGCUAGGGUUCCGAAGGGAGGGUGCGGCGGCGCGCUUGGGUUUGGGGGCGUGGCGCUGGCGACGUGGACAGCCGGGAUGCGGCAGCGCACGGUACGGGUGGUGUGGCGGCCAUUCGAGGUCGCUAGCGCAAAAGCAAGGGCGCGGGCGAGGUCACGGGUGCGCGCUCCCAUGUGGGAGUGUGUGCCAGCACGGACGGGGAGGCGCGCGUGAGCGGUACGGCUGGAGGAAGAAGGAAGAGGAACAAGGGCACCUGAUGGGCGGGUCCAGCGCGGCGGCGAGAGAGAAAGAGAGGGAGAGCGGGGCGCGGGCAGCAAUGUGCGGGCUGGGCCAGCUGGCCGGUUAGGAGGCCUGCUGGGCUGAUCACCAGGCUGCGCAGGCGAGGCGGCGGAGCAGGCCAGGCUGGCUGGGUCGGGGCGAAGGCGGGUGAGGGUGAGGCGUGAGAGGAUCACGCCGGUUGGCUGCGGCCAGCCUGGUUGGGUAGAGGGUUAGACGAGAUCCAAAUAAAAUCUAAAAAGAUCCAAAUCAUUCCACACAAGUUUUGAAAUGGAAUUUUGGGAUGAGAAGAGAAUUUGACUACCAUUUUCAAACAAGCACAAAAUUCAAACAAAAGUUUUGAAUUUUUGGAAAUUUCACUUAAAUAAAUAUUACAAAAUUAUGGAAUAUUACAAACAUAACUGCUCCACCUCGUACCCCGAGAAAUGCGAUACGAAGCCUCAACGUCUGGGAAAUUUGGUUAAAACGAAACUCUACAUUUUUCUCGGACUGUGUGAGUCCUCCUUGAUUUCCUUGAUGGCAAAAAUUAAAAAGGAAGCGGCUGCUUGGGUGGGGGCAGGGAAUACUUGUGUCCCACCUUACAUUGAACAACAGAGCACAAUACUUGUGUCAGUAUAAAAAAAAACUUGUGUAAGGCCAGCUACACAAGUUAGCUCGCAUUUCAUAAUUAAGUUUCAGAUUUCGUGCAAGGCCAGAUACUUUAGCACUGCACUCUUGAUGUACCGAAAGGAAGAUUAACAUAUAAGUACAAUACCGAAGUAAUGACUAUGGAAAUAGGCUUAGAAAUACAACAGAAGCUAGGUACAGUGCAAUAAACCUUAGUGCCUCAUCAUAGCUCCCUUAGCUUCCAGGAAAGUAUAAUGCUGUAUUUGCAGAGAAAAAAAAUAUCACCUUCUAGUGGUGAUCAAGUACGCGAGACUCUUGCACUUGCAAUAGAAAGAUCUGCCAAACCGGUCCCAUUUGACCACAAUAGCAGCUGCAAAGCCAACGCCGAAGCCAAGCCCAACGAAGAGAAACAAAACCACAUCAAUAUGACGAGAUGACUUGUCCCCAUGUGCCACACCUGGAGAGUGAGGUGAACUACCACAAGGAAAUUUUGGCAAUUGCAGCCCACACAAUCCAGCAUUCCCUUCAAAUGAGCUGCUGUCAAAUGUAGAGAACUGACGUGACUGCGGUAUCUUCCCCACCAAGUGAUUGUAUGACAAGUUUAGGGAGCCAAGAAAGGUGAGAUCAGUUAGCUCUUGUGGAAUGUCCCCUGAGAGUUGGUUGCAGGACAGGUCUAGUGACUCCAAAUCAGUCAUGCUUCCAAGUUGGGCUGGAAUUUUUCCAGUGAAGGCAUUGUGUGACAGACUCAGUACGCGUAGUGAUACAAGGCUUCCAAAUGUUUCAGGAAUAGUACCCUCCAAACUAUUUUUUGAGAAGUCAAUUGCUGUUACGGUAGUCAGCAUCCUUCCAAAUGGCAUAUCUGCCCCCUUGUACAUGAUCUCAACAGAAUAUUGAUAUAAAUGUUCUCCGUUAUUGAUAGUUAUAGUGUCUAGAGUUCCGAGAGGUUUCCCAGAACUAUUAAACUCUGCCAUCAUUGACUUUAACUGCUCGAACCAUUGUGGCCUCAAAGUACCAGAGAAGUUGUUUGAGGCAAGAUCGAUAAUUUGCAAGCUAGGGAAACAUUCCUCACAUUUUGUGUCCCCAACAAUAUCACCUAUGGUGCCAUACAUUUGGUUUGAUCUCAGGACGAGUACAGAAAGAUUGGGAAGCCCCCUCAACCAAGAAGGAAAAGCAUCAGCUAUUUUGUUGCUUCCAAAGUCUAUAACCUCCAAGUCUGUACAGUUAGAAAGGCCCCUAGGAAGCCUCCCUUCGAUCUUAUUGCCAUGUAAAUCUAUCGUCUGUAAAUUACAUCUUGUUGUUAUAUUGGAAGGCAGCAUCCCUUUCAAGUGAUUCUCCCUCAAAUUUAAAAAACUUAAGGGGGUAUUUUCUAUAAAACAAGGUGGAAUCGGGCCAUUAAAGUAGUUAUAUGAUAGAUCAAGGACAUCCAGCUCUGUGGCAUUGCAAAUUGAGGGAGAUACAUGGCCGUGUAUAUUAUUUUUGGACAUGCUGAGAUAAAUGGUGUCCCGAAGAUAGGUGGUCCAGUUUGGCAGAAGGGAAGAGAACAUGUUGUUGGAAUAAUCCAAGACUUGUCCUGAUAAUUUUGGCAUAGGGAUCAUCCCUGAAAGUCUAUUGAAACUAAGAUCAAGC